UGACCAUAAUGUGGUGGCUUCUCUCCCUUAGGUGGUUUGCCAACUGGGGUUGGUGGCUUGUGUUCUGGGAGUGGCUUCUCCCCCUUGGGAGGUUUUUCCAAUGGGGUUGGUUUGUGUUCAGGAGGUGGCUUCUCCACUGGAGGCUUGUGUUCAGGAGGUGGCUUCUCCACCGGAGGCUUGUGUUCAGGUGGUGGCUUCUCCACCGGAGGCUUAUGCUCUGGUGGUGGCUUCUCGAAUGGGGGAUGCUUAGGAUAAUCAGCAAGUGAGGGGGCGGUGAGAACCACCAGGCCAAGCAACACCACUAGCAAAUAUGUAGGAGACAUCUUUGGGUUUGGGCUCAGAUGGUGCAAAACUAGGAGAAUUGGCUAGCCUUUUAUAGCGGAUCGUACCCAAUAAUGAAAUGACACGUGUCAUUAUGACCCAUGUGUAAUGGGGUCGAUUUGGGUCCUACAGUGUUGAAAACUUCGACAUCCACUUUUGGCCUUUUGCUUUCUCUACAGCCGCCUUGCUUUUUCCCUCUUUCCUUUUGUUUUCCUCCUGCCCCAUUCUAUCAACUAAACACAAUUAUGUAGUUGUUUAAUUCUUAAAUGAGAUAUUAUCCGUCAAUCGUAUUAUAUUUUAUCAAGAGAGAACGGAGUGCAAUGUGGCUGUAAUUUUAUCGUUUAGUUUUAUCUCUUGGACCACUGCAUUUUUGUUAAGAGGUGCAAUAAUACACGUCUUUAUCUGCCAUUCAAUAUUUACAGUAAAGAGAGGGCACAAAACUCUUCACUUCGCACCAUAAUUAUUUUGUUUUCUGGACACCCCGGGGCCCUUUGGUUGGUUUGGGGGUCAGAAAGUGAACAUCAUAGGGGGUUUUUCCCUUAUGUGCAUUUGUAUCUGAUGGCUUUAACUCGCCUUGUUACUACAAAGAAACUGUCACAGAUAGGAACUUAUUCCAGGCUGAGUAUCUCCUCAUAGACCCUAUAAAAGAAGACAAGUCAUAAUGAACAUCUAACCUUUGUUCAAUUUGAUUCAAUGCCCCCAUUGUGUCCAUCUCACAAAUCUGAAUUAUUAUAUCCAUUGAAUACAUAAAUUAAUGAAGAAAAUAUGAAACCCAAGAUACAUCUCUGCACAACCUCAACCCUGGUUGCUAUGUUUCCCUUCUAUUCACAUGAUUUGAUGCUAAUUGCCAAACUUGCAACAAGCCCUGAGUUUGACACCUAGUAUCGAUGGGCGAAUUUAAAGUCUCCUCCAAACAUAUAUUCCACAGCUUGAAGCUCACAGAAGAUGUUACAGGCAGGGAAAAACCUUCAGAGUUCGCUACCAAAGAUAAUUAUUAAGGAGAUAUCACAAAGAGAAUUCCAAGGGGUCUGAAUCAAAGACAAAUUGGUCGUUCGUGGGGGUUCUUACUUUCUUUUGGGUAUAACUCACUGAGGGCACUGUCUUUGUUAUUUGCAUUUCACAUUUAGAGUUCUGUUCUGGAAACAUAUAAAAGGAGCAUCAUUUUGUUCUUGGGUAACCCAUAGUCGUGAGUGGGUCCAUUUGCAUGCUACUUAGUUGAAAAGUUGGACCAUUUGCUCCGACGCCUACCUCCCGGAUUCCAUGCUCGGAUAAAACAAGAAUAAAAAAAAUAUUUAUAAUUUACAAAUGGGGGAAAGAAAAAAAUGUCAACAACAAACCAGGAAAAAAGAGUAGUAAAAUUCAUGUCACAUGCUAGUGAGAGAAGGGGUUGUUACACUCACUCGAAGUUCUUUCCAAAAUAUCGCAUGGUAUUUUAUUUUAUGUGUCAGCGCAGUUGUGAAUGGAACGUGCAAAAGUCCAAAUUGGCGUUUUUCCUUUUCCCGUGUAGGAUGGCGACCUUUAAUAAAUAUUUAAAACAAAAAACGAAAAAAAGGAGGGAAAAGGGAUCAGAAAAGAUAAAACAAUGUGUACAAGAGCUCAAUUAGUUUGCAAAUUACUGUUUGGAUUUUGAUAGUAUUUUAUUUGUCCAUCUAUAUUUGAUGGAAAAGAGAAUUUAAGAUAUUUCUGAAACAAAAGCAUUAGUGUAAAACUAAAUUAAGGUAUAAUUAAGUUAGUUCAAUGCAUUAAUUUAAGAAACUUGAUCUAUCCAAAGUACAAAAUUAGAUGAAAUCCAUUUCAAUGGUUAAAAUGAUCAAAAUCAAACUUUUUCUAAGUAUUUUUUAAAAGCAUCAAUAUUAAAAGACAAUUUUAUAUUUAGUCGGAGUUUGGACAAAACCAAAAAGCACACAAAAUCCAAGCGACCAUCUCUAGCUUGGAUAGUCACUUGAUCCCACCUAGAGAUGUGCAUGAGUAAAAGGAUUUGAAAAUGGAAAUUGACUAAAUAUUUAGUUGAUCAAUUAAAUUUGCAAUGUCAUAUGCAAUCCUAAUAGCUAGUCAUCUAAUCAAUUAGGUAGUCAAUCAAGUGUUUGUAAUGACUAUUUUGUACAAAAAACCACAUGUAUAGUUAAAUAUAAUGCAUUUCAUUUAUAAAUCUUCUAAUUCUUGAAUAACGAUCCUAUCAUCCUUUGAAAAUUUUUAUUACACCUUUUUUACUUUUGUUCUAAAACUUACAUAUCACCCUUAAUUGUACCAUGAGAACCUAGCUAUUUUUUUUUUUUUUGUAAUUCAUCAAAGUUAGCUUUUGUAUUCAUUGUUGUAUUAUUUUUAGUAUAACUUAGAAAGCUAGUGUUUUCAAGUGAGUAAAAUUAACUUGUAAAUAUUGUAAAGAUUCAUUGAUAUGUAUCUUAAACUAAGUGUACAAAUUAAAACAUUUGCUAGUAGAUUUUCUCAAAAUUUAGAAUAGAGCUUGAGGCUAUUGAAAUAGGUGGGGUUACACCAAACCACAUCACAUCGUUGUUUGCACCUUUUUUCACUCUCUUUUACUUAGUUUCUCUAUAUUUGUUGUCUAGUAAUAUCCUAUAGGCUUGAUGGGUUAGGGAGCAUCCCUUUGUGAAAAAAUUUCAUUCAAUUCUUAGUUGUAUUACGCAUAUAUAAAAUGCCUCAUUGUUUUAAUGGUAUUCAGUCGUGGCAUCACAGAUAUGGGCAUCUAAAUUUUAAAAGUUUGAAACUUUUGUAAAGCAUGUUGAUAAAAUCCAUGAGAGUUGUGUACUUGGGAAGCAACAUCGAGGUGACUUUAUUUUUUUUUCCUUUUAUAAUGCCACACCUAAGUCCGGUUUCUAAAUGCUAAAGUGAAAGGGUAGGUAUGGACCAUUGAAAUGUGAUCACAACUUUUGGCCUUUUCCUUUCUCUGCAGCCAUGUUGUCUCUUUUUUCUUUUGCAUGAUUUUCUUACCAAAACAGAAUCAUAGACUUGUUUAGUCUCUAAGCUACUAUAUUAUAUCUCGGUGGACUUUUAAGAGUGCAACCGACAUAGAGCACAUGCAAGUGGGCAUAUGGGACAUGAAAUUUCUUCUUACAAAGAUUGCAUGAUUUUUAUAUUAGAGUUGUUCACGUGCAAUGUAUUUAGCUUGUUUUGCAGUUAAAUUAAUUGGAUAAGUAAACAUUGGCAUUUCUAAAUCGACUGUGAAGUGCUUCAUGUACGUGUAAAGUAUUAGAAAUUUCUUUCUUGGCAACUUGUUUUUUCCUUGCCAUCUACUGGUAGGUUUGACUAAAAUUAUAUUCCCUGUCAUGCUAAUUAAUUUUCAUGUGCAUGCUCAAAAGAAGAGUAUGACCUUAGUGCACCAAAAUCACUUUGAUUAAUUUGUGAUAGGUUUUUUUGCAUCAUUUAGAUAAUGUUUAGUUCUAAGAAAAAUUUAUAUAAAAAUGGUUUAUUUAUCUUACAUAUAUAUAUAUAUAUAUAUAUUUUUUUUUUUUUCAUUUUUUUUUCUUCUAUUUUAUUUAUUUAUUUUAUUUUCCUUAUGUUUUCCUCACAUUUUCCGGAACUAAACAUAGUCUUACGAAAUCAACAAUUGCCUUCAACUGAGUAGAUUCUGUUGUUUUAGCAAUGUUAGGCUGCUAACUUGUGGUGGUACGAACCAAAUGACCCAUGUUAAUCUUGGCUUGGUUUGAUUUGGCUCUAUCUCAGAGAGCUAAAGGAUCACGUCAACUCUGGUUUCUACUAUUCAGGUCCAUUCCCAGAUGAACUGGUUCAAAUUUGAGAAAAUGGUAACAGACCUUUAGUGAUGUUGGUUUGGAGCCAGUUGCCAAACCCGCCCUGAGCUUUACCACUAAUGUCAAGGGAGAAAGCCAUUUGAACAAAAACAAUAGCUUCAAGAGACUGAAUCGUGGAUGAAAUCUGAUCCACAUUUCUUCUCAUUUUGGGAAAAAAUGAGAACUUAACUACAAAGAUUCUACUGCCUCAUUCAUAGUGCUUUUCCUGAUCCAAGGUUGGUUCGUUUCCCAAAUUGUGAGGUGCACGUGCCACUCUCACGCUCAGGAGUGUAUCCACGUGGUGGACAUCAGAUGGUGGCUUAAUAUCUGGUGUCGGUGGCUUUACUUUACUAGGAGAGUAGUGUGUCUUCAUCUCAUUCACUGCCGGAGGGUGGCGUAAGCAGUGACGCUAAGGUGGGGCACAGUCAAUAUCAUUUGCAUUUGACCAUUAUAGUUUUCUCCCGGCUUGAAAGUAACCUUAUCGUGAUAAAGGAUUACUAGCACUAGUUCAGAUGACCGUCAUGUUAAUUCGGACCAUGUUUGUGUCACAUUAUCAGCAACCAUGUGUUUAUGGUUCAUGCUAUCUGCAACUAAACUUGAUAUAUAACCAGGUGAACUUCAAUCAAAAUUCUGGAAGUACUCUUGUGAUAGAUGGUGCCUGUCUGCAGAGUCCAUCAAUUGAAAAAUGGAGUGAGUGUAUCUAUAAGAGGGAAGGCUUGGCAAAUGUUCAGUUUUCUGGGAAUUCAACAAGGAUCUAAAAUAGAUUGUUUUCUUUGCCGACUUCAAUGGUUGAAAUUUGAGAAGAUUGUGUCCACAUAUCACAACUAUUACUGGUCCUUCUGUUGCAAUUUAUCCUGUAAGGCUCUAACAUGUCUUCCAAUUCCCACUUCCCUGUUACUCCAGGAAAGCUAUUUCUGUCAUUGUGAAGAAGAAAAGAGAAUGUACAUAUCGAUGCUUUUAAGUGACUGGAGCAUUCAUAUCAGGUGGUCUGCAGCCAUAUAUGCCACUUUGUGAAGGUUGGAACAGUCAAUCACUAGGCUAUAUAUUGGUGUGGCCCAGCCACUUCAAUCAAGGACAAGUCUUCAUACUUAAAGUCAAAUUCUGCCUUUAGUCUCAUUAUAAAUUGCUGUUUAAAUAUUAAGCAAACUUUUGUUUAAUGCGAUUAAGACAGUACUAACUCAAUACUUGUUCUAUUUUUGGAUGCAAAUGCUUGAUGGUUUCAUCAUUGGAUGGGAUAAAGGUGCAUUCAUGAUUAUGAAUACUUGUAGUUAUAUUUUCAUUCUCUUUUUUCUCAAUGAGACUUGUUGGCACAAUGUUGCUGUUCAGAAACCUACCUCUCCAUGGAAAAUAAGUUGCGAUUGAUAGUACUGGAUAUGUUCAAGAAAGCUAAAUAUAGAUAGCACAAAAUAUUAUCGAUAUAAAUAGCAUUAACAGCGUACGUAUGUCUCAAUGCUCAUCAGCUAUAAGCAUGGGACAAACACUUACUAUGAGCAACUUACGUCAAAAUUCCAGAAUAGGACAUAGAAGUGACAGAUCUAUAUAUAUAGAACACUGCAUAUGAGUCACAAGAAAGGAAAUUACGGGUGCAUAGCAGCUCUUAUUUUACAUACUACUACUCAUACUGAUCAAAGUCACUCAGUUGGGAUGGGUGGGAGUAGGAGGUUUGUGGGGUGGCUUGUGCGGAGGAGUUGGCAGCUUCUUUCCAGGACCUGGUUGCUUCUCUGCUGGAGUUGAAGGAGGCUUAAUCUUCCGAGGUGGCUUGUAUGAGUCUUCAGCAUUCUCAGCUGGAGGGUGACCAGGGUUGUGACCAUAAUGUGGUGGCUUCUCUCCCUUAGGUGGUUUGCCAACUGGGGUUGGUGGCUUGUAUGAGUCUUCAGCAUUCUCAGCAGGAGGGUGACCAGGGUUGUGACCAUAAUGUGGUGGCUUCUCUCCCUUAGGUGGUUUGCCAACUGGGGUUGGUGGCUUGUGUUCUGGGAGUGGCUUCUCCCCCUUGGGAGGUUUUUCCAAUGGGGUUGGUUUGUGUUCAGGAGGUGGCUUCUCCACUGGAGGCUUGUGUUCAGGAGGUGGCUUCUCCACCGGUGGCUUGUGUUCAGGAGGUGGCUUCUCCACCGGAGGCUUAUGCUCUGGUGGUGGCUUCUCCACCGGAGGCUUAUGCUCUGGUGGUGGCUUCUUGAAUGGGGGAUGCUGAGGGUAAUCAGCAAGUGAGGGGGCGGUGAGAACCACCAGGCCAAGCAACACCACUAGCAAAUAUGUAGGAGACAUCUUUGGGUUUGGGCUCAGAUGGUGCAAAACUAGGAGAAUUGGCUAGCCUUUUAUAGCGGAUCGUACUCAAUAAUGAAAUGACACGUGUCAUUAUGACCCAUGUGUAAUGGGGUCGAUUUGGGUCCUACAGUGUUGAAAACUUCGACAUCCAGUUUUGGCCUUUUGCUUUCUCUACAGCCGCCUUGCUUUUUCCCUCUUUCCUUUUGUUUUCCUCCUGCCCCAUUCUAUCAACUAAACACAAUUAUGUAGUUGUUUAAUUCUUAAAUGAGAUAUUAUCGGUCAAUCGUAUUAUAUUUUAUCAAGAGAGAACGGAGUGCAAUGCAGCUGUAAUUUUAUCGUUUACUUUUAUCUCUUGGACCACUGCAUUUUUGUUAAGAGGUGCAAUAAUACACGUCUUUAUCUGCCAUUCAAUGUUUACAGUAAAGAGAGGGCACAAAACUCUUCACUGCUCUGCAUGUGUCCCAAAAAUGCGAUUGGACAAAUUAUGAUUUGCAUGCUAAAAAGAGGCAAAUGAGGUUAAUUCGCACCAUAAUUAUUUGGUUUUCUGGACACCAUAAAAAGAUGUUAUACAGGCAGGGAAAAACCUUCAGAGUUAGCUACCAAAGAUAAUUAUCAAGCAGAUAUCACCAAGAGAAUUCCAUAGAGUCUGAAUCAAAGACAGAUUGCUCGCUCGUGGGGGUUCUUACUUUCUUUUGGGUAUAACUCACUGAGGUCACUGUCUUUUUUAUUUGCAUUUCACAGUUAGAGUUCUGCUCUGGAAGGUUUGUUCUGGAAACAUAUAAAAGGAGCAUCAUUUUGUUCUUGGGUAACCCAUAGUCGUGAGUGGGUCCAUUUGCAUGCUACUUAGUUGAAAAGUUGGACAAUUUGCUCCGACGCCUACCUCCUGGAUUCCAUGCUCGGUAAAACAAGAAUAAAAAAAAAUAUAUAAUUUACAAAUGGGGGAAAGAAAAAAUGUCGGAAAAAAUAGUAAAAUUCAUGUCACAUGCUAGUGAGAGAAGGGGUUGUUACACUCACUCGAAGUUCUUUUCAAAAUAUCGAAUGGUAUUUUACUUUAUGUGUCAGCGCAGUUGUGAAUGGAACGUGCAAAAGUCCAAAUUGGCGUUUUUAUUUUUCCCAUGUAGGAUGGUGACCUUUAAUAAAUAUUUAAAACAAAAGACGAAAAAAAAAAGGAGGGAAAAGGGAUCACAAAAGAUAAAAUAAUGUUUACAAAAGCUCAAUUAGUUUGCAAAUUACUGUUUGGAUUUUGAUAGUAUUUUAUUUGUCGUUCUAUAUUUGAUGUAAAAGAGAAUUUAAGAUAUUUCCGAAGCAAAAGCAUUAGUUUGCUCUGUGAUGUCCCACAUCGAAUAGGGGAGAAAGUUUCUGGCGCUAUAUAUGUAGAGGCUCCUCUUAACCAAGUAGAUGCGUUUUAAAACCAUGAGGGCCCCCUUAGGUCCAAAGCGGACAAUAUCUACAUGAUUGGGUGUAAGUCAUUACAAAUGGUAUCAGAGCCGAUCCCCGACCCCGGUGUGGGGGUUUGUUUGGCCCUGUAAGGGGUGUUUGUCUGUUUGACCCCACAAUCCCAUGGGACACAACGAGGACGUUGUGUCUGCAUGGGGGGGCGUUUGUGAUGUCCCACAUCGGAUAGGGGAGAAAGUUCCUAGUGCUAUAUAUGUAGAUGUUUCUCUUAACCAAGUAGAUGCAUUUUAAAAUUGUGAGGGCCUCUUUGGGCCCAAAGCGGACAAUAUCUACAUGGUUGAGUGUAAGUCAUUACAUGCUCCAUGUCAAUUUCAGCAUUUCUCAUAUGUUUCACACAUACACAGAAGAGCAUCGUUUUUUAAAGCAUGCAUUUAUGUUGGAUUAAUUUGGAUUUUGUGGGAACUGGGGCAAGGAUCACAUGGAAGAGAGGUUGACUUUUUUCAGUACUUCAAUGGUUGAAAUAUGUGAAGGCUUGAUUGAUACUAAAGCUUGAAAUUGCGACUCUGUCAUUUGUAAAAAAAUAUGACAGCUUCCAUGCUCUCGUUUGGUUGCAUUGUCCGGUCGAGAGGUGCAAAAAGCAUUCUCUCUCUUCUAAUAGUCUUUUCGUUUAAAUCAAGGGAUUUGCCUUCCCGGUCGAGGUCCAAUAGAGGGUAACGGUCACCUACUAAACAUUAAAUGCUCCAACAACUAGUGAACUGAUCGACCCCAGCUCGACUAGUUGAGGUUACUUUUUGGUUUUCUUGUCUCCCGAGGUUAGAAACCUAUAAAUAGAGAGCUUCACUUCAUUUAUGAGUAAGAGAACACCUAAAUUUAUUUGUUUACCUACUUGUUUUUGCCAUAAAAGCUCUCAUUUCUUUUCUUGGUGUAUUAAAUCUCCAUUUGCAUAUCCUUUAGUGCACCUUUGUGAUUCAUUCUAGCCUUGAGUUGUAUUUAAGCCUUUGUUGAGCUAGGUUGAGAGUUUCAUACUUGUUUAUUGAGUGUUAAAGCCUUCAAGUGAGUUAAAACUUGAAGAGAUUGUGUAAGAGCCCAUUGGAGUCGGAAUCCAAGUGUAAAGGUGAUUAAAAGCUUGGUUGAAGCUUCAAGUUAGUGGAACUCUCACUCGGUUAUGAGCUUGAGAAGAGUGGACAUAGACAAGGCAGUGUCGAACCACUAUAAAAUCUGAGUUUGAUUUCUCUAACCUUAUCUCUUUAUAUUUGCUUCUCUUGUGCUUAAAUUUUUUGUGUUUAAAAAGAAUUUUUAAAAACUCAAUUCACCCCCUUCUUGGGAGUUUUUCUCUUUUAAGAUCAGCUUUUAUUUUCUCAAUUGGUAUCAGAACUAUGCCUCUUGUUUAAGACUUAAUCGUCUAAGAGGAAAUGGCUAAUCCAUCAAGUUCAUCUCACAUUGAAAGUUUUGCAACCAAUAGACUUCUUUUUUUUUUUUUGCGGGAACUGAUUAUCCCUAUUGGAAAACUAAAAUGACUUGGUUUUUACAAUCAAUUGAUUUAGAUGUAUGAGAUGCCAUUGAAGAUGACCUAACUUUUCCUUCAAAACUAGUUGAUGGAGUCAUGGUUCCAAAACCUAAGCAAGAAUGGGAUGAGCGUGAUUGAAGAAAUUUUCAAUUAAAUGCUAAAGUCGUUUAUACUUUGCAAUGCUCUAUGGACAGAAAUGAAUAUAAUAGAAUAUGUCAAUGCAAAUCGGUUAAAGAAAUUUGGAGAUUGCUUGAAAUAACUCAUAAAGGAACAAAUCAAGUUAAAGAGUCAAAAAUCAAUUUACUUGUUCAUAGAUAUGAAUUGUUUUUUAUGAAAGAUAAUGAAACUAUUGUUAAGAUGAUCACUAGGUUCACCAACAUUGUUAAUGGUCUUAAAGCCUUGGGAAAGACCUACAAGGAAUCCGAAAACGUGAUGAAGAUCUUGAGGUCACUUCCAUCAAAGUGGCAUACCAAGGUCACCGCAAUUUAAGAAGCAAAAGACUUGAUCAAGCUACCUUUGGAGGAGUUCAUAGGGUCAUUGAUGACAUAUGAAAUCAAUUUGGCAAAGAAGUAACAAAAAGGUGAAGACAAAAAGAAGAAGAACAUAACUCUCAAAGCUACAACUAAGGAAGAAGAAGUUGAAGAAGAAAAACAAAUUGAAGAAGAUGAAGAUUUAGCCCUCAUCACAAGAAAGUUCAACAAAUUCAUGAGGGGUGAAAGGUUUAGAAGAAGAAGGUUCACUUCUAGAAGAGACUUUUCUAAAAAGGAAUCUUCAUCUAAUGGUGACAAAAAGAGAUGGGAAGAGAAAAGAGACUUGGUGUGUUUCAAGUGCAAGAAACCGGGACACAUUAAAUAUGAUUGUCCUCUCUACAAAAGUGAAGUCAAGAGGAAAAAGAAUAAGGCAAUGAUGGCCACUUAGAGUGAAAGUGAAGAUGAAUCAUCCGAAGAAGAAAAUGAGAAAGAAGUGGCAAACAUGUGUUUCAUGGCAAUAGAUGAACUUGAUGAGGUAAAAUCUAACCUUAGUGAUUAAGAUAUACAUGAUGCAUUUGAAGAAUUGUAUGAGGAUUUUUAAAAACUUAGUUUGAAAAAUAUUUCUCUUAAAAAGAAAGUUCAACAACUUGACAAAGAACUUAGAGAAGUAAAAGAAAAAUUUUCAAAUGUUAAAGUUUCUAAAACUCAUCUUGAAAAAGAAAAUGAGAUUCUAAGAAAGAAAAAUGAAUAGUUGAACUCCUCUCUUUCAAUCUUUUCUUCUAGACAAAAAUCUUUUGAAAUGAUUCUAACUAGCUAAAAAUGUGUUUUUGACAAACAAGGGUUAAGAUUUAAAUCUUCAAAAAAUCAAAAGUAUUUUAAAAACUAUUUUGUAAAGGAAUCCACAAGUGCAAGUCCUUCCACUACUUGCAACUUUUGUGGAAGAGAAUGGCACAUUAGUAGUACGCCCUUUAAGAAAUGGUUCUCAAAAGAAUUUAAAUGCAAAAACUAAAAAAGAUUUGGAUUGAGAAAUCCAAGGUCACUAACCCUCAAGGACCCAAAAAGAUAUAGGUACCUAAAUCAACUUGAGUUUUAUGUUGUAAGGUUCAAAGAAUGAUAAGUGGUUCUUAGAUAAUGGUUGCUCAAGACACAUGACCGGAGAUGAAUCCAAGUUUGCUUUUCUUAAAAAGAAAAAUGGAGGAUAUGUUACCUUUGGAGACAAUGCAAAAGAAAGGAUGAUUGGUCAAGGCAACAUUGGUAAUGGCACAUCCUCUCUCAUUGAAAGUGUUUUAUUAGUAGAUGGUUUCAAACAUAACCUUUUAAGCAUUAGUCAAUUUUGCGACAAAGGUUUUUAAGUGAUUUUUUAAGCAUCUCAUUGCAUCAUCAAGGAUAUUCAAAAUGAUAAAACCAUUUUCAUGGGCCAUAGAUGUGAUAAUGUUUAUGCUAUAAAUAUUUCAAAAUAUGAUGGCCAUGAUAGAUGUUUUUCAAGCAUGCAUGAUCAAAGUUGGUUGUGCCAUAGGAGAUUGAGACAUGCUAACAUAGACCUCAUUUCCCAACUCAACAAAGAUGAACUUGUUAGAGGCCUUCCCAAAAUAAUUUUUUAAAAAGAUAAAGUUUGUGAAGCUUGUCAAGUGGGAAAGUAAAUCAAAAACUCUUUUAAAAACAAAAACUUCAUUUCCACAUCUAGGCCACUUGAGUUGUUGCAUAUGGAUUUAUUUGGUCCCUCUAGGACACCAAGUCUUAGAGGAAAUUCUUAUGCAUAUGCUAUUGUGGACGACUUCUCUAGAUACACAUGAGUCUUGUUUUUUAGUCAAAAGAAUAAAGUUUUUUAUGAGUUUUCAAAGUUUUGCAAUAAGAUUCAAAAUGAAAAAGGUUUUUCAAUUACUUAUAUAAGAAGUGAUCAUGGGAGAGAAUUCGAAAAUAUUGAUUUUGAAGAGUAUUGCAAUGAGCAUGGAAUUGACCACAAUUUUUUGGCUCUUAGAACUCCUCAACAAAAUGGGGUAGUUGAAAGGAAAAAUAGAACUCUUCAAAAAAUGACAAGAACCAUACUAAAUGAAAACAACUUACCAAAAUAUUUUUAGGCCAAAACGGUUAACACUUCUUGUUAUGUUUUAAAUAGAGUAUUAUUGAGGCUCAUACUUAAGAAAACUCCCUAUGAGCUUUGGAAAAACAAAAAACCCAACAUUAGUUAUUCCAAAGUCUUUGGAUGCAAUAUUUUAUAAUAAACACCAAAGACAAUCUUGGAAAAUUUGAUGCAAAAUUGGAUGUUGGAAUUUUCCUUGGUUACUCAACUUCAAGUAAAGCUUUUCGAGUUUUAACAAAAGAACCAUGGUUGUAGAGGAGUCCAUCCAUGUUAUUUUUUAUGAAUCUCCAAGAAAGAGAGAGGAUUGAUGAUGAUUUAGGUUUGAAGACCUCUAUAGGAAGAUUGCAAAUCGAAGAUAGAAGACAACAAGAAGAAAAUGGAGAGAAUCCAAAGAAAGAAGGAUCACCAUUGGCACUACCCCCUCAUCAACAAGCGCAAGGUGAAUCAAGUCAAGAGCUUCCUAAAGAAUGGAAGUUUGUCAUCAAUCACCCACAAGAUCAAAUUAUAGGCAAUCCAUCUAGUGGGGUAAGAACUAGAUCCUCUCUUAGAAAUAUUUGCAAUAAUCUAGCUUUUAUCUCUCAAAUUGAGCCUAAAAAUAUAAAUGAUGUUUUAGAUGAUGAAAAUUGGAUAAUUGCAAUGCAAGAAGAGUUAAAUCCAUUUGAAAGAAGUGGAGUAUGGGAAUUAGUACCAAGACCUUCAAAUCAAAGUGUUAUUGGAACUAGAUGGAUCUUUAGAAAUAAAAUGGAUGAAAAUAGCAUAAUUGUUAGAAAUAAAGCAAGAUUGGUAGCCCAAGGUUUUAAUCAAGAAGAAAUGAUAGAUUAUGAAGAAACCUUUGCCCCCGUAGCUAGGUUGGAAGCCAUUAGGAUGCUACUUGCCUUUGCAUGUUUUAAAGACUUUGUUUUAUAUCAAAUGGAUGUGAAAAGUGCUUUUUUAAAUGGUUUUAUAAAUGAAGAAGUAUAUGUUGAACAACCACCCGGUUUUCAAAGUUUCAACUUUCCUAACCAUGUUUUUAAACUUAAAAAGACACUUUAUGGUUUGAAACAAGCACCUAGAUCAUGGUAUGAAAAAUUGAGUAAAUUUCUUUUGAAAAAAAUGUUUUAAAAUGGGAAAAAUUGACACAACUCUUUUUAUAAAAACCAAAGAAAAUGAUAUGCUCUUAGUUCAAAUAUAUAUUGAUGAUAUCAUUUUUGGUGCUACUAAUGUCUCUCUUUAUGAAGAAUUUUCUAAGUGCAUGCAUAGUGAGUUUGAAAUGAGCAUGAUAGGAGAACUCAACUUCUUCCUUGGACUUCAAAUCAAGCAACUAAAGGAAUGAACCUUCAUCAAUCAAGCAAAGUAUAUAAGAGAUCUUCUCAAAAGGUUCAACAUGGAAGAAGCCAAAACAAUGAAGACUCUAAUGAGCUCAUCCAUUAAGCUUGAUAAGGAUGAGAAAGGUAAAUCCAUUGACUCUAUUAUGUAUAGAGGCAUGAUAGGUUCUUUGCUCUAUUUGACCACUAGUAGACCUUACAUUAUGUAUAGUGUGUGUUUGUGUACUAGAUUUCAAUCUUGUCUUAAAAAAUCUCACUUAAGUGUCGUGAAAAGAAUCCUCAAAUAUUUGAAAGGGACAAUGGACAUAGGCUUAUGGUAUCCUAAGAGUGAUAACUUUGAAUUAAUUGGUUUUUUGGAUGCUGAUUUUGUCAGUUGUAGGGUUGAAAAAUAAAACACUAGUGGCACUUUUCAUUUCUUAAGACACUUACUUGUCUCAUGGCAUAAUAAGAAGCAAAAUUUGGUAGCUUUGUCAACAGCAGAAGCUAAAUACAUAGCAACUGGUUUAUGUUGUGCACAAAUCCUUUGGAUGAAAUAAACACUUAGUGAUUUUGAUUUAUCUUUUGAGCAUAUUCCUAUUAAAUGUGAUAAUAGUAGUGCCAUAAGUAUAUCAAAAAAUCUCGUGCAACACUCUAGGACUAAGCAUAUAGAGAUUAGACAUAAUUUUCUUAGAUAUCAUACACAAAAGGAUGAUAUAACACUUGAAUUUGUAAGCAUAAAAGACCAACUUGCCGAUAUCUUUACAAAACCUCUAAGAACAUUUUGUUGAUAUUAGAGGACAAUUAGGAGUGAUUUCUUUAUGAUCUAAUGUGAUGAAUUCUUGAUGAAUAUACUUUUUGAUUGCAUGAAUUUCAUGUCAUAUAUGCAUCAUAUAGAAAUAUACUUAGAUAAUGGUCAAAUUUCGACCAAAAAUCAAAAUUCCCAUGGCAUUAGGCAUAAAAAUUUUGGAAUUUCAACUGAAAAUGGUAGGAGGAGGAUCACAAAAUGAGAAAGUAUGCAAAAAUUGAAAAAUCAAAACGUUGACCAAGCGGUCAAUCGGACUAGACCGAUCGACUAGUUUGUCGAGAUUUAGGAUUUUUAAGAGACUCCAACGCUUCAAUUUUUGCACCGUUCUCCUCUAUUUCUUCACGGUUUCUCUGAUUUUGUCUUUUAGAGACUAAUUUGAGUGCGUUUUGGAUCAAUUGAAGCAUUUUGGAUUGGAUUUUAGGAAGAUUGAAAGUUAAGGUUUCGGAUUUGGGUCGCCUUCUCUUCCUCUCGCGUGUCACAAUCAGCUUUAGCAUUGUUCUCUUUCCAUUUUCACACACCUAGGGUUUCAGUUGUGAGCAUCUCUCUCUCUUUACCAACCACUACUCCCUUGCUUCUUCCAUAUGGCUCCUAGGCGAGAGUCCGCUACUUCUAGGGCACAAGGCAAGCACCCAACUGAGUCGUCUCAGUCAAAGGCACGUCGAAAAGUGAGAUUUGACAUUGCCUUGUUCAGUUCCAUGGAGGACUACCAACUAUACAAGCAACACUUUGCUUAGAGACGAGUAGUUCCCAAGAGAAAUAUUAAUUUUCCUCAACUUCAGCAUUUCGAAUUUAAGGGUCUAUUUACUAGGAUGGUUGGUUGUCUAUUGUCACAAUUUCGGAGCCGGUUUUCCUGACCUUAGUGCGAGUUUUUUACUCGAGGGCGACUUAUGGCAUGGGUGGCAUGAUCAUUUCUACUGUUGGAGGAGUUGAGAUCUGUCUGGACCCAGAGAGCAUCUGCCAUAUUUUCGAUAUUGCUCUGGUUGGACUCAAAGUAUACAAGUCCAAAAUGUGGCCCAUUGUGCCAGGAUUUGAGCUUAGAGAGGUCAUUCAGAGGAUUUGUGAACUUCCAGACGCCCAGGAGAUGGGCAAACCAUUGCCACACAGUUUGACGGUCAUCAACAGGGUGCUACACCAUAUAUUGUGCUCUAUCUUUCUACCACGAAGUGGACAUUGAGAUGAGGUCUCUUAUUAUGAGGCAUUCCUUAUUGACUCCAUUCUAACGGAGAGACGAAUUCAUCUACUAUGUCAUCAUUCACUAAGCCUCCUCACAGUGACAUACCACCUCAUCAGGCACCUCUUGCUCCUGACCAUGCUCCAUUGAUGGAUUUAUUUACUCAUAUUAGCUCUCUAGGCACUCGCAUGAAGGAGUUUGUUGUAGUUAGUGAUACAUGGUUCUACUCCAUAGAGGAUCGCAUGGAUCAGUAUCAGACUGGCUUCACGUCACAGUUUGAGUAUCUCCAAUAGAGGAUUGAGCAUAUUGAGGAUCACUUGAGCAUGAGAAGAUGAUGGCUUUUCUAUGCUCUGUGUUUCCACCUCCACCUCGUCAACCUUGAUUUCUUAGAGACCCAUUGUUUUCAUUUUGUAAUGUUGCCAAAAGGGGGAGAUAUUUAGGAUCUAGGACUCUAUAGGAGACUUACAUGCAUAUCAUUUUCAUAUCAUUGUUUGGAUCGUACAUAUUGGAUAGUGAUACUUUUUACUUAUAUAUGAUAUGCCUAUAUGUUUCAUGUCUUACAUUGUUUCUUAUUGCAAAUUAUCUCUAACAUGUCUUGAUUAUCUUUUUUUUAACUUCAUAAAUUUUGAUUGUUAACCCAUGAUUGGUUUGAGGGGAAGAUUCUUCUUCUCCUAGAUAACCAAGGUUUGUCAUCAUAAAAAAAUUGGAGAUUGUUAGCCCAAGGGUUCUCCUAAUCAUGUUUUGAUGAUAACAAACCAUGCUUAAGUUACUAAUUGGUUUGAAUUAUAAAGAAUUUCAAGUGUUAAUUUGAAAAUUCAUCAAAGAACCUAAUGGAUGCAAGAUCAAGAUUUUUGGAAGACCUUUAAUCAUAAGAAACAUAUGUAAGAUGAAUGCAUGGGUGCACUUAAGAUUUGCAUAUCAUUUCAUGCAUAUUUGGAAAACACGGUUUAUGCUUUAAAGUUACAUUUCCAUCAAAAUUUGAGAUCCAUCAAAUGAACCUUAGGAAAAAUGUUUUAAAAUUGGCAUAUAAUUUUACCUAAAGACCUUGCCUAAGUGUUAGAAGCAAAAGGACAAAAAAAAUAUAGGUUUUCUGGUCAAAAAUGGUGAACCAGUCAAGGCAUUGUCUAAAUCAGCUCAAUCGGCCAAGGUACCGGUCGAUCGGUUUCCCUUUCCCUGUCGAGAUCUAGUCAAGAGGUACAAAAAUCACAAUCUCUGUCUCUUUCUCUCUUUGUCUAUCUUCCAGUAGUCUUUCCUUCCCGGUCGAGGGAUUUGCCUUCCCGAUUGAGGUCCGAUUGAGAGUAAUAGUCACUUGCCAAAUAUUAAAUGCUCCAACAGUUAGUGAACUGGUCGACCCCCACCUUGCCCAGUUGAGGUUACUUUUUGGUUUUCUUGGCUCCCGAUGUUAGAAACCUAUAAAUAGAGAGUUCCACUUCAUUUAUGAGCAAGAGAACACUUGCAUUUAUUUGUUUACCUACUUGUUCUUGCCUUAAAAGCUCUCAUUUCUUUUCUUGGUGCAUUAAAUCUCCAUUUUGAUAUCCUUUAGUGCACCUUUGUGAUUCAUCUUAGCCUUGAGUUGUAUUUGAGCCCUUUUUUUAGCUAGGUUGAGAGUUUCAUACUUGUUAAUUGAGUGUUAAAGCCUUCAAGUGAGUUGAAACUUGUAGAGAUUAUGUGAGAGUCGAUUGGAGCCGAAAUCCAAGUGUAAAGGUGAUUAGAAGCUUGGUUGAAGCUUCAAGUUAGUGGAAUCCUCACUCAAUUAGGAGCUUGAGGAGAGUGGACGUAGCCAAGGAAGUGUCGAACCACUAUAAAAUUUGAGUUUGAUUUCUCUAACAUUGUCUCUUUAUAUUUGUUUAUCUUGUGCUUAAAUUUAUUGUGUUUAAAAAGAAUUUUUAAAUACCCAAUUCACCCCCCUCUUGGGUGUUUUUCUCUUUUAAAAUUAGCCUUUAUUUUCUCACAAACUAUUGUAGUAUAGUGGUUUUUAGGUGUCAUCCAUUAGGAUGAAUUGUUCUCGGUAAUUAAGGCGUGAAUGAGAGGAGAAUUAAUGAUUGUGAUUAAGUAAAAUUGAUUUGAAAAUUCAUGGUGAAAAAUCAAUUUAACAAUGGUUUCUAAUUGAGAAAAACAAUGAAAUGUGAAAUAAAAUAAAAUUAAUAGGAAAUGAAAUUCUCGAAGUUAGAAUUUUCUAAAAAACAAAUUCCAUGGUGAAUGGAUGUUGAGAUCUAAUUUUCAUCAAGUUAGAUUGAAAACCGAAAUUUUCAUAUAAACUGAUUUUUUAUUUAGUUUUAGGUCUAGAUUUAAUUUCCCUUAAAAUUAGGUUAUUUAAUCCAAGAAAUCAAUUCAAAUCAUAUAUUCAAUUCAUCUUAAAUUAUCUUCCAAUUAUUCACACAAUGCAACUAUUCAAUCUCAUCAAAUCUAGCUUUUAAGAAUUUAAUGAAUCUACCUAGUUUGCAUUGUAAUAGUCAUCCAUGACAAUUUGAAGAGAAAAAUAAUUCAAUUAAUCAAUCACUUGGAUCAAAUUACCUUUGCAAUUAAAGUUCAUUUCUCUAAUUCACCACAGAUUUUGUCUCUAGAUCCUCCUUUCUCAAAGAAAAAUGAGAUUUAGCCACACAUGAUUGGAGAUUUGGUCUCAUAAGGCAUGUUUAGCUAGUGAUAAAAUGAGAGAAAAUAAAGAAAAAUAGAGAAUUCGAUUAAGAAAGAAAAUCUAAAAAAUUCUACAAUUAGAAAUGUCCAAAAAGCUUUUUCAUGAGAAAAUCAAGUUUCUAUUUAUAGGCCAAGGUCAAGUGGACACUUGACAUCAUCUAAGAGGUCUUCCGGAAGCUUCUUCAUCAAGAAAUCUGGAGUUUAAUAAUAAAAUGGUCAUUUCACAAGAGCUCAAACAAUUUCGCAUGAUUAUGUGAAAUAAAAAAUGCAACAACAGCAAUUUACAUCUUCUUGGAGCAUUUCGCAUGACUGUGUGAAAUUUUCACAUGAUCAUGUGGAAUCGACUUGACAACUCUCAUUUAGCCUACAACAUAAUUCCACCUUUUGGUCCAUUUUUCAUAGUCAUGCGAAAUGGAAAUAUUUGAUUUUUAAGUUUUCUUUUGUCAUUUCUUUCAUUUCCUUCUCUUGAUUCCACUUCAACUACCUCCGAAUCCUGGUCCAAACCAAUUGCAUUACUUCUUUCAUUAUGCAUUUGGAUCAUCAUCAACAUUAUUUGUUCUCUUCAAUUUGAUUCAUCUCUUUUGUCACCAAUUUAUCAAAAUCAUACCUUGAAAUGACUCCAAAACUUCAUAAAACUUGUUAGUAACUCUUGCAAGGGCAACAACAUAUUAAUUAAGUGUUUUAGGCAUAGUUACUACUCAAAAGAUGCGAAACUCAUGAUAAUUAUUAUAUAAAAUAUGCUCUUUUUGAGUAGUAAUCAACUUUCUUGCAUAAGCAGACCUUUUAGGGUGGAGUACUAAAGACCAAUAUGCUUGUCCUUGUUGUAAUAAAGAAACUUGCUCUUAUUGAUUGCACCAUGGGAGAAAAUUUUGCUACAUGAGUUAUCAUCAAUUUCUUCCCACCAAUCAUAGAUUUAGACGUGACAAGAGGCCUCUUAAUGGCAAGGAGGAACUGACACUCACACUUAUACAAUUAUCGGGCAUUGAUGUGUUGCAACAAUUAGAAUAACUUACACCAAUUAUGUUGGGGAAGUCACAAAAGGCAAACAUGAAAACUAAAAGGAAAAAAGAAAAAUGUUACAUAUCACCACAACUGGAAAGAAAAAAGUAUUUACUUUCAUUUGCCAUAUUGGAAAGCACUUAUUUUACAUCAUAAUAAUUUAGACAUAAUGCAUAUUGAGAAAAAUGUGUGACAAUAUAAUUGAGACAUUGUUCAGUAUUGACGAAGAAACAAGGACAACCUAAAUAGUCAUCUCGAUUUACAAGCUCUAACUAUUAGAAAUGAGAUUCACCCAAUAGAAAGCAGGACCAAAUUUAUUUUGCUUGCAACAUGCUACUCACUCACCCCAAAUGAGAUUAAGGAAUUUUGCAAGUUUUUGAAAUCAAUAAAGGUCCCCAAUGGCUAUUCUUUCAAUAUCUCUCGUUAUGUGCAACUCAAUGAAAGGAAGAUAUAUGAGCUCAAAUUGUAUGAUUGUCAUGUCCUAAUGCAACAACUUCUCUCACUUGUAGUUCGUGGAGUUCUACAUAAGAAUGUUUGUGGAGUUAUCAUAGAAUUGCGUAAUUUUUUCAAGCAAUUGUGCUCAAAGGUGUUAGAAACAAAUCACUUACACCAACUUGAGAACAAUAUUAUUGUCAUACUAUGUAAAAUGGAGCAAAUAUUUCUUCCAUCAUUCUUUGAUAUUAUGGUGCAUUUACUUGUGCAUCUAGUAAGGCAAAGGUUGCAAGACUUGUGCAAUAUUGUUGGAUGUACCUAAUUGAACGAUAUUGUUAUAAUUUCAUAUGAAUCAUUUAAUUUUAUUUUAUAUUAUGUUCAGUUCAUUAACAUGUACAUUGGUCUACAUAUGGAUGAUGAUAGGUACCUAAGCACUUUAAAGUCAUAUGUGCGUAAUAGAACUUUUCUAGAAGGUUCUAUUGUAGAAAGGUACCUUGCAAAAGAAUGUACAACAUUUUAUUCUAGGUACUUGAAUGAUGUGGAAAUAAAGUAUAAUCACAAUGAUAGAAACUUUGUUGGUUUCAACACUAGAGGAGAUGAAAGGGGUUAUCUUUAAACAUAUUGGACAUGCAUUGGGAAAGCCCAUAUUUCAUUAACUUAGUUCAAAAGAGUGGUCACAAGCACAUUUAUAUGUGUUGACAAAUUGCGAAGAUGUCAUACCAUUCAUUGAGUAAAAAAUUUAUUUGAAUUUUAAUUAAAGCUCUAGUUUAUAUCCUUAAUCAAUGUUUUUUAAAUUCACAAGGAGCACAAGCAAACCAUCAAGGCUAGACCACAUAUACGUGUUUGAGACGUAGAUUUAAUUCAUAACAAGGAAUUUAUCAAGUGGUUUGAAAGACAUGUAAGUAUAUUCCUUAUUAUAAGGGAUUUAUUUCACAUUAUGUUUAUAUUGAAUCCAAACCUAUUAUUGAAUUGUAGGUUGAACAAUUACAUAAUGAAGGUCAUAUAUCUGAACACCUUCUCACAUUAUCAUGUGUUCCAAAUUCAUUAGUUACAUGCUUCAAAUGAUAUAUUGUCAAUGGAUUUAGAUCCCACAUUAAAGAACGUGAUAAAAAAGUUUUUAAAAAAAGACUCAGAAUAAUGGAAUUGUUGUAGUUGCAAAAACGUCAAGCUUUACAAGUGCAUGUGAUAUGAGUCCAAUUAUUAGUGAUGCUCUCUACUAUGGUGUUCUAACUAAAGUUGUUGAGUUACAUUAUCUUGGUGAAAAUAAGGUUGUUUUAUUCGAGUUUGAUUGGUGGGAUGUUACAAAUAUUGGAAAAUUGAUAAAAGAUGAUGAGUACAAUUACACAUUUGUUAACUUUGCAUGAAUUCUAACCACGAACGAACGAUUUGUACUUGCAUCUCCAGCAAAGUAAGUGUUCUAUGUGAAGAAUGCGAAUGAAUCAGAUUGGCAUACUAUCAUGGAGAUGCAACCUCAAGACCUCUAUAAGAUGAACGGGAUAGGAUCCAAUGGUGAUUUUGAACCAUUUCAACAAAGUGAACUACAUGAUCACUAAUAUAUCUCAGAUUUAGUUGAUGAAGAUAUAAUCAAGUGGAACAAAAGUGAUGUUUUAGGACUAAUCAUCCUAAAAAAUAUUGUAGUUUCUUAAAAAAAAAAUGAAAAUGAAGAAGAUAAUUGAACCUUUGUCAUACUUUAAAAAGCAACUAUGCAUUGUUCAUUUUGUAUGUUUUGGUUUUCUUCAUUUAAUUUCCUGAUUUUUGUGAUUCAAUGUCAUAUUAUUGAUCUUGAAAUAUUUUUCUAAUUUUUCAUUCUACGAUGGUUUCAACAAGGAUGACAUCAAGUCAAAAAAGGAAAUGUGGUCCCACACACAAUAUUGCAUUACAGGGAUUAAGGUCAGGGAAGAAGGUAAAAGUUGCAUUUAAUGAGUACAAUCAAUUGGUUAAACAGAAAAAUGGAAAACACUUAUCGAGCUACAUAGGGACACUUGUAUCUAACCAACACAAUGUACCUCUCCAAGCUAGUGAUUGGAAAAAUGUUCCAAAUGAUGCAAAAGAGAAAGUAUGGCCUUUGUUUUGGUAUGUUGUAUUUCUCACUAUAUGAUGUCAUUUCACUGUUAUUCUAUUUUGUGACUAACGUUUGAAUCAUAUGUAAGAAAAAUUUGAAGUAGAUAAAGACUGAAAAGAUUACAUGUUGGGUAUAGCCUCAAAUAAAUAUAGAAGCUAUAAAAAUAUGAUGAAUGCAAAAUACUAUGACCCUUGGCAUAAGGAUGCAUGAGGAGAGGUUAAUACAUAAAUCACCAUUUGUCUCUGAUGUUGAUUGGAAGUGGCUUGUCUCUGAUGCAUAAACCAAAUCCCCCACUGAAUGUUUGAUAUUUGAUAGCAGGAAAAACACACCCGCAGCUAUACACCUCCAUCAUUCAGAUAAUUAUAGUGGGGGAGAUGAUUCAUGGUUGCCCUUAUACCCUUUAUUUGCACCAUCUAUUGAGAUUCUUUAUCAUGGCCAGGUUUUACUGCAGCAAUAAGAUAUGGUGGCAACAAUUUUAUCUAUAGGUGCGGUUCCAGACCGCCUCCAUAGGUGCGGUUCCUGACUGCCUCCAUAGGUGCCUCUUCUUGUAAUGUUUGUUCUGGGAAUUACACUUGAAAGCCUUAUCGUGAUAAGGGAUUACAAACACUAGUUCAGAGGACAGCCAUGUUAAACUUCCACUAUGUUUGUGUCACAUUAUCAGCAGCCUAGUGUUUAUUGGUCAUGCUAUCUGCAACUAAUAUAACCCGGUGAACUUCAAUCUAAAUUCUGAAAGUACUCAUGUGACAGAUGGUGCCUUUCAGCAGAUAUCAUCAAUUUAAAAGUAGUGUGUGUGCCUAUAGGUGGGAAGGCCUUGGCAAAUGUUCAGUAUUCCGGUAAUUCAAGAAGGAUAUAUCUAAAAUAGAUUUUCUUCUUGCCCAUUUCAAUAGUUAAAAUUUGAGAAGAUUGUGUCCACAUCACACAAAUAUUAUUGGUCCUUCUGUUGCAAUUUACCUCUGAACAUGUCUUCCAAUUCCCACGGUCCUGUUACUCCAGGAAAACUAUUUCGGUCAUAUUGAAAAAAAAAAUAUUAAAGAAGGUACACAUGCUUUUAAGUGGACUGGGGCAUUCAUAUCAGGUGGUCUGUAUCCACAUAUGCCACUUCGUGAAAGGUGGAACAGCCUAAUCACUAGGCUAUUUAGUGUGGCCCAGCCACGUUAAUCAAGCACAAGUCUUCAUACUUAAAGUCAAAUGGUGUCUUUAGUCUCAUUACACAUCGCUAUUUGAAGAUUAACUCAUCACUAGUGUAAUGCGAUUAAGACAGUCCUAACUCAAUAUUUGUUCUAGUUUUGGAUGCAAAUGCUUGCUGGUUUCAUCAUUGGAUGGGAUAAAGGUGCAAUCAGGACUAUGAAUACGUGCAGUAAUACUUCAUUCUCUUUUUUCUCAAUGAGACUUCUUGGCACAAUUUUGCUGCUCAGCAACCUACCUUUCCAUGGAAAAUCAGUUGUGACUGAUAGUAAUGGAUAUAUUCUAGAAAGCUAAACAUAGAUAGCAUUCAAUAUUAUCGAUAUAACAUUAACAGCGUAUGUCUCAAUGCUCAUCAGCUACAAGCAAUGGACAAACACUUUGAGUAACUCACAGCAGUCAAAAUUCCUAAACAGGACAGACGUGACAGAUCUAUAUAUAGAACACUGCAUAUGAGUCACAGGAAAAGAUAAUACGGGUACAUAGAAGCUCUUAUUUUACAUAUUACUCAUACUGAUCAAAGUCGCUCAGUUGGGAUGGAUGGGAGAAGGAGGUUUGAGGGGUGGCUUGUGCGGGGAAGUUGGCAGCUUCUUUCCGGGAGCUGGUUGCUUCUUUGCUGGAGUUGAAGGAGGCUUAAUCUUCCGAGGUGGCUUGUAUGAGUCUUCAGCAUUCUCAGCAGGAGGGUGACCAGGGUUGUGACCAUAAUGUGGUGGCUUCUCUCCCUUAGGUGGUUUGCCAACUGGGGUUGGUGGCUUGUUUUCUGGGAGUGGCUUCUCUCCCUUGGGUGGUUUGCCAACUGGGGUUGGUGGCUUGUGUUCUGGGAGUGGCUUCUCCCCCUUGGGAGGUUUUUCGAAUGGGGUGGGUUUGUGUCCUGGUGGUGGCUUCUCUCCCUUGGGAGGUUUACCAAUUGGGGUCGGUGGCUUGUGUUCUGGGAGGGGCUUCUCUCCCUGGGGAGGUUUAGUGGGUGGCUUGUGUUCUGGAGGUGGCUUCUCCACCGGAGGCUUAUGCUCUGGUGGUGGCUUCUCGAAGGGGGGAUGCUCAGGGUAAUCACCAAGUGAGGGGGUGGUGAGAACCACCAUGCCAAGCAACAACACUAGCAAGUAUGUAGUAGACAUCUUUGGGUUUGGACUCAGACAGUGCAAAACUACGAGAAAUCGCUAGCCCUUUAUAGCGGCUCGGACCUAAUACUGACAUAAUAUAAAAUAAAUAUUAUAUUUUAUCAAGAGAGAACAGAGUGUAAUUUUAUCAUUAAUACCGAUCGAGGCCAAAGAAAGAAGACCCAUAAUCCAUUUCCCACAAGCAUACACAAUGCAGCUGUAAUUUUAUCAUUUACUUUUAUCCCUUGGACCACUGCAUUUUUGUUGAGAGACACAAUAACACAUUUUUAUCUGUCAUUCAACAUUUACAGUAAAGAGAGGGCACAAAACGCAAUUAGAUAAAUUAUGUUUUGCCUGCUAAAAAGAGGCAAAUAACUUUAUUUGCAACAUAAUUAUUUUGGUUUCUAGUGACCCCGGGGCCUUUCGGUUGGUUUGGGAUCGGAAAAUGAACAUCAUAGGGGGGGUUGUGCCCUUAUGGGCAUAUAUAUCUGAUAGCUUCAACUGGCCUUGUUCCUAGAAAGAAAUUGCCAAAGAUAUAAACUUAUUCCAGGCUGAAAGUAGAUGAGAGUCAUAAUGAACAUCAACCUUUGUUCAGUUUGAUUCAAUGCCCCCAUAGUGUUCAUUUCACAGAUCUGAAUGAUUAUAUCCGUUGAAUACAUAAAUUAAUGAAGACAAAUAUGAAACCCAAGAUACAUCUCUGCAUAACAACCCCAACCCUGGUUGCUAUGUUUCCCUUCUUCUAUUCACAUGAGGAUACUGGUUAUAAUUGUCAAACUUGCAACAAGCCCUUUGACACCUAACGUCAAUGGACGAAUUAAAAGUCUCCUUCAAACGUCUAUUUCACAGCAUGAAGCUUAUAAAGGAUGCUGACAACCUUCAGAGUUAGCGACAAAAGAUAAUUAUCAAGGAGAGAUAGUUCCAUGAGAAUUCCAAGGAGUCUGAAUCAAAGACAAAUUGCUCACUCAAGGGUUCUUAUUUUCUUUUAGGUACAAAUCUCUUGAGUGUUGUUAAAGAAACACGUCACUGUCAUUUUGAUUUGCAUUUAACAUUUCACUUUUGUUCUGGAAGGUUUGUUCCGGAAACAUAUCAAAUGAGCAUCAUUUUCUUCUUCGGUGACACAUGGUCGCGAGUACGUGGGUCCAUUUUCAUGCCACUUAGUUGAAAAGUUGGAAAGAAAAAACAUGCCAACAAGAAGAUAGUGAGAGAAGGGGCACUUCAAGCCUUUAACAUGAACAAACAGUAAAUAAAAGAUGUUUCUCCACUCAUAAAAGUGUGUUAGAUAGCAAUAUAACGAAUCACAUCCAAAAUCUUUACUAGGCUCAAACAUAAAGAAGACUCAUUUUUAAGAAAAGAUAAAAAUGGCAUUGUCUGAUAGUAUCCAAUACACGAGAUGGCACUUAAUUUGUACAAGAUCUGUCAAUGCUGACGCACAUUUUCUGAUUAAAAAAAAACUGAUCAGUCAAAAGCAAUGAAGAGAAGUGAUGACAAUGAAUGAUGCUUCCAAUAUUUUCACCCCUUAUAGUGUUCUUCAUGAUUCAGAUAUAUAAUUGGAAAUAGAACAACCCUAUGCCAUACAUUCGUCUAAGUAUGGUGUCUAAUUUUUUGUGUCAGCGGUUGCGAAUGGAGCGUGCAAAAGUCCAAAUUGGCGUCUCUCCAUUUCCACAUAGGAAGGUGACCUUUAUUGACAAAUACCCAAUAUUUGUAGACAUUCCUUAAAUAUCAUAACUUCUUGUUGAUUUGAAAAUCAUUUUUCAACUACCAUGUUUUAAUAAAUAUUUUUUAAAAUGUAUUUUUAUCAAAGUCCACCAUGAUGGAUAAUAUUCACCAUGCAAUAAUUAAUAAAGUACAAACUAAGCGAAAUGAAAAGCAUUUUCUUUGCUUUGAGUUGAUUUUGGUUGCAUUGAGUUGAUUUUGGUUUCAUGGUUUUUUCAACUCUUAUUUUGAUUGGAAGAUGUCAAGAAAAGAAAACAUAAAGAAAAAUUAAAAGGGAAAAAAGAAGAAAAAUAAAAAAAAAUAGAUUUAAAAGUUAAUAAAUUAUUUUUUAUAUUUAUUUUAAUUCAUUUCACUUAUUUUUCUUUUACUAUAUAAAAUUUAAAUAAUUUAAAUUUUAUAAUUAAUUUAAUUACAUUUCAUUUUCUUCUAUAUUUAAAUAUUGGAAAAAUAUUUUACUUAAUAUUUUUUUCUUUAAUUUCUUUGGCAUUUUGGGAACCAAACUUAGCCUUUAAAAUAAAAAACAAAAAAAAAAUGAAAAUAAGGAGGGAAAAGUGAGAAAAGAUAAAAACAAUAUGUAAAGGAUUUGAAAAGUAUUAGUUUGUAAUUACUAUUUGGAUUUCAAUAGUAUUUUAUUUGUCUUUCUAUAUUUCAUGUAAGAGAGAAUUUAAGAUAUUCCCCAAGGCAAAGCAUUAGUUACCUGCAAUCAGUGGUGAUAAGGCUCCAAGCCAAUUUUGGGCCCCAUAUCUUAAGACAGUACAAUUUCCAUUUCAACAUUUCUGAUUUCUCAGAUGUUUCACAUACCACAGAAGAACAUUGUUUGUGAAAAUAUGCAUUUAUGUUGGAUUUUGUAUGCUGUGGGGACUGGGGCAAGGAUCAUAUGGAAGAGUGGUUGACUUUUUCUGUACUUUAACGGUUGAAAUAGGAUAAGCACGGGCAUUUGUGAGGCUUAAUUGAUUUUGAAGCCUGAAAUUGCGUUUCUGUCAUUUUGUCAAAAAAAUGGCAGAUUCCAUACUCAUAUGUUUGGCCUGUGGCCAUGUACAGAUGCCAUUUAGUGACCAGUUUGUAACUGUCAAUCGUUGCGUUUUGACUCUGCCUCAACAACAUCUGCCAUUGACGGGUUUUCAUACUUGCAAAUCAAAUAGUCUUUCGUCCCAUCAGGAAUUUCGGUUUAAAUAUUAUUAAGCAUACGUUUGGCUGACAAUCAUUAUCCAGUUCAUGAUUUGGUUUCUUACCCUUAAUCAAUGGUUUCUAAGUGAAUAUAUGUAGAAGGAAAUCCGAAGUGUAGACAGUAGUAUCGAUAACUCUCAAUAUUCUCUAUAUAAUAGAAUAAACAGCGUCAUAGUGAUCGUCGCCUACAAGCAAGGUACAAAUACCAAAACGAGUGACUCACAUAGACAUCUCCCAACAAGAUGUAGUAGUGACUGACACAUGGACACAAUUAACUCGUAGAAAAGGAUAAGACCAUUGCACAGCAGCUCUUAUUUUACAUACUACUUAUGCUAACCAAAGUCAAUUAGUUGGGAUGGGUGGGAGAUGGAGGUUUGUGCGGUGGCUUGUGGGGCGGAGUUGAUGGCUUCUUUCCAGGAGCUUCUGGCUUUUUCAUCGGAGCUGAAGGAGGCUCAAUCUUAUGAGGCGGCUUGUAUGAGUCUUCUUUACUCUCGACAGGAGGGUGGCCAGGGUUGUGAUCAUAAUGUGGUGGCUUCUCUCCCUUAGGUGGCUUGCCAACUGGGGUUGGUGGCUUGUGUUCAGGAAGUGGUUUCUCUCCCAUGGGAGGUUUAGCAAUUGGGGUUGGUGGCUUGUGUUCUGGGAGUGGCUUCUCUCCCUUGGGAGGUUUAGUAGGUGACUUGUGUUCUGGAGGUGGCUUCUCCACCGGAGGCUUGUGCUCCGGUGGUGGCUUCUUGGUUGGAGGGGGCUUGGGGUAAUCAGCAAGAGAUGGGGUGGUGAGAACCACCAGUCCAAGGAACAACACUAGCAAGUAUGUGGGAGACAUUUUUGAGUUUGGGCUGAUCAGAUGAUGCAAAACUAAAGCAUUACGUGACCUUUUAUAGCAUGUAGCUCCCAAUACCCACUAAGUAUUGUGGGGUCCAUUUGUGCCCUACGGGGUUGAAAACUUAGACAAUUGGGCAAGGACCCACCUGACUAUGGAGGACUAGUGAGGUGUGAUCAUAGCUUUAGGAUUUUUCUUCCUCUGCAGCCGUCGUGCCGUUGGCAUGAUUUUCUUAAUCUUAAAUAAAGGCAUAGUUAUAGAGUUGUUUAAUCUCUAAAUGGGAUUUUAUAUAUAUCUUCAGAUAGCCAUUAAUAUAUUUGAUGAAGAAAGAAAGACAAGUGCAUACAACAUGUAUACGACUAGCUUUCAUGGAGUUCAUUUAUGAUCAGUUUUCCUGUACAUGUAAACCAGGAUCAUAUAUAUGUUUCUGUUCCACAACUAUUUUGGAAUCUUGUUUAUCAGUUUUUAUCAUUAUAAUGUCACAUAGGCUGCCAACUUGGGCGCUAAAAGAACCAGUUGGGCUAGUUCGUUUCAGAAUUUCAAUGUGGAUUCAGGAAUUGUUUUGUAAGAUAUGCGAAAUAGUAGAGGGAUGAAUAGUGUUUCAUUAAUAAAAGUGUCCUGUAAAUUAGAAGGUGUCAUAGAAACUAUAAUCAAUAAAUAACUUUUUUUCCCCACGGGUGGUGUUUCUUGUGGGGAUCAGUGACUGGUUUAGGUUCACCCAAAAUGAGUUCAGACUAAAAUUGGUUUGAGUCAAUGCCGUGUCUCUUUUUUCCAGAAAUCAACUAUUUUAUGCAUUGAAUAAAUCAUACAAAGAAAAUAUGAACGCCCGCAAAACCUAAACCCUGGUUGCUAACUUUCUAUGUUUCAGUUCUAUUCACGCAAGAAUAUUAGUUUAAGUUUGGGAAAAAUGGCAACUUACCUAGUGAUUACUUGGUUUUGGUUUGCGACUAUUUACGCAACCAACCAUGAGUUUGACUUUAACGUCAUGGGUUGAAGCCUCCUACAGGAAGGGAGAAAGCUCCACAGCUAGCUCCAAAAGAGAAUUAUCACAUUGAUAGCUCCAGAGAUUCCCAAGGGGACUGAAUCAAAGACAAGUUCCUCACUUUUUCUUCUUUUGAGGCCAAAUAUGAACCAAGGAUCACACAACCUCAUUCAACUUCAUAAGUUUGAUUUCAUGCAGUUGAACACUGGGUGAAGGCCAUGACAAGAAUUGAUUCAAAAAUUCUAUCACUCUUUUAAGUAAUGGAAGAUUAUUAUCUCUGAUUGGCAUCACAACAGCACAUGCUCCUAGAUCUUUCUAGACACUCCAUGCAAUGAAAGCACAAUGGAUCUUGUAACGAUAGAAACUAAGCCAUGCUACAGUACUAGAUGAUGAGGUAAAACUAGUAGACACGGGUGGCAGCCUAUAUGGGAGGGACACAAGUCUAAUUGAUUUGCAUUUCAGCAUUAUAGAUAGGUAUGUUUUGGAAGAUUUGUUCUGGAAAUACCGCACCAAGUAGGAUUCUUUUUCUCUUUAGUGGGUCCACUUGCAUGCCAAUUAACGAGUUGAAAAGUAUGAGCACCUACCUCGUGCUCGUGGAACCGAAGGUCAGUGAAGUGGGGCUCCUUUUGGCCUCGUGUAAACUUGAUUCAGAAGUGAAGUUAAUAGUCUUCCAUUCAGAUGGAUACAUGGGAAUUUUUCUCUUUUAUUUAUUUAUUUAUUUUUUUUUUGUGUGUGUAUGUCAAAGGAUAAUGAAUGAAGCGCGUUAGCUUGUUUUCUGACUGGAACCGCAGAUGUCCAAAUUGGAGUUCCUUCAUUUCUUACUUAGGAUUGUUACAUGUAUAAACAAGGUAUAAGAAAUAUGCCAACGUGUCUUGAGGAGUUAUUGAUUAGAAAUAACAAGUCACCCGACUGUAGAGUUCCAAGAUUUGAAUCUUCAGACCCUAUAGCAGCCUCUGGGGUACGUGGCAUCCUAUAGCAUAUUAAUGAAGGCUUUUUCGAUUUAGACUUCACAAUACCAAUUAAUAUGUAUGCACAAAAUGGAGAUGACCCCAAAAAAAACAGAAUCGCCAUAGUUUAUGAGGUUAAGGUGAUUCUCCACUUAAUAUCUACAUUAGCUAAUUAUGUAAAUCAAAUGAACUUCUAUUUUUCCUUUUUUUUUUUGGUUUAUGUCAAAUAGUAGCCCAUAAUUAACCCAACCAUUAGCCUGUUUGAAUUGAUUUCACAUGCACAAUGUUGUAGUAGUUCAUAUUUUGAAUUUUAUUUUUACAAAGGUAGUUAAGGAAAAUGAAGUAUAAUAAUUAUAAAAGCAGACUAUAUACACUACAAUAAUUGUUAGAAUGGUAUCUCAAAUUCUAAUUUAAAAUAUUAUUUUUUGUAAAAGAAAUAUUAUAUAGAAUAUUUCCUAAUUUUAUAAAUGAUUAUAAUUAGAUCUUUAUAAAAUAAGGAAAGUUGGUAAGAAUAUCUUUAUAAAUAUUUUAGGUCAUGAGAGAAAGAAAUGGGAUAAAAAUGUGAUGAAGAGGUGAAAUAAGAGAGUUGAUUAGGAUAUAGAUGUGAAGAAGAAAGGGAUUCAAUAUAUAUAUAUCUUUCAAUUACCACAUUAAAACCCUGUGAACCUUUUAUAUGGUUUACUUUAUUUUUAUAUUCCUCCUUUAAUAUAUUUACAUUAAUGCUUCCAUUGGCACAACAAUAACGAAUUACAAAUACAAGCAACAAGUCCCAUGUUUUAUUACCAAAAGCAGGUAAAAUCCACCUAAUAUAUUACAAUAUAUUCAUCCAAUAUUUUAGACCAAUUCUUCACCAUAAAUAUCAUAAUGUGGCUUUUGUUCUUUCUUAAAUUUAAAUUGAAUUGUCUUAUAUCAAUUUGUUUGUGAUUUUUUCAUUAACUUCACUUUCAUUUGGUUAUCUUUGGUUUUUGAAAAGUAUUAAGGAAUUAAUUAACAAAAUAAUGUUAAGAAAAAUAAUUUUCUCUCUUUUGAUUUUGAUUUUGUAGUAGAAAAAUAUAAUUAAAAUUAUUUAAAAAGUAUGUAAUUUUAAAUUAUUUAAUAUUUAGAUAAAAAAAAUAAGUCUAAUGAGUUUAAAAUAACAUAUAAAAAUAAUUUAUUUAUUUUAAAUUUAUUUUUUAUUUUCCAUUAUGUUCUCUUUCUCUUUUACUUUUUCAUAUUUUUUCUUACGAAGAAUCAAACACAACCUCAUAUUAUAUGUCAAGUGUUUGUCUAUAUUUGAGCAAUGUUAGAUACGGCCAUGGAUUCAUCAAACUAAACUGAUUUUAAUAGAUACUUCACAAAUUGAUUUAUACACUAAAUCAUUGGAUAGCAAUGAUGCAUUGGAAUUAAACGUAGGAUGAAGCUCGAAGAACACUGUUUGUGUAACAACAUAUUUAUGAAAUUAUGCAAAGGAUGAGCUUCGGGGUAGUAGUACAAGGUCAUUAAUGGAGAGCCGUGUUAAACCUUGAUUGUGAUUGGAUUCCGUUAUCAGCAACAGCAACCUUGUUUGUAACCUUGAAAGUCAUUCUGUCCACAUCGAAACUCCAAUUUGACGUUUGUAAUUACCAUUCCUGGAGUGUUCCUUGAUUGAAAUUUAAAUAAUAAUUGCGGCCCACAAGGAAUAUUUUCGAUUCUGUGGGAAUUUGACAAGGUUUGUUAGAGAAGACUGGUGACAUGUUGACUUCAAUGGUUCAAAUAGGAGACGUAUGUGGAUUUGGGGGGUUUAAUUGAAACUGAGUCCCUAUGGCUUUUUAAUAUUUGCAUUGAGCAGUCUCCAUGUGACUUCCUAAUUCCCACCAACCCUCCUGUCCAUGCUGUGAAACUAAAUUGUAAUUUAUCAGCCUUUGUCAAUGGUUUCUAAAUUAAAGAUAUAGACCAUGCAUGUACUUUAAUAAAAGCAAAUCUAAAGUGUAGAUAGCAGCAAUGGUGACACCCAAUAUUCUCCAUAAAAUAGAAUUAGAAUAAGCAGUGUUACAUUGUUCAUGAUCACCUACAAGCAUACAAGAACUUCCAUGAAUAACUCAUAGCAAUUGCCAACAGGGCGUCGUAGAGACUCAUACAUAGAACACUAUCCACCCAGAGGAAAGGACAAGACCAGUGCGCUGCAGCUCUUAUUUUUCACAUGUAUACCACCACUCGUAAUAACCAAAUUCACUCAGUUGGGAUAGGUGGGAGAUGGUGGUUUGUGGGGUGGCUUGUGGGGAGGAGUUGGAGGAGGCUUUAUUUUCUGAGGCGGCUUGUAUGAGUGUGCAGGAGGAUGCCCGGGAGUGUGACCAUAAUGUGGUGGCUUCUCUCCCGUAGGUGGUUUGCCAAAUGGGCUUGGUGGCUUCUCUCCCUUAGGAGGUUUACCAAUUGGGGUUGGUGGCUUGUGUUCUGGGAGUGGUUUCUCUCCCUUGGUAGGUUUGCCAAUUGGGGUUGGCGGCUUAUGUUCUGGGAGUGGCUUCUCUCCCUUGGGAGGUUUGCUAAUUGGGGUUGGCGGCUUAUGUUCUGGGGGCGGCUUCUCUCCCUUGGGAGGUUUGCCAAUUGGAGUUGGCGGCUUAUGUUCUGGGAGUGGCUUUUCUCCCUUGGGAGGCUUGCCAAUUGGGGUUGGCGGCUUAUGUUCUGGGGGUGGCUUCUCUCCUUUAGGAGGUUUGCCAAUUGGAGUCGGCGGCUUAUGUUCUGGAAGUGGCUUUUUUCCCUUGGGAGGUUUGCCAAUUGGGGUUGGCGGCUUAUGUUCUGGGGGUGGCUUCUCUCCCUUGGGAGGUUUGCCAAUUGGAGUCGGCGGCUUAUGUUCUGGGAGUGGCUUCUCUCCCUUGGGAGGUUUUGUUGGUGGCUUGUGUUCUGGAGAUGGCUUCUCCCCUGGAGGCUUGUGCUCCGGAGGUGGCUUCUGAAAUGGCGGGGGCUUGGGGUAAUGAGCAAGAGAUGGAGUACUGGUGAGAACCACCAUUCCAAGCAACAAUACUAGCAAGCAUGUGGGAGACAUCUUUGAGUAGUUGUAGCUAAGAUGGCGCAACACUGUAGGCAUUGGGUGGCCUUUUAUAAAGGGCUGGACCCAACAGCCAUAUGACACGUGUCAUGAUGACAAAUGAAGUUGAGGGGAUCCAGAUGGGUCCUACUGAGUCGAAAACUUGCACUAAUUGAUCUGGUGAGAUGACUAUUUCUGUCCUUUUGCCCUUCUCGGCCACCCUGUGCUGUUUUCCUUUUGCACGAUUUUCGUUGCCAAACAAGCAAAUAAUAUUUCGCCAAGAAAGAGGAGAGUGAAUGUGGAAUGCAUCAAGUCCCAUCAAGGAUGGCAGAGAAGAAAUAGAAGAUUGCCCAACUGUGAUAAACAUAGCAUACACGUAGCACCAGGAACUUCAUUUACUUCCAUCUAAUGGAACAUAACAAUCUUCUAAAGUUUUUGCAUGAUUUUGUUAUAUGUCUCUUAGCCUAAAGUUGGAAAUGCGCAACAAAUUUUGUCACUUCUCUAUUUCCCACUGAUGAUGUUAAUUAGCCUUCAUAGAUAUCAUCCUUUCUACAAAGUGCUUCAUUUGUGUGUUAUUGUAAAGUGUAAGAAAAGUAAUUGAACAUGUUCUUUUUCCUUUCAUAGAUGACUUUUGAUGUGCAUUUUAAAAGCAGCGCUGUGAGUCGGUGACCUUGAUUCACACGGAAACUAAGGCUCCUAUAGGACCCACUUUUAGCUGGUUAGGGGUGAAGAAAAUAUCAACUUUUCAGAGUGAUUUAAGUCAAGGCCAAGCCUCACUGUGUCAUUACUCGUGUGAAUUUUAUAUGCACAUACAUACAUAAAUAAAGUAUGAGACCCAAAUAACACCUUCCCUUUACAAACUUAACCCCAGCCGCUCUCUUUCAAUUCUUUUCACACAAGGGUAUUGACUCUAUAAAGGUCAAGAAAAUCAUAAUUUCCUAGGGUUUACAAGGUAAUUGGCUUAAUGCUAAUGUGAAAACAUAAAAGAUAAUAGUAUAUUGUAAGCUAACGAAUAUUCUAUAGUUAUAAUUAUUUGUGAUGUGCAUAAAUAAAUCUUCAUAUAUAUAAUGGAACAAUGAAUAAAGAACCAAUGAAAAAAUACUAUAUAUCAUUGCUUGGCAUUUAAACCGUAUAUGCUGCUCUUUCUAGCUACUCCAUCCACUGAAAGACAACAAGGUAAUCCAUGUUAUAAUGAUAGAAGAUACUGUCUCUAGGCUUUUUGUGAUGAAAAAUAUAAGAUAUGGGUAGGGUUGACCCUUGUAUGUUUGUCCUAUAAACACUUCAAAGUAACAUAUUUUUCUUCUUUAGCAACUCAUAAUGAUGGGGUUCAUUUGCAUGUCACUGAGUUGAAAAGUUGGACAAUUGCCCAUGUCGCCUUCCUCCUAGAUUCCGUAGUUCACGGGAAGGUAACUCAAGUUUGACAUAUUUUGAAUUCUUUUCACUCGGACGUCUUCAUAACCUGACAAAACAAAAAUGAAAAACAGAGGAUUGGUAUAUUAUUCAUGGUAAGCCUCAAAUUAUAGUAGUAUGAGAAAGGAGAAAAAGAUUUUGGGAACUCCAAUCUGGAUAAUUCUCGUUUCUUCUCUUGAAUAAAAAUUUCACUUACCUAACUUCGUUUGGAGAAAUGGCAUAUUUUAAUUUUGUACGUCAUUGCUAAUAAAUGGAGCAAUUUAGCAUGUUUUGUGACUGAAACUGCAAAUGUCCAAUUGGCAUUUCUUCAUUUCCCACUUAGGAUCUGAUCUUGUAGACCAUAUAACGAUAUGUAUCUGUGCAAGCAUUGAAAACUAAUGUGAACUAUGAGGAGUUACAAGCCACUGGACUGUAGAGCGAGUGCCAAGAUUUAAAUCUUCAGGCUCUAUCUGGGUAAGGGGAGGAUAGCGACCUAACCUUUUACCAAAGGCUUAGAAUUUAGACUUUUGGAAAAAAAUUUCUCAUGUUUUGGCUGGAUUUCUUGUGCUUGGCGCAAAAAGGAGAUGGCCUCAAGAAAUAGCAGACUCACUUUUGUUUUCAGCCCUUAAUAAUUCUCCACUGCUUUCCAUAACUACAUGGGUUAUACAUGCAGUCUGCUGCAAUAUUCCAGUUAUAUUUAUUAUUUCAAAGAGGGUGAAUGACUUCACAUGCAAUAUGUUGCAGUAACAACCCAAAUUUUGGCACACCAUCUUAAGAAUAGAAAAGUAUAAUAAAAGAAAUCAAUCAGAGAAUCACUUUGCAUGCAGUUCAUAGAGUUCGCCCAAAAUGGAGCCACAUGUACGGACAACCCCACAAUAGACAAUCUUCUCUAUACAGUAAUAAAAUACAGAAAUGGUUAAUGAAGCUCUGUAUUUCCUUAUCAUAUAUGACCGGUUGAAAACUCAGCAAGUCUUCCUCAAUCACAGACAGUUGGAGUUGCUUCAUCAAAAUCAUGCCUUCAUUACUGGCUUCAUUUUGGUUUCAAUGUCUGUUCUACCCUUAAAUUGGGUCUCUGCUUACUACCGGGAUAUCCUUUAGCGUCCUGCAAUUCUACUAGAUUAAAGAGAAUGACUUAAUUCUGCAUUCUGCCGUCCCUAGUCCAAGUGGUACUAGAAUUGAUGUUUCCUUUAGUGUCCUUUCUUCAUACUUUCAGGUUCUUCCCUUGUUUCAAUAAUGCUGUUUUCCUUCAUGUUUAACCUCUGUUGAACCACUUAAAACAACACAAUUUGCACACCAAUGUUUCUUUACAGAAAAGACUGUUUGCAAAAAUGCACAUGUUAUAAGGUUAAUGGAAGAAUUAAUUUGGGGAUAAGGGACUAGGAUUGGGCCAAUGAAGUUUGGUGUUAAAUUUUGAUUAUGAUUGCUUUUCAUUAUCAGGUACCUUAUAUUUGCUGAUGCUAUCUGGAACUAAAUUCAAAUCAGACAUUAUCCGAUUACUAACAGGACAUAUCAUGUCCCUCUGCAGAGUUUCUAAACUAACAUGUAUCGAAAUGUGGCCCCAAAAGGAAGGCUAGGAAGAUGGAGGAUUUUGUAGGAAUCGACCAGAAUCAGAUGGAAGAGAGAUAGUCCUGUUGACUUUAAUGGUUGUGAUAGGAACAUGCAUCAUUAUAUGAGAAGUUGCAUGAAUUUAUGUAUCCUGUUAUCGUUCCUUGACGAUUUCCCAAUGCAAUUUCACUGUCCACAAGACUAACCUCUCCAUGCAGUCAAAUGAAUUGUAAUUUCUCUAUUGGUACCAGUAGUACAUUUCAUACCAAACAUAUAGUAAAUAUAAAAUAUAAAUAGAUCAAGGAAAUCUGAAUUGUAGAUAGCACUGCAAGUAACACUCAAUAUUCUCUAUAUAUAAUAAAAUAAACAGUGUCACAAUACUCAUCACCCAGUGGCAAGGGAGAAAAACCUACAAUGAGUACUCAAAUCACCAUUCUCAAACAGAAACAUAGCAGUGACUGAUACAUAGAACCUAUAUGCUCACAGGGAAAGAAUAAGAUGACCAGUGCACAGCGGGCAGCAGCUCUUAUUUUACGUACAACUCAAAUCCCAAACUAACCAAAGUCGCUCAGUUGGGAUGGGUGGGAGAUGGUGGUUUGUGGGAUGGCUUCUGGGUAGGAGCUGGUGGCUUCUGUCCCUUUGGUGGUUUGCCUAAUGAGCUUGGUGGCUUGUGCUCCGGGAGUUGUUUCUCUCCCUCGAGUAGGUUUCGAGUCUUGUCAGAUGGCUUGUGUUCUGGUGGUGGCUUCUCUCCCUGGGGUGGUUUGCCGAAUGGGCUUGGUGGCUUGUGUUCGGGGAGUGGCUUCUCUCCCUGGAGAAGGUUACGAGUUUUGUCAUAUGGCUUUUGUUCUGGUGGUGGCUUCUCUCCCUGGGGUGGUUUGCCGAAUGGGCUUGGUGGCUUGUGUUCGGGGAGUGGCUUCUCUCCCUGGAGAAGGUUACGAGUUUUGUCAGAUGGCUUGUGUUCUGGUGGUGGCUUCUCUCCCUGGGGUGGUUUGCCGAAUGGGCUUGGUGGCUUGUGUUCGGGGAGUGGCUUCUCUCCCUGGAGAAGGUUACGAGUUUUGUCAGAUGGCUUUUGUUCUGGUGGCGGCUUCUCUCCCUGGGGUGGUUUGCCAAAUGGGCUUGGUGGCUUGUGUUCGGGAACUGGCUUCUCUCCCUUGGGAGGUUCAGUUGGUGGCUGCUGUUCCGUAGGUGGUUUCUUCACCGGCGGCUUGUGCUCCGGAAGCGGCUUCUCUACCUGGAGAAGCUUACGAGUUUUGUCCGAUGGCUUGUGUUGUGGUGGUGGCUUCUCUCCCUGGGGUGGUUUGCCAAAUGGAGUUGGUGGCUUGUGUUCGGGGAGUGGCUUCUCUCCAUUGGGAGGUUUAGUUGGUGAUUGGUGUUCCGUAGGUGGUUUCUGAAGUGGGGGAUGCUUGGGGUAGUCAGCAAGAGACGAGGUAGUGAGAACCACCAGUCCCAGCAGCAACACUAGCAAGCAUGUGGAAGACAUCUUUGAGUUCAGGCUGAGAUCUGUGCAAGGAUAACAGAAUUAGGUGGCCUUUUAUAGAGGCCUGGACCCAACACCCAUAUGACACGUGUCAUGCACUCAUGGUGACACAUAAUUCUAUGGGACCAUUUGGGUCCUACAGAAGUUGCAAAGUUGGACUACUGAGGUGUGAUCACAACUUUUGUCCUUAUUGCUUUCUCUGCGGCCAUUGCACGAUUUCCUUUAGCAUCAUUUUCUUGGCUAAAUAAGCGUAUUAUAUUUGUGGCAGACCGUCCACGUGUCAUAAACAGAUAUAUUAUAAUAAUGUAGUAUGCUUUUCUCCAAUGGAACAUGACACUCUUCUAAGUCUUGUUUUAAAUAUUGUGCAGGAUUACUUUAUACGUUGCAGUUCCAAGUCAAAAUUGGUGGGCAAACGUUGGCCUUUUUUCAUUUCACCUAAGAUUAAUGCUCACCUGGGAUAGGCACUACAUGACUUAUCUGCUCUUUUACUGUAAAGUUGCUUUGUGUAUGAGAUACACCUCCCCUGCACACCCUCAACAUUCGUUGCUCUGUUUUCCUUGUGUCCAGACGAGGAUAUUAAUUGGAGGCUGACAAAACGACUGCUAGCCCAGGAUUUACAAGGUCCUGGUUUGAGGCUUCGGUGAAAGUAUUUUUGAAAAGACACACAUAGAGAUAGUGCGUUUGGUGCAAUGCAGCACUGUGAGCCAUUCUGACGCGUUCUUAAUUUCAAAACUAAUGAAUGCUUCAAAAUUUUAAGAAGUGACAUUUCCAAAUAUUUGAGUUCGUUUAAUUGAACAUUGGAUAACUAGUGAUCAUAGAUUAUUAUCUGUGCUUGGCACUAUAAGAGGGUAUAUGCUUCUUUUUCUGGCCCCUCCUUCAAGGGAGGAGGGACAAUGUGAUCUGUAACGUUAGAAGCUAUUCCAUGUCAUCUUUGGGCUCAGUUCAAAACUAAAAGAUAAUGGGGGGGGGGGGGGGGGGCAUAUCAUUUUAUAUUUCUUCUAGAAGGUUUGUUCUGGAAAUAUUUCACAGGAGCAUAUCUUUUUCUUCUAUUACGUCAUCCGCAGCCUCCAAUAGGUCGGUUAACAAGCCACCGAGUUGAAAAGUUGGAAAAAUGGGAACACAGCCCGCCUCUUGUAUUCAGUAGUUAAAUAAAAGGUCACUAGAAGUGAGAUCCCUUUUGGCGUCUUGAUUUUCAAUCCAGCACCUCUGUGACCUGACAAACCAAAAAAACUAAAAAAUAAAAAACAGUACGUGGGUUGGUGUUAAGCAUCAAGACAUGUUAAUGAAAGAAGGUAGAGAAUAGGAUAUUGAAAUCCCAAUCCUGAUAACAUGAUUUUCUUUGCUAACAACCAUAUUAUAUUUUAUCAAGAAAGAGUAAUGCAUGUGGCGUCCAUCAAGACCCAUUAGAGUUCCGCUAAAGCUAUAGUUCUGUCAACGUUAUCAUUUACGUUUCCUCUAGAUAAUGGCAUUUUCCUCUAAAGCUCUUGCACCAUUAGGCUUCAAGUCAAAAUUUCACAUGUGAACUUUGGAAAUUUUCUCCAUUUGCCCCUAAGGAUACAGUUAGAAUUGACUUAAAAUCCUGAUUGAUAUGUACUAUUAACCAAAGAAUAUUGUAUAUAAUAAUUGAAAUAUUGUUGAUUCAUCGUGGAAAUACAUUUUGUAAGGAAAGUUGUUGAGAAUUUAGUAUGCUAUAUGGAGAAAAAAGUCAUGACUUAAGGUUGUGUAUGUAUAUUCUAUAUCAAAUAUUAGGUAGGAAUGUGGGAAAGAGCAGAGUGUAAUGAUAAGAAACAAAGAAAUAUAAGAUAUUCUUGAAAGUGGAAAAUAUAAAAUGGCUAACGAGUCAAAUUUAUGAUGCGUAAGGGGGAUCAUGUCACAUAAGAAAACCAUGGCAUACUAAAGACGUACGUGUGGUAUGGAGUAAUAAUUUUGUUAAAAUAAGUUUCUUGUUGGAGUACAUUAGGUGACUAUUCAUAACGUAUCAAAUUAAAGAGUCAAGUGCAUCAAUGAAGGCAUAUGUAGAAAAUUUGUUUGUGACAUGUACCAUAAAGAUAAGAUUGACUUGAUAGAAUUUAGUCUAAGUAGGAGUUGUUAAAGGUGUCUUAAAUUUCUAAUUGAUGUAUAUUUUUUUCUAAAAAAAUAUUAUAUAGAUAUUUUAAUAAAUGAUUAAUUCUUUGUAAAAAUACUUACAUAAUAAAAAACAUCAUUAAAAAUAUCUUUAUAAAUAUUUUAAGUUACAAGAAGGAAAAAAACCACUGUGAGAUAAUGAUGAACAUGCAACACUGUACCAAGUAAAUAAAAAUGUGAUAAAAAAAAAAGAGAAACACUCGAUAAAGGAAGGCUCGUAUAUAAAGAGUAAUAUUUUUAAUCAUAUGAUAGAAUGAUUUUCUCUCAUUCAUGAAUAUAGGCAAGAUUGGGGAACCAUUAUAAAAUUUUGUACACCUCGUGUAAAUUGAUGUUUGUCUUCAUAUUUUACACCAACAAAUGACAUUGAAGUUGUCAUUGAUAAAAGGGAAAAGGCAUGCCUCCACACCAUGUGCUUGAUUCGAAUGGUUCAAGUUUGAAGAAUUUUCUCCGGAAGAUCUAAAACAUUUUCGCCUUUAAAUUUCAUUUGAUUAUUAAUAUCCGAAAAAAUAGUUAAAUACUCUUUCUAUUUUUGAGUUGUUGAAUUUUUUGAAAGUUUUUAUAUUUGUUAUCAAGAAUUUCUAUUUUAUUAAGGGUGAAUAUUUAUAAAUAAGAUAUUAUAUAAUAUUUGGAUAAGAGAGAAUGGUGGAAUAUAAUAAAGUUUUAAUCCUUCCCAAUUUUGAACCUUUUUUUUUUUUUUUGAUAUAAUCGCCUUUCUCUUGCAAUCCUAUUAUCAGGUACCUUAUAUUUGCUGAUGCUAUCUGGAACUAAAUUCCAAUCAGGCAUUGUCCAAUUACUAAUAGGACAGAUCAUAUCUCUCUGUUUCUAAACUAACAUGUAUCGUAAUGUGACCUCAUAAGGAAGGCUAGGAAGAUGGAGGAUUUUGUGGGAAGCGACCAGAAUCAGAUGGAAGAGAGAUAGCCCUGUUGACCUAAUGGCUGUAAUAGGAGAAGCGUGUGGUUUUAUGGGACUUAACUGAUACUAAACCUGUAUGAUGCUUGGAGUGGUGUUUCUUUCAUUUUGUUAAGAAAAUAUGGCAGCAUACAUGCUUUCAACUGAGUGCAUCAGAGCAUCCAUAACAGAUGGUCUGCAACCCUAGGUGCAUGCCACUUUCUGACUGAUAAUGAAAUUGUCAGGUACCUGGCCUUGACUAAGCUCAACAGCAUCACAUAAAGAGAAGCUUUCAUACUUAGAUUACUGUUUAAAGUUUUUGCUUAUUUGAUUUCUUAAUGCCAUUAUGACAUUAUUGAUUCAAUUCUGCUUCCGAUUUUCGAAGUUCUGGGCAUCUACUGAUUGCAUCAUUAUAUGAGAAGUUGCAUGAGUUUAUGUAUCCUGUUAUUGUUCCUUUGCGAUUUCACUGCUCACGGGACUAACCUCUCCAUUCAGUCGAAAUGAAUUGUAAUUUCUUUACUGGUAGCAGUAGUACUUUUCAUAGCAAAGAUAAUAGAAAAUAUGAAAUAUAAAUAGAAGGAAAUCUGGAUUGUAGAUAGCACCAUAAGUAACACUCAAUAUUCACUACAUAAUAAAUAGACAGUGUUACAUAGGUAGAGAAACCUACAAUGAGUACUCAUCACCAUUCUCAAACAGAAACAUAGCAGCGACUUAUACAUAGAACCUAUAGGCUCGCAGGGAAAGAGUAACAUGAUAAGUUCACAGCGGGUAGCAGCUCUUAUUUUACGUAUUACUCAAAAUCUCAAACUAACCAAAGUCACUCAGUUGGGAUGGGUAGGAGAUGGUGGUUUGUGGGGUGGCUUCUGGGUAGGAGCUGGUGGCUUCUUUGUUGGAGUUGAAGGAGGCAUAUUCUUCUGAGGUGGCUUGUAUGACUCUUCGGCACUCUCUGCAGGAGGGUGCCCAGGGUUGUGACCAGAAGGAGGUGGCUUCUGUCCCUUUGGUGGUUUGCCUAAUGGGCUUGGUGGCUUGUGCUCCGGGAGUUGUUUCUCUCCCUCGAGUAGGUUUCGAGUUUUGUCAGAUGGCUUGUGUUCUGGUGGUGGCUUCUCUCCCUGGGGUGGUUUGCCGAAUGGGCUUGGUGGCUUGUGUUCGGGGAGUGGCUUCUCUCCCUGGAGAAGGUUACGAGUUUUGUCAGAUGGCUUUUGUUCUGGUGGCGGCUUCUCUCCCUGGGGUGGUUUGCCAAAUGGGCUUGGUGGCUUGUGUUCGGGAACUGGCUUCUCUCCCUUGGGAGGUUCAUUUGGUGGCUGGUGUUCCGUAGGUGGUUCCUUCACCGGCGGCUUGUGCUCCGGAAGCGGCUUCUCUACCUGGAGAAGCUUACGAGUUUUGUCAGAUGGCUUGUGUUGUGGUGGUGGCUUCUCUCCCGGGGGUGGUUUGCCAAAUGGACUUGGUGGCUUGUGUUCGGGGAGUGGCUUCUCUCCAUGGGGAGGUUUAGUUGGUGGUUGGUGUUGCGUAGGUGGUUUCUGAAGUGGGGGAUGCUUGGGGUAGUCAGCAAUAGACGAGGUAGUGAGAACCACCAGUCCCAACAGCAACACUAGCAAGGAUGUUGAAGACAUCUUUGAGUUCAGGCUGAGAUCUGUGCAAGGAUAAAAGAUUUAGGUGGCCUUUUAUAGAGGGCUGGACCCAACACCCAUAUGACACGUGUCAUGCACUCAUGGUGACACAUAAUUCUAUGGGACCAUUUGGGUCCUACAGAAGUUGCAAAGUUGGACUAUUGAGGUGUGAUCACAACUUUUGUCCUACUUGCUUUCUCUGCGGCCAUUGCACGAUUUCCUUUAGCAUCAUUUUCUUGUCUAAAUAAGCGUAUUAUAUUUGUGGCAGACCGUCCACGUGUCAUAAACAGAUAUAUUAUAAUAAUGUAGUAUGCUUUUCUUCAACGGAACUUGACACUCUUCUAAGUCUUGUUUUAAAUACUGUGCAGGAUUACGUCAUAAGUUGCUUGUUCCAAGUCAAAAUUGGUGGGCAAACGUUGGCCUUUUUUCAUUUUCCCUAAUAUUAAUGCUCACCUGGGAUAGGCACUACAUGAUUUAUCUGCUCUUUUACUGUGAAGUUGCUUUGUGCAUGAGUUACACCUCCCCUGCACACCCUCAACAUUUGUUGCUCUGUUUUUCUUGUGUCCAGACGAGGAUAUUAAUUGGAGGCUGACAAAACGACUGCUAGCCAAGGAUUUACAAGGUCCUGGUUUGAGGCUUUCACGAAAGUAUUUUUGAAAAGAUACACAUAGAGAUUGCGCGUUCGGUGCAAUGCAACAAUGUGAGCCAUUCUGAAGUCUUAAAUUUCAGAUUAAUGAAUGCUACAAAAUUCUAAGAAGGGCCGUUUCCAAAUAUUUGAGUUCAUUCAUCCGAACAUCGGGUAUAUGCUUCUUUCUCUAGCCCCUCCUUGAAGGGAGGAGGGACAAUGUGAUCUGUAUCGUUAGAAGCUAUUCCAUGUCGUCAUCUUUGGGCUCAGUUCAAUACUAAAAGAUAUGGGCGGGGCCCUUAUCAUUUUAUAUUUCUUCUAGAAGGUUUAUUCUGGAAAUCUUUCACAGAAACAUAUCUUUUUCUUCUCUACGUGAUCCGUGGUUUGAAAGUUGGAAAAAUGGGUCCGUUAACAAGCCACCGAGUUGAAAAGUUGGAAAAAUGGCAACACCGCCAACCUCUUGUAUUCGAUAGUUAAAUAAAAGGUCACUGGAAGUGAGAUCCCUUUUGGCCUCUUGAUUUUCAUUCCAGCAUCUCUAUGGCCUGAUAAAUUAAAAAACUAAAAAAAAAGACAGUACGUGGGUUGGUGUUAAGCAUCAAGAGUCAAGACAUGAUAAUGGAGAGAAAGGAUAUUCAAAUUCCAGUUCUGACAACAUGAUUUUCUUUGCUGAACUACCAUAUUAUAUUUGAUCAAGAAAGAGUAGUGCAUGUGGCCAGGAUCAAGACAUACAUUAAUUUCCACAUGAUGAAGACAGUUUCUGAGAGUUUCUUCUAAAGCUCUUGCGCGAGUAGGCUUCAAGUCAAAAUCUCCCAUGUAAACACUGGUUUUUCUUUCAUUGCCACUAAGGAUGCAGUUAAUAUUGACUUAAGAUCCUACGUGAUAUAUUUUUUUAAAAGAGCUAUAUUGUAGAUAAUAUUUGAAAUAAUGUUGAUUCGUUGUGGAAAUAUAUUUGUAAGGAAAGUUGUUGACAAUUUAAUAUAGUAUAAGAAGAAAAAAGUUAUCAACUAGCUAGAGAUGAGUAUGUAAAGUGAGGCUCACGAUUCAACGCGUAAAUAUAAGAUAUUUUAAGGCUCAAUAGUUAUGAUAUCUAUUUUAUUUUUUGUAUCUCAUAUAUUCAAAGAUAUAGUAAAAUGAUUUUACAUAUAUAUAUAUAUAUAUAUAUGAACAUAACUAUUUGUGCCAAUUGAUUUUUAUCUUUAUUUUGUAUAUUAGUAAUUAUAUUAAAGUUUUUACUAAUAUAAUAACUAAUAUAAAAGCUUUUUCUAAAAGAGUCAACAGAGCAAAACACUUAUUAUAAAAAAUAAUUUUGAUUGAAGGUGGAGUCAAUUAUUCUUUAUUUAACAUGUAAUGCAUACGGCGUGUACUUCAUAACUAAAGUAUAUAAGUGUAACAUCUCUUAUAUAUUCUCAUUCAAUCUCGAAAGUGGAAAUUUUAAAAAGAUUAAACGGUUCAAAUUUGUCGUGCAUAAAGGGGAUCAUGUCACAUAAGCAAACCAUGGCAUACCAAAGACAUAGGUAUGGACUAAGAAUUUUUUUCAAAUAAGUUUCUUAUUAGGGUACAUUAAUAGGUGACUUUUUAUGACAUAUCAAAGGAGUCAAGUGCACCAAUAAAAACAUAUAUAGAAAAUUCAUGCAUGACAUGUAUCACUAAGAGAAGAUUGACUUGAUAGAGUUUAAUCCAAAUAGGAGAUUGUUAAAAGGUGUCUCAAAUUCUUGAUUGAUAUAUAUUUUUUUUAUUAAAAAGGUUAUUAUAUAGAUAUUUCAAUAGACUAUUAAUUCUUUGUAAAAAUAGUUAUAUAAUGAGGAUGGUGAUUAAAAAUAUCUCUAUCAAUAUUUUGGAUUAUAAAAAGAAAAAAAAUGAGAUAAUGAUAAACAUAUAAAACUUGUACAAGUAGAUAAAGAUGUGAUGAAAGACACUUGAUGAAUGAAGGCUUUGUAUUUCAAGAUAUAAAUAUAUGGAGCAAAACUCUUAAUUAUAUGAUCAAAUGAUUCUCUCAUAUUCAUGAAUAUAAGCAGGAUUGGGGAACCAUGAUAGAAUCUUAUAUGCCUCUCCAUGUAGAGUGAUCGAUGUUUAUCUUCAUAUUUUACACCAGUGAAUGACAUUGAAACUCUUAUUGAUAAAAGGGAAAAGGCAUGGCCUCCACCCCAAGAAAAACAAGUAACCUCGGUUUAAAUCACUAGUCUACACCCCGAAGAGAGAACUAGCCAAACCUACUAAAAGAGAAACUUAACAAUUUAGAAAGAAACCGUCCAUGAUAAAGGGCCCCUAAAGGUCCAAUUCAGUGAGGUCGUGAACAAAAACACUUUCAUGUCAAAACAGAGAUAGGUACCACCAAAAUGUAAAGGGAAAGAUGUAAACCACGUCGAACUUUGGUAAUCAAUGGUAAAGAUAGCAUGAUAGCUAAAAGCACUAAAGCUGUGCUUGGUAUGCAAAAAUGAAAAGUGGAAAUCAGCGUCUUAUUCUUUUUCACCUUUAUUCACAUAUUAGGAUAACUAAUAUCUAAUGUUUUUUAUGUCUCAAAUUCUAUUCCAUGUUAUGGUAAACUUUCAUCUUGUUUAGAUCACUUUUGUCUGGUUUGGGCUCAAGACGAUAAGCCUAUAGAGACUUCAUAUUGGGUUGAAUCGAUGCCCUUGAUCUGAUCUGUUCGUUAGAAAAAUCUGAAUUAUUAUAAGCAUUUAGAUAAAAAAUAAAUAAAUGUGAAACACAAACUACUCCCUGCACAACCUUGACCCUAGUUACUCAGUUUCACUGCUCACAGGACUAACCUCUCCAUUCAGUCGAAAUGAAUUGUAACAAGAAGAUUUUUGACAGGAGGACGGUAGUUUAAAAUAAUAAUUUCUAAAGUACUUUUGUGAAAAAAAAUAAUUCCAAACGUGGAUUUUAUCAAGUAAAAAGAAAAAAAAAAGUUAUUUUCUUUUAAAAUCUGUUCUUCUAAAGAUGAUAUAUAUACCAAAAAAAAAAAUUGUUUUCUGAAGGUAAAAUUUUUAAAAUUCAUUUUUAAAAAAAUUUACACACUAAAAUUAUCUUUUCAAGAGAAGAUUUUUUUAAUUUUAAAUAAUUAUUAAUUUAUAAUUAAUUUGUUAUUAAUUAUUUAUUAAUUUUUUUAUUUGAAAAAUGCAUUUAUAAAAAACAAAUUUGUUAUUAAUUUAUUAAAUAAUUUUUACAAAAUAAAUAAUUUUUUUUUAUUUUAAUUUUAAAAUUAAUUUUAUUAUAUAAAUUUUAAAAUUAAAAAUAUUAAUAUUUAAUUUAAAAUUUAACUAUAAAAGGAAUAAAAUAUAGAAAAAUAAAUUAAUUUAUUAUUCAAUAAAUUAAUUUUCAAUAAAAUUUUCAGCAUUAAGAGAUAAAUUUUUAAGUAUUAAUCAAUUUAAAAAGAAAUAAUGAUCAUUUGUAUAUUAAGAUAUUUUAUUUAGUAAUUAUGAAUGAUAAACAACUAAAGUAAUUUGAAAAAAUAAUAAAAUAUUUAAAAAAUAAUAAUUUAAUACACGUAAAAUUAGAAAUGAUUAACUAUUUUUUAUUAAGAAAAAAUUGAGGAAAUAUUUUGUUAUUUAAAAUUUUUUAUUUGUUUUCAAUUUUUAAUGUUAUAGGUUUCAAGAAAAUUGAUCAAAUAAAAAUUAAGAAGUCAUUUUUUCAAAAACUAUAUAUCUAAAUAAAAGCCUUGAAAUUCAAAUACACAAUAUCAUAAAUAUAAACACCAAGUCAAUCCUUAAUUAUCAAAUGUUUUUAAUAUUAAAGAAUCAAAAUCACCUACUAUCAUGAUAAUAAGAAAACCAAUAAUAUUGUUCAUAUAAAUACUAAAAAGCUAACAAAUAUCCCAAACAAUUAAUAAAGUAUCAAACAUGAUAAAAAGUCAAUUAUUAUCAUGAAUGCAAAAAAUCAAUAAUUUUGUUUAUAUGAACCAUCAACAAAGAAAAAAAAAAUCAAUAUCUAAAUAUUAAACAUAAUUUAUAUUUUUAUAAAUAUUAUUGUUGAUAAAUAUCUUAACAAUUAUAAUUUUAGUAAAUAAAAUUAAUUAAUUUUAGUUUAAGAAUUAUUUUUUUAUACUUUCGUAUUCUUAUCAAAAAUCCCCAUUUUGCAUGUCUCCUUUGGCAUGACUUUCUUACCUAAACAAGCAUAUAUAUAUAUAUAUAUAUAUAAAAUAUUUGGUUAAGAAAGAGUACUAAAGUUUAUAUGGCACACAUCAAGAUAGAAACAGAAGUGGAAGAUAAUCCAAAUGUAUGAACAGAUAUAUUAUAUCCAUGUAGUGGUAGUGACUUCAUUAUUUACUUUUAUCUAAUGGAGCAUGACACACUUCUUCUGAAUAUUUUGCACGAUUAUGUUAUGUGUCAGCUUGUUCUAAGUCAAAACUAGUGAUAAAAAUCGGUUUUUUUUGCAUUUCCUUCAUGAAGAUGGCACCUGGAUGGGGCACUACAUGAGUGGCAUAGCACGAAGUGAUUUAUCUGCUCCCUUUACUAUAAAGUGCUUUGUGUAUAAGUUACACCUCCCCUGCACUGCCUCAACAUUUGUUGUUCUGUCUUCCGUCUGUCCAAACGAGGACAAACGUAUGUUGUAGGUUGACAAAACCACAGCUAGCCUAGGAUUUGCAAGGAUCUAGUUUGAUUCGUAUGCAAAAGGAUUGGUGAAAAGAUUCACAAAGAUAAUGCUUUUUGCAAUGCAAUCUUGUUCUAAUUCAACAGUGUGGACCAUUUUCAUGUAAUGCUUCAACUAGAUGUCAGUUUCAUGAAUUUUUGUUCAUCUAAUUGAUCACUGGAUAGGCCAUAACCCGAAGAAAUUCAAAAUUCCCUUCAGUACUGUAGCUAAGGAAAGAUCCCUAUCUACCACUGGGAUUUUAAGAGGGUAAAAAUGUAGGUGGGUGCCUAUAUCAUUUGCACUUCACUAUAGGCCUCUUUGGGAAGAUUUCUUCUGAAGACAUUUCAAAGAAACAUAUUUUUCUCUUCUCUCCGUAAACGGCAGCUGCAAGUCAGUCCAUUCACAGGCCACCGAGUUGAAAAGGCUGGAAAAUUGGCCAAAGCACCCGCCUCCUGGAUUCCAUGGGUAAGGAAAAGGUCACUGGAGGUGUGAUCCCUGUUGGCCUCUUGAUUUCCAUUCCGCCAUCUAUAUGACCUGAUAACCCAAAAACACAGAAGGAAAACGUCACCUGGGUUCAUAGUAAGCAUCAAGUCAUGAUAGAGACCAGACAACAUGACCAACAAAGAGUAGCGAAUGGGGCCAACAUCAAGCCCCAUUACGGUUAGAAGAUGGAAGAAGUAGAAGACAAUCCAAUUCUGAUAGAUUCGGGCAAAUGUAGUGCUGUUCAAACUUAAUCAUUUACUAUUUCUUCAUGAAUCACGGCAUUUUUCUUCUGAAAAUUUUCCAAGAUUAGGCCUCUGAAGAAAAAUUUCAUAUGUAAAUUGGUAUAUUAAGGAAAAGGCGUUACAAAGGUGAAAAAAAACCAAUCAAAUCUUAUAUAUGACAUCUCAAAAAUAUGAACUUGCUAUAAAUAUUUAAAAUCAAAAUCUUGCACAUCACCUCGUAGUACGAACUUGCUAUAAAACUUGAAAAUCAAGAAGAAAGGGGCAGUAUUGGACGAGACUACUUAGCACAUAUUAUUAUGAUGUUUUUUCAUUUUCUUAAUGUUGUUUUUAUGUCUUAAAUUCUAUUAUUCUAUGUUACGGUAAACAUUCAUCUUGUUUGUGUGGAAUAGGAUCACUUUUCUCUGGGUUGAGUCGAUGCCCUUAGUUAAUUUGUUCAUUUGAAUAAACUAAAUUAUUAUAAGUAUUUAGAUAAGAAAAACGUGAUACAUAAAUUACGCCUCUCGGCACAACUUCAACACUGGUUACUCUGUUUCAGUUUCCUCACACAAGAUUAUUGGUUCUAGGGUUUAUUUGGUUUUGGUUUGAUUCUAAUUGCUAAACUUUCUCAAGGAAGAUGUUAUAUAGGGAGUGAGAAACCUUCACUCUUGGCUACCUCCAAGAGAAGAGCAAGUGGUCUGAAUCAAAGAUAUACUGCUCACUUUUUCUUCUUCUAAGGACAGCUAUGACCUUGCUUUAAGGUUCGAAUAGCCUAAUGCAACCUCCCAUUUCUCAAGUCAGCUGAUGAUGUAAGUCACCUUGGCUUUCCACAUUCAUACGGUGAGGACGUUUGUGGGUGUAAUUCUCUUAACAGUUUUCAUUUUAUAUGGAAAAAUUCAUAAUUAAGGGUAAUUACUGAUUCCAUUUGACAGUGACCAAGUUUAAAAUAUUAAUUCAUAUAUUAAAUGCACAUUAAAAAAUCAUGGAAUAAAUAUAUUUACUAAUAUAUAGUUCUUUUGCCAUGUUCUGUCACAGAAGCAUCGAACUUUCCCUAGAAAUUUUUGCAUGGUAUUCUACUUAUGAUUUUGAAAACUCUAGGCACCUGAGGCCACUAAUUGCAUGGUUGGAUGAGGAGCUGCAUGAGAUUAUGUAUCGUGUUGUUCCUUAACUACAAAUAUCAGUUUUAAGUAGCAUCUCCAUGUGACAUUUUCCUGAUGCAAUUUCGCUGUCCACCAACAAAUUUCACCAUGCAGCAAGAUGAAUUGUAAUUUCUUUAUUGUUAUCAACAGCUUUAAUUAAUCUUGAUAUAUAUAUAUAACUUAGUAGAAGUAUAUUAAUCUAGAUUGUAGUUGCACUAAGAUAAUAGGCAAUAUUAUAACAGUGCCACAAUGCUCAUCGCCAAAUAGAAAGGUAGAAAAACUACAAUGAGUAACUCACAACAUUCUCAAACAGGACAUAGCGGCGACUGAUACAUAGAACACUAUUGGCACUCAGGAAAUGAUAAGAUCAGUGCCCAGCAGGCAGCACGUCUUAUUUUACAUACUACUUAAAACUAACCAAAGUCAUUCAGUUGGGAUGGGUGGGAGAUGGUGGUUUGUGCGGUGGCUUUUGGGUAGUUGGUGGCUUCUUUCCUGGAACUGAUGGUUUUUUUGUUGGAGUUGAAGGAGGCUUAAUCGUCUGAGGUGGCUUGUAUGAGUCUUCAGCACUCUCUGCGGGAGGGUGCCCAGGGUUGUGACCAUAAUGGGGUGGCUUCUCUCCCUUAGUUGGUUUGCCAAGUGGGCUGGCUGGCUUGUGCUCCGGGAGCGGCUUCUCUCCCUUAGGUGGUUUGCCAAAUGGGCUUGCUGGCUUGUGCUCUGGGAGCGGCUUCUCUCCCUCAAGAAGUUUACGGGUUUUGUCAGAUGGCUUGUGUUCUGGUGGUGGCUUCUCUCCUUGGGGUGGUUUGCCAAAUGGACUUGGUGGCUUGUGUUCGGGGAGUGGCUCCUCUCCCUUGGGAGGUUUAGUUGGUGGCUGGUGUUCCAUAGGUGGUUUCUCAACCGGGGGCUUGUUCUCCGUUGGUGGUUUAUGAACUGGGGGAUGCUUGGGGUAGUCAGCAAGAGACGGGGUGGUGAGAACCACCAGUCCCAGCAGCAACACUAGCAAGUAUGUGGAAGAGUACAUCUUUGAGUUCAGGCUGAGAUUUGUGCGAGACUUGAAGAAUUAGGUGGCCUUUUAUAGCUGGCUGCACCCAACACUCACAUGACACGUAUCAUGGUGACACAUGUGCUAUGGGUCCAUUUGGGUCCUACAGAAGCUGAAAACUUUUGACUAUUGAGGUGUGGUCACAACUUUUGUCCCUAUUGCUUUCUCCGCAACCGUUUUACAUGUUUCCUUUGGCAUAAUUUUCUAAGCUAAACAAGCAUAUAUCAUAUUUGGUUAAGAAAGAGUAAAGUGUAUAUGGCACACAUCAAGGAAGAGAAACAGAAAAAGUGGGAGACAAUCAAUUGUGAUAAACAGAUAUAUUAUAUUCAUGUAGUACUAGUGACUUUAUCAUUUACUUUUAUCCAAUAGAUCAUCACUCUUUCUUCUAAAUAUUUUGGAGGAUAAUGGUACAUGUUGCUUGUUUCCAAGUCAAAAUUGGUGGCAAAAAUCGGCAUGAUACGAAAGGAUUGGUGAAAAGAUUCACAUAGAUGGUGCUUUGUGCAAUGCAGUCUUGCUCUAAUUCAACAGAGUGGACCAUGGUGAUGUAUUUUAAAUUUUAAAUUUUAAAUUAAUGCAUGCUUCAAAGUUUUAACUAGAUGUCACUUCCAUGGAUUUUUGUUCAUUUAAUUGAGCACAGGAUAGGCUAUCAAACUUGAAGUAAUAUAAAAAUCCCUUCAUUACUGUAACUAAUGAAAGAUCAUUAUCUGCGCUUGGUAUUUUGCCAAGGUAUUUGCUGCUCUUUCUAGCCCUGUCUUACAGUUAAGGACAAUGUGAUCUAGUUAACCUUAGAAGCUAUUCCAUGUCAGAUACAAGAGAUCAAGCACAUUAUCUUUGGGCUCAGUUCAAAACUAUAAUAUAUGGGUGGGGUGGAGGCCCAUAUCAUUUGCAUAUCACCACUAUUGGUUUAGUUUGGAAGGUUUCUUCUGGAAGAUUGCUGCUUUCUGGAAUCAUUUCAAAGAAAUAUAUCUUUUUGUUCUCUUGGUGACGAGCAGCGGCAAUCAAGUCUGUUGACAAACAACCGAGUUGAAAAGUUUGAAAAUUGGUCACAGCCCACGUCCAUGGUUAAGGAAAAGGUCACUGGAAGUGAUCCCUUCUGGGCCUCUUGAUUUCCAUUCUGACAUCUAUAUGACCUGAUAAAUAGAAAGAAAAAAAAACAGAAGAAAAGCGGCACCCGGGUUCAUAGUAAGCAUCAAGACAGGAUACUGAAAGAAGGGAGAAAGGAGAUUGCAAGUCCAAUCCUGAUAAAAUGAUCAACAAAGAGUAUCAAAAUGGGGCCAACAUAAAGACCCAUUGAGGUUAGCAGAUGGCAUGGCAUUUUUCUCCUUAAGUUUUCCAUGAUUAGACUUGAAGUCAAAAUUUCACAUGUAAAUUUGUAUUUCUACAUUUCCCACUGACGACACCCAACUUCAACUUGAGUUAGAAUAACAUUGUGUGAACUUAUCUGGCCCUCAAAAUUUACUGUGAAGUGCUUUCUGCGUGUGAAGAUUCAGAAAAGCACCAAGGGAACAUGUAUGGUCUGCCUUUUUCUGAUGUUAUGUUUGUCUCUAAUUCUGUUCCAUGUCAUGGUAAAUGUUCACAUUGCUUGUAUGGAACACACCAGGAUCACUUUUUCGGGUUUAUUUUGAGGCUUCAUAUUGGGUUCAUAUUGGGUUCAAUGCUUUUAAUGUGUUCAUUAGACAAAUCUGAAUUAUCAUAUGCAUUUAGAUAAGAACAAUAAUGUGAAACCCUAGUUACACCUCCCCUGCAUAACCCCAACCCUGCUUACUCUAUUUCAGUUUACUCACACAAGUUUUACCGGUUCUUAUAAGUCAAGAAAAGGCAACUGAUGUUGGAUUGACUCUCUUCCAUGUAUAAAAAGCAACUUUUAUAUAUACAUAAAAUAACUUCUUCCCCUCACCAAUGUGGGAUAUCAUGGAUUUAUUCUGGAAACACAUCAAAGGAACAUCUUUUCUCUUGGGUGACCCUAAGUGGUGAGUCAGACCAUUUGCAUGCCAUUGAGUUGCACAGUUGGAUAAAUGCACCUACCUCCUGGGCUCCAGAGUUAAAAGGGUGGAUCCCUGGAUCGCAACCCUCUUGGCAUCUUGGUUUCCAUUCCAACAUCCACAUGACUUGACAAAACAAAAAACAGAAUAAAAUCAUCACUAUUUUCAUGCUAAGCACCAAUACAUGAUGGAAAUCAUUGCUUAAAGAUUUGGGGUCAUUUAGGUUUUGACUGCCUCCUAACACCUCACCUAAUCACAAGUUUUUAUGCUUACAAAUCAAAUAUCGUUCUUCAUUAUAUUAAAAUCAUUUUAAGAUUUCAGAUCCAUCUGCUAAUUAUGAUUAUGAUAACAUUAAUUCACCUGUGCUUCUCAUUUUCGACACACAAGGCAUCUAGGUUUGCAGGAUUUCCUUAUUAGAUGAGAUAAAUGAGUACGCAUGGUUAUGUAUGCAGCAUUCAUUAACCAUGGUAUGUGACAUUUAGAAUUAAGAUAGCAAGCAAACUUUCCCUGCAGCUUGAGUAAAUUGUGAUUUCUUAGCCUCUAUGAGUGGUUCCCAAAUCAAAUUAACAUAGUGAAAUAUACGUAGUCCAGUGAAAGGAAAUGUAAAUUAUAAACUAACAGCACUACACUACUGGUAACACUCGAUACUCUCUAUAUAAUGCAAUGAAAUAUACGUUAUACGUUGCUUGUUCCAAGUCAAAAUUUGUGGCCAAACGUUGGCCUUUUUUCAUUUUCCCUAAGAUUAAUGCUCACCUGGGAUAGGCACUACAUGAUUUAUCUGCUCUUUUACUGUAAAGUUGCUUUGUGUAUGAGUUACACCUCCCCUGCACACCCUCAACAUUUGUUGCUCUGUUUUCCUUGUGUCCAGACGAGGAUAUUAAGUGGGGGCUGACAAAACGACUGCUAGCCAAGGAUUUACAAGGUCCUGGUUUGACGCUUCCGCGAAAGUAUUUUUGAAAAUAUACACAUAGAGAUUGCGCGUUCGGUGCAAUGCAACAAUGUGAGCCAUUCUGAAGUUUUUAAUUUCAGAUUAAUGAAUGCUACAAAAUUCUAAGAAGGGCCGUUUCCAAAUAUUUGAGUUCAUUUAUCCGAACAUCGGAUAAGUAAUGAUCAUAGAUUAUUAUUAUUAUCUGACGUUCUUAUAAUGGUUGGCAUUAUAAGAGGGUAUAUGCUUCUUUCUCUAGCCCCUCCUUCAAGGGAGGGACAAUGUGAUCUGUAUCGUUAGAAGCUAUUCCAUGUCGUCAUCUUUUGGCUUAAGUCAAUACUAAAAUAUAUGGGCGGGGCCCCUGUCAUUUUAUAUUUCUUCUAGAAGGUUUGUUCUGGAAAUCUUUCACCGAAACAUAUCUUUUUCUUCUCUACGUGAUCCGUGGUUGGAAAGUUAGAAAAAUGGGUCCGUUCACAAGCCACCGAGUUGAAAAGUUGGAAAAAUGGCAACACCGCCAACCUCUUGUAUUCGAUAGUUAAAUAAAAGGUCACUGGAAGUGAGAUCCCUUUUGGCCUCUUGAUUUUCAUCCCAGCAUCUCUAUGUCCUGAUAAACUAAAAAACUAAAAAAAAAACAGUACGUGGGUUGGUGUUAAGCAUCAAGAGUCAAGACAUGAUAAUGGAGAGAAAGGAUAUUCAAAUUCCAGUUCUGACAACAUGAUUUUCUUUCCUGAACAACCAUGUUAUAUUUGAUCAAGAAAGAGUAGUGCAUGUGGCCAGGAUCAAGACAUACAUUAAUUUCCACAUGAUGAAGACAGUUUCUGAGAGUUUCUUCUAAAGCUCUUGCGCUAGUAGGCUUCAAGUCAAAAUUUCCCAUGUAAACACUGGAUUUUCUUUAAUUGCCACUAAGGAUACAGUUAAAAUUGACUUAAAAUCCUACGUGAUAUAUAUCUUUAACAAAAGUAUAUUGUAUAUAAUAUUUGAAAUAAUGUUGAUUCGUUGUGGAAAUAUGUUUGUAAGGAAAGUUGUUGACAAUUUAAUAUAGUAUAAGAAGAAAAAAGUUAUCAACUAGAGAUGAGUAUGUAAAGUGAGGCUCACGAUUCAACGCGUAAAUAUAAGAUAUUUUAAGGCUCAAUAGUUAUGAUAUCUAUUUUAUUUUUUGUAUCCCAUAUAUUCAAAGAUACAGUAAAAUGAUUUUAUAUAUAUGAACAUAGCCGAUAGUAUCAUGUUAAAACCUUAUAUGACUCUUUGUGCCAAUUGAUUUUUAUCUUUAUUUUGUGUAUUAGUAAUUAGUAUUAAAGUUUUUACUAACAUAAUAAUUGAUAUAAAAGCUUUUUCCAAAAGAGUCAAACAGAGCAAAACACUUAUUAUAAAAAGAAUUUUGAUUGAAGGUGGAGUCAAUUAUUCUUUAUUCAACAUGUGAUGCAUACAGCGGGUACUUCAUAACUAAAGUAUAUAAGUGCAACAUCUCUUAUACAUUCUCAUUCAAUCUCGAAAGUGGAAAAUUUUAAAAGAUUAAAUGGUUCAAAUUUUCCGUGCAUAAAGGGGAUCAUGUCACAUAACCAAACCAUGGCAUACCAAAGCCAUGAUAUGGACUAAGAAUUUUGUUAAAAUAAGUUUCUUAUUAGGGCACAUUAUGUGACUAUUUAUGACAUAUCAAAGGAGUCAAGUGCAUCAAUAAAGACAUAGAAAAUUCAUGCAUCACAUGUACCACUAAGAGAAAAUUGACUUGAUAGAGUUUAGUCCAAAUAGGAGAUUGUUAAAAGGUGCAUCAAAUUCUUGAUUGAUAUAUAUUUUUUUUAUUAGAAAGGUUAUUAUAUAGAUAUUUCAAUAGACUAUUAAUCCUUUGUAAAAAUAGUUAUAUAAUGAGGAUGGUGAUUAAAAAUAUCUCUAUCAAUAUUUUGGAUUAUAAAAAGAAAAAAAAUAUGAGAAAAUGAUAAACAUAUAAAACUUGUACAAGUAGAUAGAGAUGUGAUGAAAGACACUUGAUGAAUGGAGGCCUUGUAUUUCAAGAUGUAAAUAUAUGGAGCAAAACUCUUAAUUAUAUGAUCAAAUGAUUCUCUCAUAUUCAUGAACAUAAGCAGGAUUGGGGAACCAUGAUAGAAUCUUAUAUGCCUCUCCAUGUAGAUUGAUCGAUGUUUAUCUUCAUAUUUUACACCAAUGAAUGACAUUGAAACUCUGAUUGAUAAAAGGGAAAAAGCAUGGCCUCCACCACAAGAAAAACAAGUAACCUCGGUCUAAAUCACUAGUCUACACCCCGAAGAGAGAACUAGCCAAACCUACUAAAAGAGAAACUUACCAAUUUAGAAAGAAAUCUUCCAUGAUAAAGGGCCCCUAAAAGUCCAAUUCAGUCAGGUUGUGAACAAAAACACCUUCAUGUCAAAACAGGAAUAGGUACCACCAAAAUGUAAAGGGAAAGAUGUAAACCAAGUCGAACUUUGGUAAACAAUGGUAAAGAUAGCAUGAUAGCUAAAAGCACUAAAGCUGUGCUUGGUAUGCAAAAAUGAAAAGUGGAAAUCAGCGUCUUAUUCUUUUUCUCCUUUAUUCACAUAUUAGGAUAACUAAUAUCUAAUGUUUUUUUUAUGUCUCAAAUUCUAUUCCAUGUUAUGGUAAACUUUCAUCUUGUUUAAGUGGAAGAGUAGGAUCACUUUUGUCUGGUUUGGGCUCAAGACGAUAAGCCUAUAGAGACUUCAUAUUGGGUUGAAUUGAUGCCCUUGAUCCGAUCAGUUCGUUAGAAAAAUCUGAAUUAUUAUAAGCAUUUAGAUAAAAUAAAUAAAUAAAUGUGAAACAGAGACUAUUCUCUGCACAACCUUGACCCUAGUUACUCAGUUUCACUGCUCACGGGACUAACCUCUCCAUUCAGUCGAAAUGAAUUGUAAUUUCUUUACUGGUAGCAGUAGUACUUUUCAUAGCAAAGAUAAUAGUAAAUAUGAAAUAUAAAUAUAUAGAAGGAAAUCUGGAUUGUAGAUAGCACCAUAAGUAACACUCAAUAUUUACUACAUAAUAAAAGAGAUAGUGUUACAAAGGUAGAGAAACCUACAAUGAGUACUCAUCACCAUUCUCAAACAGAAACAUAGCAGUGACUUAUACAUAGAACCUAUAGGCUCGCAGGGAAAGAGUAACAUGAUAAGUGCACAGCGGGUAGCAGCUCUUAUUUUACGUAUUACUCAAAAUCUCAAACUAACCAAAGUCACUCAGUUGGGAUGGGUAGGAGAUGGUGGUUUGUGGGGUGGCUUCUGGGUAGGAGCUGGUGGCUUCUUUGUUGGAGUUGAAGGAGGCGUAAUCUUCUGAGGUGGCUUGUAUGAGUCUUUGGCACUCUCUGCAGGAGGGUGCCCAGGGUUGUGACCGGAAGGAGGUGGCUUCUGUCCCUUUGGUGGUUUGCCUAAUGGGCUUGGUGGCUUGUGCUCCGGGAGUUGUUUCUCUCCCUCGAGUAGGUUUCGAGUUUUGUCAGAUGGCUUGUGUUCUGGUGGUGGCUUCUCUCCCUGGGGUGGUUUGCCGAAUGGGCUUGGUGGCUUGUGUUCGGGGAGUGGCUUCUCUCCCUUGGCAGGUUCAGUUGGUGGCUGGUGCUCCGUAGGUGGUUUCUUCACCGCCGGCUUCUCUCCCUGGAGAAGGUUACGAGUUUUGUCAGAUGGCUUCUGUUCUGGUGGCGGCUUCUCUCCCUGGGGUGGUUUGCCAAAUGGGCUUGGUGGCUUGUGUUCGGGAACUGGCUUCUCUCCCUUGGCAGGUUCAGUUAGUGGCUGGUGUUCCGUAGGUGGUUUCUUCACCGGCGGCUUGUGCUCCGGAAGCGGCUUCUCUACCUGGAGAAGCUUACGAGUUUUGUCAGAUGGCUUGUGUUGUGGUGGUGGCUUCUCUCCCUGGGGUGGUUUGCCAAAUGGACUUGGUGGCUUGUGUUCGGGGAGUGGCUUCUCUCCAUUGGGAGGUUUAGUUGGUGGUUGGUGUUCCGUAGGUGGUUUCUGAAGUGGGGGAUGCUUGGGGUAGUCAGCAAGAGACGAGGUAGUGAGAACCACCAGUCCCAGCAGCAAUACUAGCAAGGAUGUGGAAGACAUCUUUGAGUUCAGGCUGAGAUUUGUGCAAGGCUAGAAGAAUUAGGUGGCCUUUUAUAGCGGGCUGGACCCAACAACCAAAUGACACGUAUCAUGAUACACAUAUGUGUUAUAAGAUCCUUGUGGGUCCUACAGAAGUUGAAAACUUUGACAAUUGAGGUGUGAUUACAACUUUUGUCCCUAUUGCUUUCUCGUCAGCCGUUUUGCAAGAUUUUUGACAGGAGGACGGUAGUUUAAAAUAAUAAUUUCUAAAGUACUUUUGUGAAAAAAAAUAAUUCCAAACGUGGAUUUUAUCAAGUAAAAAAAACAAAAAAAAGUUAUUUUCUUUUAAAAUCUUUUCUUCAUGAUUCAUAUACCAAAAAAAGAAUUGUUUUCUGUAGGUAAAAUUUUUAAAAUUCAUUUUUAAAAAAAAAAAAUUACACACUAAAAUUAUCUCUUCAAGAAAAUAUUUUUUAAAUUUUAAAUAAUUAUUAAUUUAUAAUUAAUUUUUUAUUAAUUAUUUAUUAAAUUUAUAUGUGAAAAAUGCAUUUAUAAAAAACAAAUUUUUUAUUAAUUUAUUAAAUAAUUAUUUACAAAAUAAAUAAUUUUGCUUUAUUUUAAUUUUAAAAUUAAUUUUAUUAUAUAAAUUUUAAAAUUAAAAAUAUUAAUAUUUAAUUUAAAAUUUAACUAUAAAAGGAAUAAAAUAUAGAAAAAUAAAUUAAUUUAUUAUUCAAUAAAUUAAUUUUCAAUAAAAUUUUCAGCAUUAAGAGAUAAAUUUUUAAGUAUUAAUCAAUUUAAAAAAUAAUAAUAAUCAUUUGUAUACUAAGAUAUUUUAUUUAGUAAUUAUGAAUGAUAAACAACUAAAGUAAUUUGAAAAAAUAAUAAAAUAUUUAAAAAUAAUAAUUUAAUACACUUAAAAUUAGAAAUGAUUAACUAUUUUUUAUUAAGAAAAAAUUGAAGAAAUAUUUUGUUAUUUAAAAUUUUUUAUUUGUUUUCAAUUUUAAAUGUUAUAGGUUUCAAGAAAAUUGAUCAAAUAAAAAUUAAGAAGUCAUUUUUUCAAAAACUAUAUAUCUAAAUAAAAGCCUUGAAAUUCAAAUACACAAUAUCAUAAAUAUAAACACCAAGUCAAUCCUUAAUUAUCAAAUGUUUUUAAUAUUAAAGAAUCAAAAUCACCUACUAUCAUGAUAAUAAGAAAACCAAUAAUAUUGUUCAUAUAAAUACUAAAAAGCUAACAAAUAUCCCAAACAAUUAAUAAAGUAUCAAACAUGAUAAAAAGUCAAUUAUUAUCAUGAAUGCAAAAAAUCAAUAAUUUUGUUUAUAUGAACCAUCAACAAAGAAAAAAAAAAUCAAUAUCUAAAUAUUAAACAUAAUUUAUAUUUUUAUAAAUAUUAUUGUUGAUAAAUAUCUUAAUAAUUAUAAUUUUUUAUAUAUUAAAUUUAGUAAAUAAAAUUAAUUAAUUUUAUAAUAUAAGAUAUAUAUAAUAAUUAAGAGACUAUUUGUCCCAAACAAUUUAUUUAUUUUUUUUUUAGGAAAUUGUCUCUUCAAGAGACGACUUCUCCCAACAUUUUUAAAAAAAAAAAAAAAAACAUCUAUUCAAAAGACGAUUUCUCCUCAUUUUUUAAAAAUGAAUUUUAGAAAUCAUAUUUUCAAAAAUGAAUUUUAGAAAUCAUAUUUUCAAAAGACGAUUUUUUUUUAUAUAAAUUAUUUUUUAAAAUGACGAUUUUAAAAGGAAAUAACGAUCUCUCUCCUACUUGGCAAAAACUAUGGUAAAUUUGGAAUUAUUUCUUCCACAACCAUAGUUUAAGAAUUAUUUUUUUAUACUUUCGUAGACUUAUCAAAAAUCCCUAUUUUGCAUGUCUCAUUUGGCAUGACUUUCUUACCUAAACAAGCAUAUAUAUAUAUAUAUAUAUAUAUAUCACUUUUGUCUGGGUUGAGUCAAUGCCCUUAACUAAUUUGUUCAUUUGAAUAGUCUAAAUUAUUAUAAGCUUUUAGUUAAGAAAAAUGUGAAACAUAAAUUACACCUCUCGGCACAACUUCGACACUGGUUACUCUGUUUCAGUUUAUUCACACAAGAUUAUUGGUUCUAGGGUUUAUUUGGUUUUGGUUUGAUUCUAAUUGCUAAACUUUCUCAAGGAAGAUGUUAUAUAGGGAGUGAGAAACCUUCACUCCUGGCUACCUCCAAGAGAAGAGCAAGUGGUCUGAAUCAAAGAUAUACUGCUCACUUUUUCUUCUUCUAAGGACAGCUAUGACCUUGCUUUAAAAUGUUCGAAUAGCCUAAUGCAACCUCCCAUUUCUCAAGUCAGCUGAUGAUGUAAGUCACCUUGGCUUUCCACAUUCAUACGGUGAGGACGUUUGUGGGUGUAAUUCUCUUAACAGUUUUCAUUUUAUAUGGAAAAAUUCAUAAUUAAGGGUAAUUACUGAUUCCAUUUGACAGUGACCAAGUUUAAAAUAUUAACUCAUGUAUUAAAUGCACAUUAAAAAAUCAUGGAAUAAAUAUAUUUACUAAUAUAUAGUUCUUUUGUCAUGUUCUGUCACAGAAGCAUCGAACUUUCCCUAGAAAUUUUUGCAUGGUAUUCUGCUUAUGAUUUUGAAAACUCUAGGCACCUAAGGCCACUGAUUGCAUGGUUGGAUGAGGAGCUGCAUGAGAUUAUGUAUCCUGUUGCUCCUUAACUACAAAUAUCAGUUUUAAGUAGCAUCUCCAUGUGACAUUUUCCUGAUGCAAUUUCGCUGUCCACCAACAAAUGUCUCCAUGCAGCUAGAUGAAUUGUAAUUUCUUUGUUGUUAUCAACAGCUUUAAUUAAUCUUGAUAUAUAUAUAACUUAGUAGAAGUAAUUAAUCUAGAUUGUAGUUGCACUAAGAUAAUAGGCAAUAUUAUAACAGUGCCACAAUGCUCAUCGCCAAAUAGAAAGGUAGAAAAACUACAAUGAGUAACUCACACAACAUUCUCAAACAGGACAUAGCGGCGACUGAUACAUAGAACACUAUUGGCACUCAGGAAAUGAUAAGAUCAGUGCCCAGCAGGCAGCACGUCUUAUUUUACAUACUACUUAAAACUAACCAAAGUCAUUCAGUUGGGAUGGGUGGGAGAUGGUGGUUUGUGCGGUGGCUUCUUUCCUGGAACUGGUGGUUUUUUUGUUGGAGUUGAAGGAGGCUUAAUCGUCUGAGGUGGCUUGUAUGAGUCUUCAGCACUCUCUGCAAGAGGGUGCCCAGGGUUGUGACCAUAAUGAGGUGGCUUCUCUCCCUUAGGUGGUUUGCCAAGUGGGCUGGCUGGCUUGUGCUCCGGGAGCGGCUUCUCUCCCUUAGGUGGUUUGCCAAAUGGGCUUGCUGGCUUGUGCUCUGGGAGCGGCUUCUCUCCCCCAAGAAGUUUGCGGGUUUUGUCAGAUGGCUUGUGUUCUGGUGGUGGCUUCUCUCCUUGGGGUGGUUUGCCAAAUGGACUUGGUGGCUUGUGUUCGGGGAGUGGCUCCUCUCCCUUGGGAGGUUUAGUUGGUGGCUGGUGUUCCGUAGGUGGUUUCUCAACCGGGGGCUGGUGCUCCGUAGGUGGUUUAUGAACUGGGGGAUGCUUGGGGUAGUCAGCAAGAGACGGGGUGGUGAGAACCACCAGUCCCAGCAGCAACACUAGCAAGUAUGUGGAUGACAUCUUUGAGUUCAGGCUGAGAUUUGUGCAAGACUAGAAGAAUUAGGUGGCCUUUUAUAGCUGGCUGCACCCAACACUCACAUGACACGUAUCACGGUGACACAUGUGCUAUGGGAUCCAUUUGGGUCCUACAGAAGUUGAAAACUUUUGACUAUUGAGGUGUGAUCACAACUUUUGUCCCUAUUGCUUUCUCCGCAACCGUUUUACAUGUUUCCUUUGUGGUGUUUAAUAGUGUUUUUUUCCUUAAUUCUAAAUAAACCUUAAUACUUAAUAAUGUUAAAUAUUAGGUUAUUUAUUUUUAUAAUAUUUUAUUUAUAUUAAGUAUUAAAAAGUAAAGAAAAAUCAAUAUAUUUAUUUUUCUAUUUAGAAAAAACUAUAUAUUUUUAAUUUUUUUAUUUAAUAAAAAAUUUAUAAUAAAUCAUGAAAAAAUAGAAAAACAAACAACCUAAAUUUUAAAAAUAAAUUGUUUUUAGUAAAAACCCAAAAAAACAAACACCACCUUAACUAAACAAAUAUAUAUUAUAUUUAGUUAAGAAAGAGUAAAGUGUAUAUGGCUCAAAUCAAGGAAGAGAAACAGAAUAAGUGGAAGACAAUCAAUUGUGAUAAACAGAUAUAUUACAUGCAUGUAGUACUAGUGACUUUAUCAUUUACUUUUAUACAAUAGAUCAUCACACUCUUUCUUCUAAAUAUUUUGGAGGAUAAUGGUACAUGUUGCUUGUUGCCAAGUCAAAAUUGGUGGCAAAAAUCGGCAUGAUACGAAAGGAUUGGUGAAAAGAUUCACAUAGAUGGUGCUUUGUGCAAUGCAGUCUUGCUCUAAUUCAACAGAGUGGACCAUGGUGAUGUAUUUUAAAUUUUAAAUUUUAAAUUAAUGCAUGCUUCAAAGUUUUAACUAGAUGUCACUUCCAUGGAUUUUUGUUCAUUUAAUUGAGAACAGGAUAGGCUAUCAAACUUGAAGUAAUAUAAAAAUCCCUUCAUUACUGUAACUAAUGAAAGAUCAUUAUCUGCGCUUGGUAUUUUGCCAAGGUAUUUGCUGCUCUUUCUAGCCCUAUCUUACAGUUAAGGACAAUGUGAUCUAGUUAACCUUAGAAGCUAUUCCAUGUCAUAUACAAGAGAUCAAGCACAUUAUCUUUGGGCUCAGUUCAAAACUAUAAUAUAUGGGUGGGGUGGGGGCCUAUACCAUUUGCAUAUCACCACUAUUGGUUUAGUUUGGAAGGUUUCUUCUGGAAGAUUGCUUUCUGGAAACAUUUCAAAGAAAUAUAUCUUUUUGUUCUCUUGGUGACGAGCAGCGGCAAUCAAGUCUGUUGACAAACAACCGAGUUGAAAAGUUUGAAAAUUGGUCACAGCCCACGUCCAUGGUUAAGGAAAAGGUCACUGGAAGUGAUCCCUUCUGGGCCUGUUGGAAGCAGGGGAGGUUAACACACCAAGCAACAAAGAACAGAGAUAUGCUGCUACUGAUCUAUAUUUUUUAUUUGAUCAUAAGGCUAAAUUUAUACAGAUUGUGUAACAGAUAUGACCUCAAAAAAAAGCAUCAAAUCAAGCUACUUGUUGAACAAACAACUACCUUCUACAAAAUAACAUCAAAAUUUAACUUAAAAGCAAAAACAUAAAAAUAGCAACAGCAAAAAUAGAAACAUAAAAAUAGCUUCAGCAUUCUAGUAAUCUCGUUGACUUCAAUUGCAUGUGGUUGACGAUUUCAGCCUUUUCCUCAGCAGCUACUAAGGCAUAACUCUCAACACUCCUCCUUGACUUAGGAGGUGCAAACUCCAAGUCUUUCUCAUAGAAACUCAAAUCUUAUUUUAGGAAGAGCUUUAGUCAGAAUAUCUACAUUUUGACUGUCUGUAUUGCAGUAGACUAGUUGUAUAUCUCCUUCUUUCUGUACUUCCCUCAAAAAUUACAAUUUAAUCUUGAAGUGCUUUGUUUUACCAUGAAAAACUGGAUCAUUUGCAAUAGAUAUAGUGGCCUGGUUGUCUACAAACACCUUUGUACUCACUUCUUGCUUCAUAUCCAAAUCUGUCAGCAACUUUCCAAGCCAUAAGGCUUGAUUUACAGCUGUAACAGCAGCAAUAUACUCUGCCUCAGCUGUGGAUUGAGCCACGACUUCUUGCUUCCUUGAACUCCAUGAAAAAACACCAGAACCAAAACUAAAACAAUAGCCUGAAGUACUUCUCAUAUCGUCAACACAACCAGCCCAAUCACUAUCAGAAAAUCCAUGAAAAUUGAAACUUUGAACUUGACUGAACUUAAUGCCAUAAUCCACAGUGCCUUUAACAUUUCUUAUCACACGCUUUGCUGCCUGGAAAUGAAUUUCACUAGCACAAUGCAUGUAUCUCGAAAGUAGACUUACAGCAUGCAUUAUAUCGAGUCUUGUUGCAGUCAAGUACAUUAAGCAUCCAAUCAUGCUUCGAUAAAGUCCUUCAUCUACCUUUUUAGCACCGUCCUCCUUACAGAACUUCUCUUUCUGGUUCAUAGGGGUAGAUGUAGGUUUGCAUUCCUCCAUUUUGAAUUUCUUCAUAAUUUCUUUGGCAUAUUUUUGUUGGCAGAUGAAAAUCUCAUUCUGCUUCUGGUGUACUUCCAUUCCCAAGAAGUAAGACAUCUCAUCUAGGUCUGUCAUCUCAAAAACCUGCUCCAUUUCAGCCUUGAAUUUGUUCACAAACCCUGCAUUACUUCCUGUUACAAGCAAAUCAUCAACAUAUAGAGAAACAAUUAAUAUAUCUUCUUCAAUCUUCUUAAUGUAGAGUGUAAAUUCACUCAAGCUCUUGUGAAAGCCUAAAGUUAGCAGGUGAGUGUCAAUCCUGCUGUACCAAGCUCUAGGGGCUUGUCUUAACCCAUACAAGGCCUUCUUAAGAAGGUAUACUUUUUCUUCUUUUCCUUUGAUAGCAAAACCUUCUGGUUGUUCGACAAAAAUCUCUUCCUCUAAGUAGCCAUUCAAAAAUGCUGACUUCACAUCUAGUUGAUAAAUCUUCCAUUUUCUUUGAGCUACAAGAGCCAACAACAUCCUGAUUGUAUCCAAACGAGCUACUGGUGCAAAGGUUUCCGAAAAGUCAACACCAAACAUUUGUGCAUACCCUUUGACAACCAGCCUUGCUUUAUGUUUGUUUAUAGAACCAUCAGAGUUGAGUUUGGUUCUGUAAACCCACUUAACCCCAAUAGGUUUUUUGUGUGAAGGUCUAUCUACUAGCUCCCAAGUGUUGUUCUUGUCAAUCAUAUCUAGCUCCUCCUGCAUUGCAACCCUCCAUCUUUUAUUUUCAGCAGCUUCAACAAACCCUGCAAGUUCAAGAACAGCUAUAUUACACCUUUGAUAAAUAUCAAAAAGUGUCAUGAAACCUCUAACUGGAAGUUCAUCAACAUCUUCAUCAAUAUAUUGCUGAUUCUGCUCAUCCCAACUCCAUUUCUCCGUUUCCAAAAACUUAACAUCUCUACUUACCACAAUUUUACUAUUUUGUGGCAAGUAGAUUCUGUAAGCUUUUGAGGUGCUGUUGUAUCCAAUGAAAAUUCCUGGUUCUGACUUUUUAUCUAGCUUGUCUCUUUUCACCUGAGGAACAUAAGAGAAACACAAGCAACCAAAGGUCUUUAAAUUCAUUAGCAUAGGCUUAUAAGCAAACCAGGCCUCAAAAGGUGUCUGUUUCUGCAAUGCUUUUGUUGGUAGUCUAUUUAGCAAAAAUACUACUGUAUUUGCAGCUUCAACCCAAAAACUUUUUGGCAGCUCUUUCUCAUGCAAAAGACAUCUUGUCAUUGAUUACUACUCAAAAAGUGCUAUUUGAUAGCCUUUAAUUAAUCCUUUUUAACACUUUUGAGUAGUAGUUUAGGCCUUUUAACUCAAUUGGCAUGUUAAGGAUCCUUUAAAGCAAUUUUGAUCACUUUGUGCAAGUUUUGGUGUUUUUGUUAGUAUUUCGAUCACCAAAGCAAGUCAAGAAUGAGGAGAGCUAUGAGGAAUCUUGGGCAAAGCUUAGAAUUCAAUUGCCAAGAGUGAAUCCGGAUUGCAAGGAGAAAAAGCAAAGAGGAUCAGUCAUGGAGCAUAUUCUUGAUGACAGUCGUAGCAGCCACUUUUGGAUCACUUUCUGAAGUCCAAAUGAUGCAAGCUAUAUACCAUUUCAAAGCUCAGGAAGUCAACAAUCCAAUGCUUCAAACGGUGUGCGAUUCGGAAUUGAAACGAAGAAGUUGCAGCCAUUACAAGCCAGACACUCUAAAGUGUUGCGGAAUCAGCCAUGUGUUGCGAGAAUUUCGCAGCACUUUUGUACAGUAAGGUGUUUCUCCUUCUAACGAUGCACGAACCAUGCCGCGAGAAGGGAGCUGGAAACUUCAAGAUGGAAGCCAACUUUGCAGCCUAGUGAAGAUAGCUCGGUCUUGCAAGAUAAUUUCGCAGCCCUCUUGGGUGUCUGCGAAAUUUCGCAGGCCUCAUUUUUCACCUGCGAAAUGGCUCUUGAAGCCUCCCGAAGCUUGCUACCGACAUUGGGAGAUAUUUUCCAUUAGAUUUUUGUUGUCUAAAUCCCAAAAUACUCCUUGUAAACCACCAAUUACAUGAUUCCUUAGUUUUUAAGUUAGUAAAAAGACCAAAUAUCUUUGUAACAAUUAGUUUUAUAUUUUGUUGUUAUAAAUACCUCUCGGGAGCCUGUUCUCAGGGAGGAGUUCCUUCUGUAAACGUUUGGUAAGCAAGUAAAGUCUAUUUUCUUUCUACUGCCUUACCUUCUCACUUUGUAUUUUCAUUUUAUUUCUAAGUUAUGAAUUCUCUGAGGAGUUUUCCCCAAAGAAUGAGUAACUAAACCUCCAAUUCCUUGGAGCUAAGGUUGCCGGGGAAGGUUCCAAGUGCAAGAAUGCAAAGCUCUGUGGUUUUAGCUAGUAAUGAAGAGGAAGUGAAAUCCUUUAGUGAUUUCAAUGUUUUUAGUUAACUUAAAACACUUUGGAGUCACCUGGGCCAACACUUGGUAAGGCAAGUGAUUUCCAACCAUGGAAAUGCACUAGUUUACCCCUUGCGAGCCUCUGGUAGGUGACUUCAAGGUAGGAUUUUCUGGAAUUACCAACACUUGGUAAGCUUUUGGACUCCUAGGAGACAUCCAUUAGUUAUCUCUUGCGAGUUUGUGAAGGGAAUCCAAGGUUAAAGAUCACCUUGAAUGGUAAGUGCUCGUGAGAGGCAUGAACCAUUGCAAGUUGUAUCAGUGAGAGAAUUAAAGUGAAAUCUAAUUGAAGGAGUCUUUGUACAUCACCGGUUAGAGAAUUGACUAUAAGUUGAAUCUCUAAUGCGAGGAAAUGAACCAACUGACCAGAGCCGUGUCUUUUGCAUGAGGAACCACCCCAGUGAACCUAAAUCUCCAAGGAAUGUUUUUUUCUUCCUAAAUUAUUCCAAACUUCUGUUAAGUUAGUUAGUUUAAAUCUCAACCUUUACAAAUCAAAGUUUGUGUUUUAUUCCUUAAGCUAACCGUGAAAUGAAACAAGACCAAUUCACUUGGAAUUGGUAUCAUUGAUUGCCUGCAAAUCAUUCCCAGUGAACGAUCCUAGAGCCACUAUACUAUAGUAGCUUUGUAUUUGCUACCCUAGUGUAUGGUGUUAUAGGUAUAAAUUUUGUUGAUCACUUCCUCAAUCAAGGAGCACCAGCUGAACACAAAUCAGCUGAGACACCAAUUAGGCAUGAGUCAAAUGGCGCCGUUGCCGGGGAAUGAAUGUCAAGUUCAUUGUGAUACCAUUGUUGAGCACUUGUGAUUUUCAUCACAAGUUGGUAAAGUUUCUUUCACUUUACUAAUUUUCAUUCUUUCUUUGUUUAUUUACAAUCUAAGUUUAUCUUUUUAAAUUUUAGUCUAGUUUAAUUUUGUUGUUGUAGCCCUGUUUUUCUUGUUGUCCUCUGUUUUCAUUUUUUUUUUCAGGUAGAUACUAGUUGUGUAUGCCCAAGUGGAUACGAGACAUAGGAGGUAGGCUUGUUAAGUGUGAUACACCUCAGAAAGGAGAAUUUGAAGUAAUCUUGAAUAUCAUGGAGGCUGCACCUGAAGAUCAGCAUAGUCACCAAGGUCGUCAAGACAAUCUCAAUGAAUUCAGAUCAAUGAGGGACCGUAUGCAUCCACCUCGUAUGAGUACACCAUCAUGUAUAGUGCCCCCUACAGAGCAGCUAGUGAUCAGACCAUAUCUUGUUCCACUUCUACCAACUUUCCAUGGGAUGGAAAGUGAGAAUCCGUAUGCACACAUCAAGGAAUUUGAAGAUGUUUGUAAUACAUUCCAAGAAGGAGGAGCUUCAAUUGACUUGAUGAGGCUUAAGUUAUUUCCUUUUACUUUAAAGGAUAAGGCCAAAAUUUGGCUUAAUUCUUUAAGGCCAAGGAGUAUCCGCUCUUGGACUGAUUUACAAGCUGAGUUCCUUAAGAAAUUUUUUCCUACUCAUAGAACAAAUGGCUUGAAAAGGCAAAUUUCAAACUUCUCAGCUAAAGAGAAUGAGAAAUUCUAUGAGUGUUGGGAAAGAUACAUGGAAGCUAUAAAUGCUUGUCCUCACCAUGGCUUUGAUACUUGGCUAUUGGUGAGCUAUUUUUAUGAUGGUAUGUCCUCCUCAAUGAAGCAACUCCUCGAGACAAUGUGUGGAGGAGAUUUCAUGAGCAAAAAUCCAGAGGAAGCUAUGGAUUUCUUGAGCUAUGUAGCUGAUGUUUCAAGGGGAUGGGAUGAACCAACUAAAGGAGAAGUGGGAAAGAUGAAGUCUCAGUUGAAUGCUUACAAUGCAAAGGCUGGGAUGUAUAAUUUGAAAGAAGAUGAUGACAUGAAAGCAAAGUUGGCAGCUAUGACAAGAAGAUUGGAGGAGCUGGAGCUGAAAAGAAUGCAUGAAGUGCAAGCUGUUGCUGAAGCACCAGUGCAAGUGAAGCUGUGUCCCAAUUGUCAAUCAUUUGAACAUUUGGUGGAGGAGUGCCCUGCAAUUUCAGUUGAAAGGGAAAUGUAUAGAGAUCAAGCAAAUGUUGUUGGACAAUUUAGGCCCAAUAACAAUGCUCCUUAUGGAAAUACCUACAAUUCAAGUUGGAGGAAUCAUCCAAAUUUCUCAUAGAAGGCCAGAGCAACUCAAUACCAACAGCCGGAUCCACCAUCUCAGCAAUCUUCAAGUAUUGAACAAAUAAUAGCCAAUCUCAGCAAGGUAGUGGGAGAUUUUGUGGGAAAGCAAGAAGCCACCAAUGCUCGAGUUGAUCAAAGAAUGGAUAGAAUGGAGAGUGUGUUGAACAAAAGAAUGGAUGGAAUGCAAAAUGAUAUGAACCAAAAGUUUGAUAACAUCCAAUAUUCAAUUUCAAGGCUUACAAAUUUGAAUACACUGCAAGAAAAAGGAAGAUUUCCUUCUCAACCUAACCAAAAUCCCAAAGGUGUCCAUGAAGUGGAAAGCCAUGAGGGAGAAUCAUCACAGGUGAAAGAUGUGAAAGCUUUGAUCACUCUAAGGAGUGGUAAGAAAAUUGAGCAGCCAACACCCAUGCCACAUGUUGAGAAAGAAGAAGGGAUAAAGAAAGGAAAGGAAAUAGAAGAUAAAGACAGUGAGAUCAGUGAAGAAAAGAAGGACUCUGAUUCAACAAUCAAAGCAAUUCCAGAGAAAGAGCUUCUGAAGGAAGAAAUGCUGAAGAAAUCAACUUUUCCACCUUUUCCUCAAGCAUUACAGGGGAAAAAGGGGGUUAGAAAUGCAGCUGAAAUCCUUGAAGUCUUAAGACAAGUAAAAGUUAAUAUUCCACUGCUGGAUAUGAUCAAACAAGUUCCAACGUAUGCAAAAUUCCUAAAGGACUUGUGUACUAUCAAAAGAGGGGUUGACUGUAAACAAGAAAGCCUUCUUGACUGAGCAAGUAAGUGCAAUCUUACAAUGCAAGUCUCCUUUGAAGUACAAAGACCCUGGAAGUCCUACCAUUUCAGUCAUGAUUGGAGGAAAGGUAGUGGAGAAAGCCUUGCUAGACUUGGGAGCAAGUGUGAAUUUGCUUCCAUACUCUGUCUACAAGCAACUGGGACUUGGAGAGUUGAAGCCAACAGCAAUCACUUUAUCUUUGGCAGAUAGAUCAGUGAAAAUUCCAAGAGGAGUAAUUGAGGAUGUAUUGGUUCAAGUGGAUAAUUUCUACUAUCCAGUAGAUUUUGUUGUUCUUGAUACUGAUCCAACUGUAAAGGAAGCUAAUUUAGUUCCUAUCAUCCUUGGAAGGCCAUUUCUUGCAACUUCAAAUGCAAUCAUCAACUGUAGAAAUGGGCUUAUGCAACUCACUUUUGGUAACAUGACACUGGAUCUCAAUAUUUUCUAUAUGUCUAAAAAGCAAAUCACUCCUGAGGAAGAAGAAGGUCCAGAAGAGCUAUGUAUUAUUGAUACUUUGGUGGAGGAGCACUGCAAUCAGCAUAUGCAAGAUAAGUUGAAUGAAAGUCUUGUGGAUAUUGAGGAAGGUUUUUCUGAAUCUCCUAUUGGGCUUGCUACUCUACAAAGUUGGAGAAAGAUAGAAGGAAUUCUACCUUUGUUCAAUGAAAAAGAGGAGGCAACUGUUGAAGAAGAAAUUCCAAAACUCAAUUUGAAGCCUUUACCUGUGGAGCUGAAAUAUACAUAUCUUGAAGCAAAUAAUCAAUGUCCUGUUGUGAUAUCCUCAUCUCUGACCAGUCAUCAAGAGAAUUGUUUAAUGGAAGUUCUCAUGAGGUGUAAGAAGGCAAUAGGAUGGCAAAUAUCUGACUUGAAAGGCAUUAGUCCUUUAGUUUGUACUCAUCAUAUAUAUAUGGAGGAGGAAGCAAAGCCAAUUCGUCAAUUUCAAAGAAGGUUGAAUCCUCAUCUACAAGAGGUGGUGCGAGCUGAGGUGCUGAAGCUACUUCAAGCAGGAAUCAUUUACCCUAUUUCUGAUAGCCCUUGGGUGAGUCCUACUCAAGUGGUACCAAAGAAGUCAGGGAUCACAGUGAUUCAAAAUGAAAAAGGGGAAGAAAUUACUACACGCCUCACUUCAGGUUGGAGGGUGUGUAUUGAUUAUAGAAAGCUGAAUGCUGUCACCAGGAAGGAUCAUUUUCCAUUGCCAUUUAUUGAUCAAGUGCUGGAGAGAGUCUCUGGACAUCCAUUUUAUUGUUUCUUGGAUGGGUAUUCAGGCUAUUUUCAAAUUGAAAUUGAUUUGGCAGAUCAGGAAAAGACCACUUUUACAUGUCCAUUUGGAACAUUUGCUUAUAGAAGAAUGCCUUUUGGUUUAUGCAAUGCACCUGCUACAUUUCAAAGAUGUAUGUUGAGUAUUUUCAGUGAUAUGGUGGAGAGAAUUAUGGAGGUUUUCAUGGAUGACAUCACCGUAUAUGGAGGUACAUUUGAGGAGUGCUUGGUUAAUUUGGAAGCAGUUCUUCAUAGAUGCAUUGAAAAAGAUUUGGUGCUGAACUGGGAGAAAUGCCAUUUUAUGGUACGUCAAGGAAUUGUCCUUGGCCAUAUCAUCUCUGAAAGAGGCAUUGAAGUUGAUAAAGCAAAGGUGGAGCUUAUUGCCAAAUUACCAUCUCCAACAACUGUGAAAGGAGUAAGACAGUUCCUUGGCCAUGCAGGGUUCUAUAGGAGGUUUAUAAAAGGUUUUUCAAGUCUUUCAAAACCUCUUUGUGAGCUGUUAGCUAAGGAUGCUAAGUUUAUAUGGGAUGAAAGGUGUCAGCAUAGCUUUGAUCAACUGAAGAAGUUUUUAACAACAACUCCAAUAGUGAGAGCCCCUAACUGGCAAUUACCUUUUGAACUGAUGUGUGAUGCCAGUGACUUUGCUAUAGGAGCUGUGCUUGGCCAAAGAGAAGAUGGGAAGCCCUAUGUGAUUUACUAUGCAAGUAAAACACUAAAUGAAGCUCAGAGGAACUACACAACUACAGAGAAAGAAUUGUUAGCUGUGGUAUUUGCUUUGGACAAAUUUCGAGCUUAUUUAGUGGGGUCUUUCAUCAUUGUCUUCACUGACCAUUCAGCCUUGAAGUAUUUAUUGACAAAGCAAGAUGCAAAAGCAAGGUUGAUUAGAUGGAUUCUAUUGUUACAAGAGUUCGAUCUUCAAAUCAAAGAUAAGAAAGGAGUGGAGAAUGUAGUAGCUGACCACUUGUCAAGGUUAGUUAUAGCACAUAAUUCCCAUCCCUUGCCUAUCAAUGAUGAUUUUCCUGAAGAAUCACUCAUGUUCCUAGUGAAAACUCCUUGGUAUGCUCAUAUUGCUAAUUAUUUAGUAACUGGGGAAAUUCCAAGUGAGUGGAAUGCACAGGACAGGAAGCACUUCUUUGCCAAAAUUCAUGCUUAUUAUUGGGAAGAGCCCUUUCUCUUUAAGUAUUGUGCAGAUCAGAUUAUUAGGAAGUGUGUCCCUGAAGAUGAGCAGCAAGGGAUUCUAUCUCAGUGUCAUGAGAAUGCAUGUGGAGGCCACUUUGCCUCUCAGAAAACAGCCAUGAAGGUAUUACAAUCAGGGUUUACUUGGCCAUCUCUUUUCAAAGAUGCCCACAUCAUGUGUAGAAAUUGUGAUAGAUGCCAAAGGCUUGGAAAGCUAACAAAAAGAAAUCAAAUGCCUAUGAACCCCAUUCUGAUAGUUGAGAUAUUUGAUGUUUAGGGCAUUGACUUCAUGGGACCUUUCCCAAUGUCUUUUGGUAAUUCUUACAUUUUGGUGGGGGUAAAUUAUGUUUCUAAAUGGGUUGAGGCAAUCCCCUGUAAGCAAAAUGAUCACAGGGUGGUUCUCAAGUUUCUUAAAGAGAACAUUUUCUCAAGAUUUGGGGUGCCCAAGGCCAUAAUCAGUGAUGGAGGAGCUCAUUUUUGCAACAAACCUUUUGAAGCUCUGUUAUCCAAGUAUGGAGUGAAGCAUAAGGUAGCCACACCUUAUCAUCCUCAGACAUCCGGGCAAGUUGAGCUAGCUAACAGGGAAAUAAAGAACAUUUUGAUGAAAGUGGUGAAUUCCAACAGAAAAGAUUGGUCUAUUAGGCUUCAUGAUUCAUUGUGGGCAUAUAGAACAGCUUAUAAAACUAUUCUUGGGAUGUCUCCCUAUCGUCUUGUCUAUGGCAAAGCAUGCCAUCUCCCUGUGGAAGUUGAAUACAAAGCUUGGUGGGCAAUAAAGAAGCUGAAUAUGGACUUGAUCAAGGCCGGAGAAAAGAGAUUUCUAGACCUUAAUGAGAUGGAGGAAUUAAGAAAUAAUGCUUAUAUCAAUUCCAAAGUUGCAAAACAGAGGAUGAAGAAGUGGCAUGAUCAACUCAUCUCCAACAAGGAAUUUCAGGAAGGGCAAAAAGUUUUGAUGUAUGACACAAGACUCCAUAUCUUUCCUGGGAAGCUCAAAUCAAGGUGGAUUGGUCCAUUUGUUAUUCACCGAGUAUAUUCCAAUGGAGUGGUGGACUUAUUGAAUUCCAAUGGCAAGGAUAGCUUUAAAGUCAAUGGAUAUCGUCUCAAGCCGUUCAUGGAGUCAUUCAAAUCAGAAAAGGAGGCAAUCAACCUCCUUGAACCUCAAAAAGCCUAAGUGAAAAGGGUUUGCUGGACGUGGCUUUACCACAGUCCAAAAUUUUUGUAAAUUUUGUAAAUUUUCAAGUUGUUUCUAUACUUUUGAUUUUAGUUUUUGAUCUUAAAUCAUGUUUUUAGGUGUGUUUUAAUCGUUUUAAAUGAUCCCAGGUGGAAGAAAUUUCAAGGGGAUUGAAAGAAAAAAAAUCGGGUCGAAAUUGGAGCCGAAACAGAGCAAAAACAGGGGAAAAACAGAGCUCUGCGAAAUUUCGCAGGGUGAAGGAAACCUCUGCGAAAUGAGCAUUUUGUUGCGAAACCAUUCCGCAGCACUGUAGAAGCCUCUGCGAGUGUAUUUCGCAGCUGCGAAAGUGAAUUUGGCACACGAGUGCCACUUCGCAGUACAGUAGCAUCCAUUUGGCAGCUGCGAAACUCAUUGCGAAAUGGAAAAGCGUGAUUUCGCACCAAAAGUCCCAUUCCGCAGGGUAUUUCGCAAUUGCGAAAGUGGUUUUGGCACACGAGUGCCACUCCGCAGCACAGUAACAUCAAUUUCGCAGCUGCGAAACUCACUGCGAAGUUGCUGCGAAAAUGGCAAGUUGCUGCGAAAUUGGCGUUUAGUUGCGAAACUUAAACUGACCCCUGAGCUUCCGUUUUUCCUAUUUAUACCGGUCAAAAGUGCUGCGAAAAGGGUUUCAAAAAUCAGAGCACCAUUCUCGCAGCCCCUUCAUCUUCUUCGCCAAGCCACGCCGUCCGAACCUCCGGUCGUCUUCUCCGUUUAGCAGCGCCGGCCAAAGAUCGAUAUUCCAAAAUGGCACGAACGCGAGGGGCAAAAUCUUCAUCCCCUUCGAAUCGCAAAAGGAGUCUGCGAAAGGAGCCAAGUCCAGGUUCUGCUCCAGAACCUGCUCCAAAGCCUUCGCCGUCGAGACCACAACCUUCUCCAGUGAAGCCGGCGCCACUAAAGCCGCCGGCAAGACGAUAUUUGACAAGGUCAGGCGGUUGGCCAUUGAAGAAGAAGCCCAGGGUUGAGAGCUCUGAACCAAUUGAUUUGACUGAGCAAUCCCCUGAGCAGUCCCCAAAUCCUUCACCAGUUCAAACUCCAGUGCCGUCACCGGUUCCCUCGCCAAUUCCCUCACCUGAAGCAACUCCAAUUCCAUCGUCGGUACCAUCUCCGGCACCCCAAGAAAAAGCUCAGGAGCCUCAAGCGCCAAUUCCAGAGCCCCAAAUUGCAGCUGAAGCACCUCUGGAAGAAGUGAUCCGAAGGCCAAUGCUGCCCCAGCCCCCAAUCGAAGGAAACUUGGAUUGUCGAACACGGGCAUUCCAUUCUGAGCUUUGCUUCGAUUUAACAGCAUUCAGAGUGAGGCCAGAGCUUGCCCAAUCCUUCCAGCUGCUGAGGAGAUAUCAUAUGGAGCAUCUGCUAGCUCCAAGGGAUUUUUUCUAUCCCCGGGUAGUCACGGACUUCUACCAGACCAUGACAACCAAAGAAGUAAGAAAUCCAACUCUGAUCCAUUUCAUAAUUGAUGGAAGGCAUGGUAUUUUGGGAGCAAGACACAUUGCUGAAGCUCUGCAAAUUCCUUUUGAGCCAACCCAAUUCGACAAUUUUAAAGCUUGGGUAAAUCCUACUGAGUUAGAGAUGGUUCGCACACUAACCAGAGGAGCUGCAAAUCGAUCACACCUGUUGAGGGGGGAGCUACCUCCAGUGAUGUUUUUGAUUGAUGCCUUUUUGAGGCAUAAUAUCUAUCCCCUGCAGCAUUGGACCCAAAGAAGGGGAAUUCUCCUGGAAGCUUUGUACAAGAUGUCAGAAGGAUUCUUCUUUGGGCCCCAUCAUCUUAUCAUGGCAGCCCUUCUAUACUUUGAGGAAAAGGUUCACAAGAAGAAACUUCAAAGAGCAGAUUGCAUUCCACUCCUCUUCCCAAGGCUGCUAUGCCAAGUUUUGGAGCAUCUCGGAUACCCCUCUGAGCCUCAGCAGGAAAGAAAGAGAAUAUGCCGUGAGCCAUUUACUCUUGAUAAAUGGAAUAAUAUGACGGCCUACAAAAUUGAUCAGCCUGGGCAGCCUCAGCCAGCAGCAAGGAGAGCCUCCCCAAGACAUGCACCUGAAGGUAUAACACUUGCUACUCCUGCCAUCCCUCGAGCUUCACCAGCUGCACCUGCUGCAUCACAGCCAUCCACAUCAGCUGAGCCGAGGAUGGCCAUCCCUAUAUCCGAAUAUCGAGAGCUGUGCCGAGCAUUGGAGACUCUUACAGCUUCCCAGAGCAAUCUUGCUCAAGAGUUGGCAGCCAUCAAAGCAUGCCAGGAGCAGAUGUUAGCCUCUCAGGCUCAACAAGCUGCCAUCCUAAGGCAGCUUCAAGUCCAUUUCGAUCUGCCACAAGCUGUAGAGCCCUCCACUGAGACUCCACCAGAGCCACACUCUCAGCCUUCAGAGUCUCUUCCUCCAGAGCCAGAAGCCCCAACUGAUCCACCUACAGAGGAGGCGGAUCCUUCUGCUUAGCACCAUCACCCCACUCAUCAGACAUUAUAUAUAUUUGCUGUUUAUGUUUUUAUGCAUGUUUGUUUUGUUUUAGUUGAAAUGAAAUCCCAGUAUUUUGGUACUAUAUAUGGGAUUCCUUGUGAUUACUUGUCCUUAGCAUUGUACUCGAAUGAAUUGAAAGUAAUACAAGUUGAAUUUUUCUUGUUAAAAGUUAGCAUUAAAAUUCUCCUUAUUUCCUUUUCUCACAUAUUCUAUUCUUUUUGAAACAUGUGGUUUUCCCCAAUCAAUAUUCGAAUUUGAUAUCAGCAUGGAGGUACCACUUCCUCCCUUUUAUUACAGUCACUCAAAUCACAUUGAGGACAAUGCUCAGUUCGGUUGGGGGGUAUGAGGAAGGAAGUAUUCUAAAUCUUUUUGGUAUUGCAAUUAUAUUGGUUAAUUAGUUGUAGAUUUUACGUUUUACUCUUGUUACUCUAUUCUCCAUGAAUUUUGAGGAAAAAUUUUCAAAUUAAACCAAGAGAAAUUGAACUGUUGUUUUUCACUUGACUUAGAGUAUGGAUUAUGCUUACUAAAGUGGUUCAAUUGUUGAAACUUCUACUGAAAUUGAAUUGAGUUCUUCCAUUUUAAGCUAUCCACACACUGUGCACAUUAGUUUCUGAUUAUAAGAUGAAAAGCUAUUUCCCUCUUGACUUAGGAUAAUUUUGGGACUUGGUAUAUUUGACCUCAUUUGAUAAAAAUUGAAACACCCUGCAAAAGGCCAAUGAGCCUUUGAAAUAAAGAAAGAUGUUUGCUUGCCUUGAAACCCGAGCAAGGUCUGAGGGGCAUAUGGUGAAAGCCUUUAAAGCCUGGUGCCCUAAGCCUUAAUUGGUUGGGAGUCACCGACCUCAAUGCUCGUUACAAGGGUGAAUAGGUAGAGCUAGCAUAUGGUAGAUGCUUGGGUAUUAGAAAUUCAUUCUUAAAAGUCCAGGGAAAAAUCCGAGGAGUUAGUGGUUGAAAGAUCCUUAAAACUUGGUGCCCUAAACCUUAAUUGGUUGGGAGUCAUCGAUGGACCCCCAUUACAUGGACAAGUCAGAAAGAGUACCCCAUAAAGCUACUUUAAAAAAAAAAAAAAAAAAAAAAAAAAGAUGAUGAAAGUGUGUUCUUUUCUUAUUGAUUUUGGUCAGAUUGCUAAAGUGUUGAAAAGAGAUAGGUUGGGGGGGGAGACUAGUUUAGCAUAUUAUUCUCGGAAUCUAAGGAACCAAUACACAUAGAUUUUUGUGGAAGAUUGAAGUUUAGUUCUUAGAAAGUGAAAUGAUUUUAAAACUUCAGUUUGCAUAAUGCACUCCCUUGAUUGACAGUGUUUAGCAUAGGUGUUAUGACUCUUGUUGAGAUUUGGGUUUGUAUUUCUUUAAUGAUUCAUGUGAGAAGUAAAUCAUCAUGCCACUUAAGAAUUAUUUUCCUUUCAGCAUGAUGUUGUAAAUUUUAGAUUAGUUUGCUAUUUAUUUUUAUUUUUCUCUCCUUUAUUGCUAAGGGACUAGCAAUAUGUCGGUUGGGGGGAGUGAUUACUACUCAAAAAGUGCUAUUUGAUAGCCUUUAAUUAAUCCUUUUUAACACUUUUGAGUAGUAGUUUAGGCCUUUUAACUCAAUUGGCAUGUUAAGGAUCCUUUAAAGCAAUUUUGAUCACUUUGUGCAAGUUUUGGUGUUUUUGUUAGUAUUUCGAUCACCAAAGCAAGUCAAGAAUGAGGAGAGCUAUGAGGAAUCUUGGGCAAAGCUUAGAAUUCAAUUGCCAAGAGUGAAUCCGGAUUGCAAGGAGAAAAAGCAAAGAGGAUCAGUCAUGGAGCAUAUUCUUGAUGACAGUCGUAGCAGCCACUUUUGGAGCACUUUCUGAAGUCCAAAUGAUGCAAGCUAUAUACCAUUUCAAAGCUCAGGAAGUCAACAAUCCAAUGCUUCAAACGGUGUGCGAUUCGGAAUUGAAACGAAGAAGUUGCAGCCAUUACAAGCCAGACACUCUAAAGUGUUGCGGAAUCAGCCAUGUGUUGCGAGAAUUUCGCAGCACUUUUGUACAGUAAGGUGUUUCUCCUUCUAACGAUGCACGAACCAUGCCGCGAGAAGGGAGCUGGAAACUUCAAGAUGGAAGCCAACUUGGCAGCCUAGUGAAGAUAGCUCGGUCUUGCAAGAUAAUUUCGCAGCCCUCUUGGGUGUCUGCGAAAUUUCGCAGGCCUCAUUUUUCACCUGCGAAAUGGCUCCUGAAGCCUCCCGAAGCUUGCUACCGACAUUGGGAGAUAUUUUCCAUUAGAUUUUUGUUGUCUAAAUCCCAAAAUACUCCUUGUAAACCACCAAUUACAUGAUUCCUUAGUUUUUAAGUUAGUAAAAAGACCAAAUAUCUUUGUAACAAUUAGUUUUAUAUUUUGUUGUUAUAAAUACCUCUCGGGAGCCUGUUCUCAGGGAGGAGUUCCUUCUGUAAACGUUUGGUAAGCAAGUAAAGUCUAUUUUCUUUCUACUGCCUUACCUUCUCACUUUGUAUUUUCAUUUUAUUUCUAAGUUAUGAAUUCUCUGAGGAGUUUUCCCCAAAGAAUGAGUAACUAAACCUCCAAUUCCUUGGAGCUAAGGUUGCCGGGGAAGGUUCCAAGUGCAAGAAUGCAAAGCUCUGUGGUUUUAGCUAGUAAUGAAGAGGAAGUGAAAUCCUUUAGUGAUUUCAAUGUUUUUAGUUAACUUAAAACACUUUGGAGUCACCUGGGCCAACACUUGGUAAGGCAAGUGAUUUCCAACCAUGGAAAUGCACUAGUUUACCCCUUGCGAGCCUCUGGUAGGUGACUUCAAGGUAGGAUUUUCUGGAAUUACCAACACUUGGUAAGCUUUUGGACUCCUAGGAGACAUCCAUUAGUUAUCUCUUGCGAGUUUGUGAAGGGAAUCCAAGGUUAAAGAUCACCUUGAAUGGUAAGUGCUCGUGAGAGGCAUGAACCAUUGCAAGUUGUAUCAGUGAGAGAAUUAAAGUGAAAUCUAAUUGAAGGAGUCUUUGUACAUCACCGGUUAGAGAAUUGACUAUAAGUUGAAUCUCUAAUGCGAGGAAAUGAACCAACUGACCAGAGCCGUGUCUUUUGCAUGAGGAACCACCCCAGUGAACCUAAAUCUCCAAGGAAUGUUUUUUUCUUCCUAAAUUAUUCCAAACUUCUGUUAAGUUAGUUAGUUUAAAUCUCAACCUUUACAAAUCAAAGUUUGUGUUUUAUUCCUUAAGCUAACCGUGAAAUGAAACAAGACCAAUUCACUUGGAAUUGGUAUCAUUGAUUGCCUGCAAAUCAUUCCCAAUGAACGAUCCUAGAGCCACUAUACUAUAGUAGCUUUGUAUUUACUACCCUAGUGUAUGGUGUUAUAGGUAUAAAUUUUGUUGAUCACUUCCUCAAUCAAGGAGCACCAGCUGAACACAAAUCAGCUGAGACACCAAUUAGGCAUGAGUCAGUCAUCUCCAUUAUUGUUUUAUUUUUUCUUUCCACCACCCCAUUUUGUUGUGGGGUGUAUGGUGCAAUGAGCUGGUGAUCUAUGCCUGCAUCUUCACAAAAUUUGUUGAAUUUUUCUGAAGUAUAUUCUGUACCAUUAUUCGACCUUAUAACCUUGAUUCUGUAUUCACUUUGAUUUUCAACCAUGGCCUUAUAUCUCAAAAACACAUCAGCAACCUCAGCUUUGUAAGUGAGAAAAUAAAUCCAACAAAAUCUUGUGAAGUCAUCAAUAAAUGCAAUAUAGUACUUACUCCCUUUCAAAGAUGGUGUCUUUUGAGGUCCACUCACAUCUGUGUGAACCAAUUGUAGUUUCUGUGUUGAUUUCCAUGCUGCUUUUUGAGGAAAAGGAAGUCUUGUUUGCUUCCCAUAUUGAUAGGCUGCACAUAUAGGAAGUUCUUCUUCCAAAUCAGGGAGUCCUUCUACAAUCUAAUUCUUCUUCAUGUAGAGCACGGUAUUGUGGUGGAAAUGCCCUAAUCUUUUAUGCCAAAGCAUUGUAUUGUUCUCGUGUUGUGCAGCAGUAAUUUGCUCAUCUUCUAACAUAUUUAAGGCAAAACUUUUGCCUUUCAUUUUUAUGUUGAACACCUCUUUGCCUUCAGCAUCCUUGAUUAUGCAAUUUUUGUCUUCAAAACAAACUUUAAACCCUUUCUCAACAAGCUGUCCAACACUUAGCAAAUUUUGGUCAAUGUCAGGCACAAACAAAACAUCAGAAAUGAGCUUUAAACCUGUUAGGCUUUCAAUAGCUAAUGUUCUUUUACCUUUUACUGGAAUAUACUCACCAUUUCCUAUUCUAACUUUGGAAAUAGUUGUCCUAUCAAUCUCCCUAAAGCGAUCUUGAUCAUGUCAUGUGGUUUGUGCAACCACUGUCCACGAGCCAGCUUUCAGAGGUGCUACCGUUUGCAAAACAUGUUGCUGAAAAUAGUUGUUCCUCCUGGUAUUGUUCAGCUGCUACAUUGGUUUCUCCCUGCUGCUGCUGAGUUCUACAGAUCCUUUCUAUGUGUCCAUGUCUACCACAUUUGUUGCAUUUCACAUCUGGUCUCCACCAACAUUUUUGUUGAGGAUGAUUUGUUUUCUUGCAAUGAGGACAGGGUGGAUAGGUUCCAGUUUUUUUAUUGUUGUUGUUGCUUGGCUUAUUGUUGUUCUUUUUGUUCUUCCUCCUUCUUGUGUUACCUUCAUUGGUCUGUGUCUUUGCUUGAAAAGCUCCUUCUACAGAACUUCCUUGCCUCAUGAGUCUUCUUUGUUCCAAAGCUUGUAAAGCAUUUAGUAGUUCUGCCAAGGUGAUACUUGACAAAUCUUUUGUGUUUUCCAAAGAAGAAAUUGUAGCUUCAUAUUUUUCAGGAAUUGUGACAAAAUUGUUUUGAACAACUCUUUCAUCAGAAAACUCUUUACCUAGCAACCUCACCUUGUUUGCUAUGGUAAGAAGUUGUUCUGCAUAAUCUUUUAUGGUUUGAGACUCUUUCAUCCUCACCAUUUCAAAUUCUCGAAUUAGAUUCAUUACCUGCACAUUUCUGACUCUUUCAUUGCCUUGAUAUUCUUCCCGUAGAUGCUUCCAGAUUUCUGCAACAGAUUCAAGUUGCAUGAUUCUGGUGAGAAUUAAUGGUGAGACUACAGAAAAUAAGCAAGCCUUGGCCUUAGCCUUCCUCGUCUUUUUCUCCUUAUGGUUUUUCAUCUGUGACACAGUUGGAUUGGCUCCAAGUGGAGAAAUUUCAUAAUCUUCCUCUAUUGCUUCCCAGACAUCAAGAGCCUGUAGAUGAACAGUCAUCCUGACAGCCUAAGUUUGGUAAUUUUCUCCAUUGAAGACUAGUGGUGCUGCUGUGAAGCUUGCUUCUUCCAUUUCUGCAAGGUUUUCAGAUUCAGGUUUGGUAUACGGUGUUUAGGCUCACACACCUCACUGGUCCCUCAAGACAAAAAUUGCUCUGAUACCAAACUGUUGGAAGCAGGCGAGGUUAACACACCAAGCAACAGAGAACAGAGAUAUGCUGCUACUGAUCUAUAUUUUUUAUUUGAUCAUAAGGCUGAAUUUAUACAGAUUGUGUAACAUAUAUGACCUCAAAAAAAGCAUCAAAUCAAGCUACUUGUUGAACAAAAAACUACCUCCUACAAAAUAGCAUCAGAAUUUAACUUAAAAGCAAAAACAUAAUAAUAGCAACAGCAAAAACAGAAACAUAAAAAUAGCUUCAACAUUCUAGUAAUCUCAUUGACUUCAAUUGCAUGUGGUUGACGAUUUCAGCCUUUUCCUCAGCAGCUACUAAGGCAUAACUCUCAACAGGGCCUCUUAAUUUCCAUUCUGGCAUCUAUAUGACCUGAUAAAUAGAAAGAAAAAAAAACAGAAGAAAAGCGGCACCUGGGUUCAUAGUAAGCAUCAAGACAGGAUGCUGAAAGAAGGGAGAGAGGAGAUUGCAAGUCCAAUCCUGAUAAAAUAUCAACAAAGAGUAUUAAAUGGGGCCAACAUAAAGACCCAUUAAGGUCAGCAGAUGGCAUGGCAUUUUUCUCCUUAAGUUUUCCAUGAUUAGGCUUGAAGUCAAAAUUUCACAUGUAAAUUUGUAUUUCUACAUUUCCCACUGACGACACCCAACUUCAACUUGAGUUAGAAUAACAUUGUGUGAACUUAUCUGGCCCUCAAAAUUUACUGUGAAGUGCUUUCUGCGUGUGAAGAUUCAGAAAAGCACCAAGGGAACAUGUAUGGUCUGCCUUUUUCUGAUGUUAUGUUUGUCUCUAAUUCUGUUCCAUGUCAUGGUAAAUGUUCACAUUGCUUGUAUGGAACACACCAGGAUCACUUUUUCAGGUUUAGGGGGAUACAAAAGGCUUCAUAUUGGGUUCAAUGCUUUUAAUGUGUUCAUUGGACAAAUCUGAAUUAUCAUACGCAUUUAGAUAAGAACAAUAAUGUGAAACCCUAGUUACACCUCCCCUGCAUAACCCCAACCCUGCUUGCUCUAUUUCAGUUUACUCACAAGUUUUACUGGUUCUUAUAAGUCAAGAAAAGGCAACUGAUGUUGGAUCGACUCUCUUCCAUGUAAAAAAUGCAACUUUUAUACAUAUAAAAGAACUUCUUCCCCUCACCAAUGUGGGAUUUCAUAGAUUUAUUCUGGAAACACAUCAAAGGAACAUCUUUUCUCUUGGGUGACCCUAAGUGGUGAGUCAGAUCAUUUGCAUGCCAUUGAGUUGCACAGUUGGAUAAAUGCACCUGCCUCCUGGGCUCCAGAGUUAAAAGGGUGGAUCCCUGGAUUGCAACCCUCUUGGCAUCUUGGUUUCUAUUCCAACAUCCACAUGACUUGACAAAACAAAAAACAGAAUAAAAUCAGCACUAUAUUCAUGCUAAGCACCAAUACAUGAUGGAAAUCAUUGCUUAAAGAUUUGGGGUCGUUUUAGGUUUUGACUGCCUCCUACCACCUCACCUAAUGACAAGUUUUUAUGCUUACAAAUCAAAUAUCGUUCUUCAUUAUAUUAAAAUCAUUUUAAGAUUUCAGAUCCAUCUGCUAAUUAUGAUUAUGAUAACAUUUAUUCACCUGUGCUUCUCAUUUUCGACACACAAGGCAUCUAGGUUUGCAGGAUUUCCUUAUUAGAUGAGAUAAAUGAGUACGUAUGGUUAUGUAUCCAGCAUUCAUUAACCAUGGUAUGUGACAUUUAGAAUUAAGAUAGCAAGCAAACUUUCCCUGCAGCUAGAGUAAAUUGUGAUUUCUUAGCCUCUAUGAGUGGUUCCCAAAUCAAAUUAACAUAGUGAAAUAUACGUAGUCCAGUGAAAGGAAAUGUAAAUUAUAAACUAACAGCACUACACUACUGGUAACAAUCGAUACUCUCUAUAUAAUGCAAUAAACAAUGUCACAAUUGCCUACAAGCAAGGCACAAACACUAGAACAAGUAAAGCACAAACCUUUCCCAACAGUUCCCAGUGACUGAUGCAUAUCAUACCCUCAACUCACAGAAGGGGAUGAUAUCAGUGCACUGCAGCACUUAUUUUACACAUACUACCACUACUACUACUACUACUACUACUCAUUAGCCAAAGUCACUCAGUUGGGAUGAGUGUGAGGUAGAGGUUUGUGGGGUGCUAUGUGGAAAGGAGUUUGGCUUCUUCUCAGGAGAUGGUAGCUUCUUUGCAGGAGUUGAAGGAGGCUUAAUCUUCUGUGGUGGAUUGAUUGUAUGAGUCUUUGGCACUCUCUUCUCUAGUACAGGUGAAUACCCAGGGGUGCAUCCAUAAUGCGGUGGCUUCUAUCCCUUAGGUGGUUUGCCAAAUUCAAAAUCGAAGGAUUUUUUUUUUUUAAGUAUACGUAUCUUUGAAAGCUUUUAUUUUGUAUGGCAAAUGGAAUGAGAGGAGCAGUCAUAUUCUAUUUGGCCAGAGCAACAUAUCACAAAUGAACAAGCUAUUUACUGCCACACUGGGCAAAACAUACAUAAUCCUUGUACUUCAAACAUCCAUGAAUUCUCAUCAUUUUCAGGACACGUUGCAUGGUCUAUCAUUCUAUAUGUCGGCAUAGUAAGUGCAGCUAAUAAGCCUAUUCAGAGCUGAAAUUCAAAAUCUAUUCACAGGAUAAUGACCUUAUUAUUGGAUUUUGCUCACUGUCAUACACACAUAUCAGAUAAAGCCCCACAUGCUCAUAAGCUACAAGCAACCUACAAGCACUAAAAUGAGUGUUAGACGUAUGAAACAUUCCCCAAUACUAGUAGUAUUACCUGUUCCAUAGAACACUAAAUUAGAAGAGAGAAGAUGUGAGACUCCAGCUUUUCUUUCUACAUAUUACUCAUAUCAAGUUGGAAUAGUUAGGCGGUAGAGGCUUGGGGUGGCUUGUGUAGGGGACUAGGCAGCUUCUCUCAGGAGUUGAUUUCGUCUUAUUCUGGAUGUCCAGGUUUCGUCCUUUCGAAUUUCCCAUGCAAAUCAGCAUUCUCCUUGGGAAACUUCACUCCGUUGGGAAACUUGUGUGAAUCUUUGGCAUUCUCUACCAGAGAAGGCCCAGGGCAGUGACCAUAAGGUGGUGGCCUUUUUUCAGGUGGUGGCUCCUCUCCCACUGGAGGCUUGUGGUAAUCAGCAAGAGAGGCAGUGGAGAGAAUCAUCACCCCAAGGAACAGCACUAGCAAGUAUUUGUGAGCCAUAUUUGGGAUCUGAUGAUGAAGACUAGAAGAUAGGAGUUGCCUCAUAUAAUGGGUUGGAGACUAUAUCUCAAGGGGACGUGUAUUUAUGCAUAUGAUCUAUAUAGGACCAUCCUCCUAAUAUUUUCAAAAUAAUGUUAUUGUCUCUCUUGGGUGACAGUUUGAUUUGGUCUAUUUCCAUGCCACUGAGUAGAAAAGUUUGACAAUUGGCUACACCACCUACCUGGAUUACAUGGUUGAAAGUGAAGAUCAGUACAGUGUGAUCACACUUGACCUCUUGUUCCCCAUUCCAGUAUCUAAUUAACCUGACAAAAGUAAAAGGAAAGGAAAAAGGGAAAAAAUAGAAUAAUGUUCAAAUAAAAACGAGAAAAAAUAGCAUAAUGUUGAUGAAUCAUGAUAAGCAUCAAGGCAUGAUAGUGAGAGAGAGGAAAGAAGACAGUGUAAUUUGCAAUCCUGAUAAUCAUUAUAUAGCAGUAACUUUAAUCAUUUUUCUAUCACAGGGAACAUGACACUCAUCUUCCUAUGGAGAUAUUGCAUAAGUUUUUUUCUUUGUAUGUCAACACUAACCAAUGAAGCAUGUUAGCUGGUUUGAAACUGAAACUGUAGCCCUCUGUUUGGUUCUUGAAAAACUUGAGAGAAAAUGGAAGUAAAGUUAAAAGGAAAGAAAAAGUGAAAAAAAAUAAAAAUAGAUUGAAAGUUAACAAAUUAUUUUUACAUGUUCCCUCAAAUUUCUUUCACUUAUUUUUCCUUUUCUAUAUAAAGAUUAAAUGAUUUAAAAAUCAUAAAUUUCUAACUAAUUAUAACUAUAUUUGAUUUUCUUUCAUAUUUUCCAAGAUAAAGUCAGACAUGAGAAAAUCAUUUUCCUUAAAAAAGAAAUUCUUUCCUUUACAGUUUCUUAGAACCAAACCUGGCACAAAAGUCCAAAUUGGGGUUUCUCCAUGUUCCAUUUUUUAUGGCUACCUUUAUGGACCAUAUAAUAUAGAAUGUACUUCUGCAUACCUUCAAGAUCAAGCUGAACUAUAAGAAAAAGACAAGCCAUGGCCCACGGAGCAGGGAUACCAAGCUGCCUUCUCCUAGAUUAAGUUCCAAGAUUUCAGUCUUCAAACCUGCUAAAAGCUAAAGGCAUGUUUCCAGCCUGCGGCAGAUAACAUGCACUGUCCAACAAUAAAUUGCAAACACAUUCGAUGCAGUUUAUUAGUACAAUAAGAUUAAAUCCACCAAAUCUUUUACAGUUCAACCAACACUUGAACUAGUAGCUAGCUUCACUACUGGGUAAUAAUAUAUAAACCAAACUCUUGAUAGGAACCAACCUAUCGCAGAUCGAACUUCUUACAUCCACCAUGAAUUACUGAACCAAAAGAAGAAUCGAAGAGACUGCCAAGGAGGAAAGCCUUCCUAUAACUAGAUAUUUAUAUUCCAAAUUAGGGAGAGCACCCACUGCCCAGGCCUCGCCCAGCAUAAACAGAUAGUAUACAUAUACAUGCAAAAAGCUCCAACCUUCAAGAUUUUAACUAUUAACUUAACACAAUUAAAAAUGUAUCCAAAAAGCAAAUCCCCUUGAACUCCUGAAGCAAUUACUCCAACCAAAUAAAGAUUUUAAGAGUUCCAUGUUCAUAUCCUGCAAGGAAAUCAUUCAAUGUUCAGACCUCUAAUUUCUGUCUUUCUAAAUGCCCAGCCAAAAGGCAUAAAGUAUCAUCCAAAUUGGAUGCACAGCAUAUGUUCUUAAAUCAUGGGAUUUCACCAUAAGUUACUACACUCUAACAGGGCCCAGAAAUUGACCUCCAGAUAUGCCUAUCAAAAAAUUAUCCCCACAUACAUUUUUCUGCUGAAAAGACAAUAUUGUUACAUUUGACAUUCAACCACUACUUGAACUCAACAACCAGGGAAAAGAAUAUAGUAUUUCUACCAAUGAGGAUGAGAGGGGCUGGUGAAUUAACAGGUAAAAGUUUGUUUUGGGUUCAUUGUUUGCAUAAUAAUGUAAAAAUGGAGUAGUAUAUUAUAAAUUAAUGUAAAAAUGGAUUAGCAUAACAUAAAUUGCCAUAAGAGAACCACAAACUACAAAGAAACUUAUUUUCCAAACAAGGAAAAUUAUUCAUAGCCAUUAUUACAUAAGAAAGGAAAUUGAUAAAAUUAUUAUCCAGUUCCCCAUCAGGAAAUAUGAAAGUACUCCUAAAAGCCUCAAUUCUAACCAGAAAACCAUAGAAAUGUAUUAGAAAUAUUGUACAGGGUUCUCUCCAAUAUUAGCUUCAGUUGCUAAGGAGAUCAGAACCUUGAAAGUAAGUCACAAAGGUCGUGUGGGUUUCCCAGAGUCUUCAACAACCAGUAUUCACAUAUGUACACAUUAAAAUUAAAUAAAGCAGGUAUCAAUUCCACAGGCUUUAAGAUUUGAAUUGCUUCUCCCUGGAAUCAUACACCACUCAUAUUGUCACUGACUUUCAAUUACUUCUCCCUGCGAUCAUAUGCCACUCAUAUUGUCACUGCCUUAGGGAACAAAGUGAAAAUCUGCAAUUUCAAUUAAUUCCAACAUAAAAAUAAAAAUCAAUCCUCAAAAAAUGGAUUGCCAGGAGGUAAAUAUAAUAGAAGACGAACAACUCUCACAACCAAGUUAAAGAAACCAGCCGCUAGGUACCUUUGAGUUCUAUACUACCAGGAACAAAUUGGAUGAGAUUAUUUAAAGGCUAUUCCACAGUGGAAAUUCAUUCGUUCAAAAAACAUUUGUCAUGCAUAUAGGCAAUCUAUCCUAUGCAUUCAUACAUCAUGGUCUCAUGCAAUCUUAAUAAAAGUGGUCCUGGAAAAAGAGAGAAAAAAGUAAUUACAAGCCUGUGCGACCAGAUUUCUUUUGUUUUUUUUUUUUUUUUCCUUUGCCAAACAACCAUGUUCAUAGUUUCAGAAGUUCAUUCUGUCUUUAAGAGACCAUGGCAGUGACUUGGCCAUUCAGCUAAGANNNNNNNNNNNNNNNNNNNNNNNNNNNNNNNNNNNNNNNNNNNNNNNNNNNNNNNNNNNNNNNNNNNNNNNNNNNNNNNNNNNNNNNNNNNNNNNNNNNNUCACCAAGGACUCCUCAACCUCAAAAUAAUAGAGAAAGUCUAGGACACCAUGUCACUACUGAGGACAACCCAACACCACAACAUUUCAGUCCGUUCAAAAAGAGUAAUUGGAAUUGUUGCAAAAAAUGUUCAACUAGUCCCAACAGGAGGCAAAUUCCUCCAUUUCUUCAUCGGGUCCGGAUCCUUUGCUCAAAAAGGUAAUUUUCUUACUGCCCUAAAAGAAAAAGGGAAAAUGUGAGUCAUUGGAUUGUUGACUCAGGAGCUUUUGAUCACAUGACUAGAGUGCCACAAUUUUUCAAAAUUAUACACCUUGUUUUGGGGAUGAUACAAUUCGUAUGGCUGAUGGUUCUCUCUCAAAGGUGACUGGUACAAGUUUUAUUGUCAUCUCUAAGGACCUAACUCUUGACUCUAUUCUUUUGGUUCCAAACUUGGAUUGCAAUCUAUUGUCCAUUAGUAAACUCACUUAUGAAAAGAACUAUGUUACUAAAUUUUUCCCAAACCAUUGUGUUUUUUAGAAUUUGAAUUCGGGGAAGACGAUUGGCAAUGUUGAAGUGUGUUUAGGACUCUAUGCCUUCAAAGUGAAUUAUUAUAUUGAAAGACAAUCUUAACCAACAGUUGGUGAAAAAUGGUGUCUUUUUGUCUUUAGUUCUAAUAAAGAUAGUGAUGUUAUGUUAUAGCACUAUUGUCUAGGACAUCCUAGUUUCUUAUAUCUCAAAAAACUCUUUCCAUGGUUUUCAGUGUGAAAUUUGUCAACUAUCCAAGCAUCUUUGCAAGCCCUAUCCAUAGUUUUAAAAGACUUAAGGCACACCAAGACGCAAAGUCCUCUUGGAGCCUUAGGCGCAAGGCACACCUAAGGCGCGAACUUUAGUAAAGUGAGGUGCAUCCUGUUUUACAUAUAUAUUUUUAUAUAAUACAAUCAAGUGCCCGAAAAUUUUCCUCUAAUUUUCCCCUUCUUCUUCAUCCUCUUCUCUUCUUCACAUUGUUCGGGAGGCUAGGACAUUUUUUUUUUUUUACAUGUCUAAAACAAGCAUAUAUUGGGUUUUGGAAGAAGAACAAGCCAAAAUGACAUCGUUUUGGAGCCUAAUCUUUUAAAUAAAUAAAUAAAUAAAUAAAAACCAGCCAAAAAUGACACCGUUUUGGCCCCUGUUCUUUUAAAAGAACAAACCAAACAACGUCAUUUUGAUCUCAGGAAAUUAAAAAAACAAAACCCUCGUCAUUCUCCCUUUGCUACUCUACAACUCAUCGUCAAAGGGUAAAAAGAUGACCAAAAGAAGAAGAAGAAAAAAAAAAAACGACGACAGAGGAUAGAGGUGCACCUGUUGAGGGCGUUGCGCCUAGCCAAGAGGCGAGCGCCUUGCACACUUAAUCAACGCCUCUGUGAAGGGGCGGCUCCUGCAAUCAGGCGAAGCGCUGAAGGGUGAUGUCACAUCGUCUAGAGCCUAGGCGCACCUUUCACAACUAUGACCCUAUCCAACUCAACCAUACAAACCAUCUCAUCUUUUUUCCAUACAUAGUGAUGUUUGGAGGUCAUCUAAAAUAAAGAACAUAACAGGGACUAGAUGGUUGAUGAUCAUACUAGAAUUUCUUAGAUAUUUCUAAUGAAAAAAAAAUCAAAAAUUAGUCAAAUUUUCUAAAAGUGGACCAGAAUUUCUUUAUUGAAUUAAAAAGUUGAAAUUAAUAUUUUGGAAAAGUUAGGGCCGCUCAAGAGGUAGAAAUAGCGCUCGAGUGGUAGAAAUAGCGCUCGAGUGGUAGAAAUAGCCCUCAAGUGGUAGAAAUAGCGCUCAAGCGCUAGGACCGCUCAAGCACUUAACUAGCGCUUGAGCGCUCAUAUAGAAUCUGCCAGAAUAUGGAAGAAUAUUUUUUGGAUAAUCAUGAAAAUUGGAUUUGGAAACUUUAGAAUAUCAAUCUCCUUCGGCCUAGAGGUUUAUAUAAACCCUAUUAUAACCCUUUAGGGUUAAGAAAUUCACCAAGUGGUUUACCCUAACUUGUCAUACCAUUCCCGAUCUCUCAUCAAGGAAUCAAAGUGUUUAAUCUUGGGUUGUUUGAAGACCUGCAUCCCUUCAACAAGGCUAAGGUGUAUUCACUAGAACAAUUGAAAUUGUUGCAUUGCGGACAUGAAUCAAGUUGCAGGUUCUAGAGAGUAAGUCUUUAGAAUAAAGCAGACAAAGAGUUCUAUGUGACUUUAUCUCAUAUAGUGGAUUUAGCUUUGAGGUCUUAGACCUCGUGGGUUUUUAUCUCCAUAGUUAGUGUGGGGGUUUUCCACAUAAAAAUUAUUGUGUCUCUUGAUCUUAUGUUUGAUUUUAGAUAUUCUAUUUAUCCCUGAUAUCUCACAGGUUAACUUUAGGUUAAAAAUUCAACUCCCUAUUUAAUAAUUUUUAAAAUACACCCAUUCACGAGUGUUAUCCUACUGGACAUUGGUUUUUCACCAUAUAUAACACUCAUACCAAAACCCAUGCAACAUGGACUCCAACCUUAAGCUUAACUUUCUACGAAUGGAAAAAAAAAAAGACAUAACAUAAAUAGACAGAUUUAACAACAUGCUCCUAAUCAAGGUGAAUGUCCCUCUUUUUGAAAGAUAUGACCUUUUCCAUACGAGGAGCUUUCUUUAAAAUUUCACCUCUACCAAUUCCCAUGCCUUUACAAAGUUGUGGAAAGCUCCAAAGAGAAGGCCCAGACAUGUAAUGGGUAGAUUCCCUACCUUAGAACCUUACACCAAAGCUAAACCCCUAAUAUUUGUGACUUCUAUAAGAAUCAAUUCAUUUUUUUCCAUAUUUAUUUCUAAAUCAGACAUUGCCUCAAACCACAUGAAGUUAUAACUUGGAUGUUACAGAUGCUCUUAAUUAGUGUCACAAAAAAAUAGGGUAUCAUCAUCAAACAAGAAAUGUGACACUUCCAUCCCCUCCUCCUGUCUUCCUCCCACUUUGAAACUUGAGAUGUAACCCCUUUUAUCUAAUUCUCCUCAAAAUUCAAUUGAAAGCCUUCAUUGCCAAUAUGAAAAUGUAAGGGGAGAGAGGAUCUUUCUACCUCAAAUCCCUUGAGCUCUCAAAGAAACUGAAUAGGACACUAUUUACUAGAAUAGAGAAUUGAGUAGUGGAAAUGAACCAUUUGAUCCACCUCACCCACUUAUGAUCAAAGUCCAUUUUAUCCAACAUCAUUAACAAAAAGUUCCAAUUUACAUGGCCAUCGUCCUUUCCAAUGUCUAACUUGCAAAUUACCCCACUAUUGGGACUCUUUAACCUUGAAUCUAGAGCAUCAUUUAUGAUUAGAACUGCAUCUAGAAAUUGUCUGUCUUCCACAAAAGCAUGCAAAUAAACUAAAACUAUUUUACCCACCACAUUUUUUAGUCUUUUAGCCAAGACUUUUUCCAAUAGCUUGUACAAAAAAACCCCCAACUAAGCUAAUCAAUGUAAAAAAUUUUAGGUUCUCUGCUGCACCUAUAUUAGGGAUCAAGACCAAGAACAUGACAUUUAAAUUUUGCUCAAAGGAACAAUUAUCAAAAAACUCCCCAAGCUCAUUUGCCAAAAUAUUAUAAUAAAUCCAUUUGGCCCCUACAGCUUUAUCCCCACUCAAGCUAGACAAGGCAACAAGAAAUUCCUCAUCAAAGAAAGGUAACUCCAAUUUCCUAGAAUCAGCACAUAGCAUAACUUCAAAGGUCAUCCCAUUAAUGUUGAGUCUCCACUCGCCCAUAUCAGAUAGGAGAUUUUGGAAGGCCCUAAACUCCCCUUCCUUUAUAUUUGCUUCCCAAGCAACCAUUUUGCAUUCACUCAAAUUUUAAACAUGAAGUUUUUUAUUCUUUGGGCAUUGACCAUUUCAUGGAAAAUUUUGGUGUUUUUAUCCACCCCCUCUUUUAACCAAAUUUCUCUUUAUUUUUGCCCCCAUACAUAUAGAUUCUUCUAACAAGGCCCACUUGCUAAACUCAAUCACCACUAACCUUUGGCCUCAACGAUUUCAAGAGAUAAGGUAACUGCUCUCUACUUUGAGUCCCAGAAGUUGAUCCAGUUUAGCACCUCUAGGUUUUUUGUUGAGACAUUCCCAAAACCUUCUUCAUUCCAAGAUUUUAAAUCUCGUUUGACAGCCUUUAGUUUAACUUCCAAAAUAUGACCAUACAAGCCAUCCACAUUAUAACCAUCAACCAACUCCUCACAAAAUCUUUUAAGCCUUUUGUUUUAGGCUACAUAUUUUAAAAUGUAAACUGUGUUUUCCCACUCCUUAUCCUACCUCCAUCUAAAACUAUGGGGUAAUGACCAAAAAUUGGUUUAGGUAAAAUACUCUAGAUUAAAGUAGAAAAACGAUUCUACCAAUCAUCUGACACUAGGAAAUGGCCAAGCUAGCCUUGAAGAAGACAAAAGAUUAUGAACACCACUCCAAGUGAAUAGCCCUCCAACUAGCGAAAGAUCCCAAGGUCAAGUCCUCUAUGUCCUCUGAAAAGAACCUCAUAUCAAACAACAUUCUAAGGCAAUUCCUCCUUUUCAUGGGGAACUUGACCAUAUUAAAAUCCCCUCUGAAGCACUAGAGGUCAUCCCAAAGGCCUCUUAUGGCACCCAACUCUACCCAGAAAUCCACUCUUUCUCCCCUUUAAACCAACCCAUAAACUCUUACGUAUACCUAGACAAAGCUAUCUUCACAAUUCAUAGACAAGCAAUAGAGAAUGCUUCCACCUCCUUACCAAUUAACUCUAAUACCCUACUAUCUUGGAAAACCAAAAUGCCUACUAUCAAGCUUCUAACUUCCAAUACCAUUUCAAAAAUUUUCCUACUCCUAAACUCCUUACCAGUUGAACGAACAUCUAUCGAACCUUGGUUUCUUGUUAACAAACUAGAUCAACCCCUUGAGACCUUAUCAAUGACUUUAUUAUCAUAUACUUUUCCUCAUCAUUUGCUCAUUUGACAUUCCAAGACAGGAUUUUUAGCUUCAUCAUGCAACCUAUGUUGGAUCCUAACUGCUACUCUUGGAGCCCUUUUCCUUUUUGUUGAGCUUUUAUAAUUGACUAAGCAUCCCAACUUGUUGAGGUCCCUCUCAAACCAAGAUAUCGAGGUUAACUUCCUCUUCACCUCCAACGAAAAAACAGAAACCCCUCUCCUUAGCCUGCCACACAAGGGAAAAGAUCUCUUUUUCAAAUCCAUCAACUGGCAUUCUUGAGAAACUAUUGAAAUUUGCCAACUUACAAGAUAUACAAUUGGAGGAGUGCUUCUCUACCAAACAACUACUAAAAUUCACCUCAAAGGUGACCUUUUCCCCUGAUCUCUCCCCGGCCUCCAUACCCACUGACCCUUUCACAAAAUUUUCUAGAAUUUCCACUAUCAAGCCGUUACGGAGAACCAUCCUCAACAAACUCCUUUGACUAAUGUGAAAAACCCCACCCAAGAGCAUCUUCCAGAAGUUAACUUACAAGAUUAACUAUAAUCUUGUGAAGACUCGUUACCUAAUGGGUAAAAAAUUUGAAAUUCUAUUAGUAUAAUUCUUUUUAGGCACAAAAGCUGUGAAAAUAGCAUUGGUGCUCUAAUUAAUAACCCCAUAAUUAUUAAGCAAUAAAACAACUUUUAAUAAAUUCUCUUUCACCACAUCCCACCAAUCCUAAUGCAAAAAAGCUAGGAAAAAGUCAUCAUUGCUCUAAGCAUUUCUCCUCACUAGUUGAAAGACUGCUUUAUGAACUUCCUCUUCGACAAAAGGACAAUCCAACCAAUUAGCACCAUUUUCCAAAAUGAGAGACCAACCCCCACUCUUCUAUCCUCUAAGGAUCUUCAUAUAACCAUUAAUGCCUUUCUAUACCAGCUAGUAUAUAUCGGGUUUUGGGCAAGUCCUAUAAAUUGGUUUGAGUAAGAUUUUUAAUUACCCUGUUCUUUCUUUUUAGUUGAUAAAUAUGCAUAUAUGUAGUAAUUCAUACAUCAGAAAAGAUUUUGCUAAAACAAAAGAAUUGACAUGCAGAUAGUGACUUCUUGAUAAGAGUAAUAGCUUAAGGGAGGAAAAUGAACUCCUCCAGUGGCCCCAAAGUGGUAAGUUCCUUCAGAUCCCAUGUUGCUAUUCUGCAUUUCUUUGUGUUUUGGCAUCAGCCCUCUUAAUUAAUUCACUAUCCAGCUUCUCAAAUUCCUCGGAUUCUUCCCUUGUUCUUGUGGAAACAUCUGCAUCUUGUCCUUGCAUUGUUAUGGAUUGGUGAUUAUCAUUCUUUGAGAACUGUGUGGCAGCUGCUCGUGCACCAGCUAUGGCUGCAAGGAGACCUUCUGGUUUCUUGUCUUCAGCAGCUUUGGAGCCAUCAAAGCAAGAAACAAGUAAUCCUGGUUUCAAAGAGAGGGGAUCUUGUGGUUCUGGAAGCAGAAACUUGACAGGUAGUGGAGCUUGAACAGGACGAAGACCCCUAACUGCUGCCUCAUAUAUCUGCAACAAUUUCAGGGGGGAUAAGUAAUUAAAAAUCAGUCACUCUAUUGCAUUAGUUAGACUUGCUUUCAAUGCGAUAGCAAAGAAAGAAUCAUCAAUGAAAAAAGAAAAAAUAAAUGAAAAAGAACAAAAAGGAGAGGGAAAAAAAAAUGAUGGGUGCUCAAUUUGUACUUUUCUUUCCAGGUUAUAAAUACGUUGGUACCCGCGCAUCUCAAAUGGUAUGAUUAAUUUCUGCAUCAGGUCAGGAGAACUAAGUCCAUCAAUAUACUAAAAAGCAAAUAUACCAAAAGGCAAGCAAAAAUGUUUAACCAUCUUGAGUGUCAAACUCUCCAAGAAACUAUAUACUUUUAGCUGAAUGAAAACACAUGCCUGUGGUUGCUCACAGAGCCAGCAAAACUCUGUUUGCGCUUCUAGCCUUACCUACAAAUAGAGUUUAGGUUAUCCAACCAAAAUGGAGAUACAUCACACAAAACAAACUGUACCUAAUCAGUUUACGAAGGGGACGGGGGGAAGCAAAAAGCAAAAGUAAAUUUCUAAGAUGCCCACCCCUUCAGGUACCUCCUUCCAGCACGCCAGCUCUUCACAUUUAACACAACCAACUACUUCAAUACAACCUGUGGCAAGAAUAGAGUUUGUUGGAUUUAUUGUAGCAUGCCAUACAGAAAAAUUUAGCAUUUCAGUAAGAAUAAGAAUAAGAGAGCUACUUUCCACUAAAAUACGAAUCACCCAUCAACUGUUGCAAACAGACAACAAUGUGAAUAACAGGUUUUAUAUAUAUAUAUAUAGAGAGAGAGAGAGAGAGAGAGAGAGAGAGAGAUAGAUAGAUAUAGAGAGAGAGAGAGAGUCAAAUAAUAAUAAAGGACAAAAAUAUUUCUUUGAGAAAGACUAAUUAGAAAGAAGAAACAAAGAACCCACAUGAAAUCAAUUUAGAUAAGAGAAAUACCUUUAAGAAUCUAGUUCUUUUUGCAAAUUGCAACUUAGAAUUGGAAUGCCACAUAUUAUUAUAAGGUAUCACAAGAGAUUAUUGCUUCAUUUUUUUUCUUUGCCAGAUCAGUUUUAAUAAAUAUAAAUAUAAAAAUAUAAGCAUGUACACACACACACGCAAACACAUUAUGUGUGUAUGUUUAUGGAUAUGUAGAUAUAGGUUUUUAAUAAUAGAGCAUGAAAACAUAUCUAGUCAGAAAUUCCAAAAAUCCAAAACCAUUAGCAACACCUAACAGUCUUGAAACUGGGUAAUGUUCUGGAAACUUGAGGUCUGCUAUCCCAUUCACAGCAUAGAUCUCCCUGUAGAAAUUCUCCAUUGCUUUGAUUGUGUCUGAAUCUGGGACCUUACUAGCAGCAUGAAUCCAGAGUCGGCCUUCAUAAAACAAAACAUGUAUAUUAAGAAAUAUCCUUGUAGAACAGUAACAUUUUUGCCAGCAUGCAAUUCGUGUUAAUAAUCCUUGGUUCUCACCACUCAUUGUACAUUACAAUGUAAAGACCUAAUAAGCCCUAAUAUAGGUAGGUGUCUGUGCAGAGAGAGAGAGAGAGAGAGGGGAGGGGGGUGAAAGGAAAGAUGAUUAUAGAACAAAUACAAGUUGAAUCUCCUGAAAUAAUGUCCAUCAAGUUAUUUCCUAGCAACAAGUACUGAUUAUGCUUUUCCUGAUAACAUGAUUUUCUUUGCUAACAACCAUACUAUAUUUUAUCAAGAAAGAGUAGUGCAUGUGGCGUGCAUCAAGACCCAUUAGAGUUCCGCUAAACCUAUAGUUCUGUCAACGUUAUCAUUUACGUUUCCUCUAGAUAAUGGCAUUUUCCUCUAAAACUCUUGCACCAUUAGGCUUCAAGUCAAAAUUUCACAUGUGAACUUUGGAAAUUUUCUCCAUUUGCCCCUAAGGAUACAGUUAGAAUUGACUUAAAAUCCUGAUUGAUGUAUACUUUUAACCGAAGAAUAUUGUAUAUAAUAAUUGAAAUAUUGUUGAUUCAUCGUGGAAAUACAUUUUGUAAGGAAAGUUGUUAAGAAUUUAGUAUGCUAUAUGGAGAAAAAAGUCAUGACUUAAGGUUGAGUAUGUAUAUUCUAUAUCAAAUAUUAGGUAGGAAUGUGGAAAAGAGCAGAGUGUAAUUAUAAGAAACAAAGAAAUAUAAGAUAUUCUUGAAAGUGGAAAAUGUAAAAUGGCUAAAAGUCAAAUUUAUGAUGCAUAAGGGGGAUCAUGUCACAUAAGAAACUCAUGGCAUACCAAAUACGUGUGGUAUGGAGUAACAAUUUUGUUAAAAUAAGUUUCUCGUUGGAGUACAUUAGGUGACAAUUUUUUAAUAUCAAAUUAAAGAGUCAAGUGCAUCAAUGAAGUCAUAUGUAGAAAAUUUGUUUGUGACAUGUACCAUAAAGAUAAGAUUGACUUGAUAUAAUUUAGUCCAGGUAGGAGUUGUUAAAGGUGUCUCAAAUUUCUAAUUGAUAUAUAUUUUUUUCUAAAAAAAUAUUAUAUAGAUAUUUCAAUAAAUGAUUAAUUCUUUGUAAAAAUACUUACAUAAUAAAAAACAUCAUUAGAAAUAUCUCUAUAAAUAUUUUAAAUCACAAAAAGAAAAAAAAAAUCACUAUGAGAUAAUUAUAAACAUGCAACAUUGUACCAAGUAAACAGAAAUGUGAUAAAAAAAUUUUGAGAAACACUAAAUAAAGGAAGGGCUUGUAUAUCAAGAUGUAAAUAUAGAGAGCAAUAUUUUUAAUCAUAUGAUAGAAUUAUUUUCUCUCAUUCAUGAUUAUAAGCAAAAUUGGGAACCAUUAUAAAAUCUUGUACACCUCGUGUAAAUUGAUGUUUGUCUUCAUAUUUUACACCAACAAAUGACAUUGAAGUUGUCAUUGAUAAAAGGGAAAAGGCAUGGCCUCCACACCAUGUGCUUGAAUCGUAUGGUUCAAGUUUAAAGAAUUUUCUCCAUAAUUUGAAGAUCUAAAACAUUUUCACCUUUAAAUUUCAUUUAAUUAUUAAUAUCUACAAAAAAUAGUUAAAUACUCUUUCUAUUUUUGAGUUGUUGAAUUUUUUGAAAGUUUUUAUAUUUGUUAUCAAGAAUUUAUAUUUUAUUAAGUGUGAAUAUUUAUAAAUAAGAUAUUAUAUAAUAUUUGGAUAAGAGAGAAUGGUGGAAUAUAAUAAAGUUUUAAUCCUUCCCAAUUUUUAUCUUUUUUUUUUUUUUUUUUUAUAAUCGCCUUUCUCUUUCAAUCCUAUUAUCAGGUACCUUAUAUUUGCUGAUGCUAUCUGGAACUAAAUUCCAAUCAGACAUUGUCCAAUUACUAAUAGGACAGAUCAUGUCUCUCUGUUUCUAAACUAACAUGUAUCGUAAUGUGGCCUCAUAAGGAAGGCUAGGAAGAUGGAGGAUUUUGUGGGAAGCGACCAGAAUCAGAUGGAAGAGAGAUAGCCCUGUUGACCUAAUGGCUGUAAUAGGAGAAGCGUGUGGAUUUAUGGGACUUAACUGAUACUAAACCUAUAUGAUGCUUGGAGUGGUGUUUCUUUCAUUUUGUUAAGAAAAUAUGGCAGCAUACAUCCUUUCAAUUGAGUGCAUCAGAGCAUCCAUAAUAGAUGGUCUGCAACCCUAGGUGCAUGCCACUUUCUGACUGAUAAUGAAACUGUCAGGUACUUGGCCUUGACUAAGCUCAACAGCAUCACAUAAAAAGAAGCUUUCAUACUUAGAUUACUGUUUAAAGCUUUUGCUUAUUUGCUUUCUUAAUGCCAUUAUGACAUUAUUGUUUCAAUUCUGCUACCGAUUUUCGAAGUUCUGGGCAUCUACUGAUUGCAUCAUUAUAUGAGAAGUUGCAUGAGUUUAUGUAUCCUGUUAUUGCUCCUUUGCGAUUUCACUGCUCACGGGACUAACCUCUCCAUUCAGUCGAAAUGAAUUGUAAUUUCUUUACUGGUAGCAGUAGUACUUUUCAUAGCAAAGAUAAUAGUAAAUAUGAAAUAUAAAUAGAAGGAAAUCUGAAUUGUAGAUGGCACUAUAAGUAACACUCAAUAUUCACUACAUAAUAAAAUAGACAGUGUUACAAAGGUAGAGAAACCUACAAUGAGUACUCAUCACCAUUCUCAAACAGAAACAUAGCAGCGACUUAUACAUAGAACCUAUAGGCUUGCAGGGAAAGAAGGGAAAGAGUAACAUGAUAAGUUCACAGCGGGUAGCAGCUCUUAUUUUACGUAUUACUCAAAAUCUCAAACUAACCAAAGUCACUCAGUUGGGAUGGGUAGGAGAUGGUGGUUUGUGGGGUGGCUUCUGGGUAGGAGCUGGUGGCUUCUUUGUUGGAGUUGAAGGAGGCGUAAUCUUCUGAGGUGGCUUGUAUGAGUCUUCGGCACUCUCUGCAGGAGGGUGCCCAGGGUUGUGACCGGAAGGAG
rnacentral:lncRNA from 1 species